UCGAACCAACACCAUUAGAUGAAUCGUGUCUGACAGCACUGUAAUAUCAAAAUUAAGAAUUUUGUAUGGCUGAGAACAAGCCUCUUCAAAAGGAAAGUCUCAUGUAAGAUUAUGAUACAAAGUAUUGGCAGCAGUGCUACAGUUUGAAAAAUGACCCUGUGCUGGCCAUAUAUAGAGAGAUAUAAUAGCUUGAAAAAAUGACCCUGCGCUGGCAGCAUUUAUAAUAAUAAAAUGACCCUGCGUAUAAUAAUAAAAUGACCCUGUGCAGGCAGCAUAUAAUUCAGAAAUUCAACAAGCCCCCAUUUCCCACAUCAACUCGGCUUUUUUGCAGAUAUUUCUUGAAAAAUGAUCCUGCGCUGGAAUUACAUAGAAAGAUAUGGCCGCGCUUCUCAAAGAAAUCUUGUAUUUAGUCCACUCUUUCGAUCUUCAUCGUUGGAGUUCAAGAUUCCUGCAAACAAGACGCAAUGUUGUCAUAUAGCUCUCGUCAGUUCCAAAAUCCCAAGAGUCAGCACAGGGCUGUUGUAUAGCCCCAUCCGCUUAAAAAUUUCAGAAGCAGCGUAGGAAAAUGAUAAAUAUAAGACAACGUCACUCAGGGCAGAUCACCACACGAUCACCACACGAUCAGUGGAUAACUCGUUUUCUCAAACCCACCACAUUUAACACCACAAUAUACAUACACCUAUACCGAUAUGCAGGUAUAAUGCUGGCACUGACUAGAAUAGCAGCAGGAGGUAUCUGGUUCAUCAGGAAUUAAUGUAGUAAAAAAAAUAACUUAGCCUCUCCUUGAAGACCACCGCCUGCGCUGCCCUCUUAAUGCUCUAAUUUCCCUUGAAGACUGCCGCCUGCGCUGCCCUCUUGAUGCUCCAAUUUCCCUUGAAGACCACCACCUGCUCAUCAAGAAGUCAUCCAGGCUCUGAGAAAACCAUAAGUGUGUAACUCUCUGGUUGCAUUAGUUCGGAAAUAACCCAAAUUCAUAGCAAAAUCAGAAUGAAAUCAUCUCGACAUUCGCCAAUACUCCAUUUAGCAUUUUAACAAUGUUCGAAACGUGUUUCACAAAUUCAAAGGCAAUCAAAGGCAUAUGCGAUCUAGUUUUCCCAAAUAAGAAUAACAAUACAAAUGCUACACCAAUACCCACUAAGAUAGCAGCCGAAUAACAUAACCCAAUUUCCCCGAUCAAUUCCAAAGUAGGUUAAAUUUAAAGAGAAAAACAGAGAUAACUUAGCUUCUUCGUGUGGAGAUAUUCAUCCCUGAUUCAAAGUCUUAUUGUAUUUCCCAAAAUCUUGCUCUAAGAGUGUUAGAUAAACUGAUUUCAUCGAAUCAAGAUAACAAAGAUAAGGUACAAGGUAGAACAAUAGCUAAUGAUCGGAUCACACAAUAAUUGACCCAAAAGUUGAAAUCUCAACACCAGGUUCUCACACAGAUUCAAUAGACACCCAACAAUUAUCUCCAAAUUAUUUAAAUGCAAUGCCCAUGCCUUAGCCAAUUAAAGUUAGCACUCAAAUGGUUAAAUCAACACCAACUUUGAUAGUAGUAAAAGAAGCAUGACUGAUUCCAACAAAACAAAAGAAUAGUGAAGCACUUAGCUCUUGUUGGAAGAGGGUUCACUGCCCUGUUUAGUCGAGACUGCUCGCCGGGGAAACGAAGCAGCCAAGCCAGAGAAGGCUUUGAGAAAUUGAGACUGAGCUGAGGCGACACCGCCGAAUCGCGAAUGCCCAAUAGUGGCUUCCCCACAUAUCUUUGAUUUGACUGUGAUUUCUUUCUUUUUGACAUGAUGAAGCCCAACCAAGCAUUUCCAUUCUAGCAAUUACAAGCUAAACGAACAAAAAGAAGAAGAAAUCAGAAUCCCCAAAAUUUCUAUAAGUAAUUGAAAUAAUAGCUGAAUGAAAAGAAGCAGAUAGCGUCGAUUGCUAUCAAUAGACGCGAUUCUCCAGGCUGGCAAGAAGUUGCCGUUUGGUGGCGAUAAACCCAGAUCGGAGCUGUGGCAGCUAGGGGUGAGCAAAAAGAUCCAAAACCGAAUAACCCAACCGAUCCAAACCAAAAUUUUAAAAUAUGGUUCGACUUUUUCGAUUUUUCGGUUCAGUUCGGAUUUUUUUUUUCAUAAAAUUUGGGUUUUUCGGUUCGGUUCGAUUCGAUUCGAUUCGGAUUUUUUAAAACCGAAAACAAAAUGGGCAAAUGGUUUUUAAUACCCACUUUUAUAAUAUAUCUAUCAAAUCUACCCACCUUUAUAAAACAUCUAUGAAAAAUACCCACUUCAUAGUGAAAUACCAUUCCUACCCUUAUACUUAAUCUCUCUUAAUAAUUUUGAUUAAGCUUAAAUGGUAUAUCGGCUGGAAACUUUCCUCGUGCCCGAUAGAUUACUUUGUAAUCUGGGUUUGGACUGUGAGACAACGCCACGUACUUUUAAGCAAAAAAUUGUUUAAAACAGUUAGAUCCCGCGCUUCUCAAAAUGGUAUCAGAGCGGGUUUUUAUAGAGGAAUUAUGUAAUUUUUAAUUUAUUUUAUAAUUAACCUAUGUGGGAGGAGACUCCACUGAAAAUUAUGGAUCCGGACGAGUGUCCGAGAUGUGUACGAUACAGGAAUUCUCUCCAAAAUCUGGAGGAAGAAACCAGUCGCCUAAUAGGCGAUCUCAACGGGAACAAUCGAGUUCUCGUUACCAACUUACGAUGAGGAGGAGAUAUCGAGUUUAUUCGCGAAAUCAUCGCGAGUAUCCAAUUCUACCAUGAGAACCUCAUGAGAUUCGCCGCAACCAGAGCGGCGAUAGAACGAAACAGAGACGAGGCCCAUCAGUCACACGAUUGAUGGAACCAAAAAACAAGGCGGAAGUAGCUUAUCCAGCUACCACAAGAUCGAGCCAGACUCUUCCGAAAUGUCAACCUGCGGGAGAUUCAAAAGACGGUGGAGUAUUACGGCAACAAGCUGUAUGAGCUACCGAUGGAGAUGAGCAAAAUAUCACUAAACAAGAGAAAUACUAACCCUCUUGCGUGAUAUCCAGAAAAAUGGAGGAAUCGAAAGGAAAACCAUGUUCCGGAAAAAUUCGGAAUCAAUGGUCAAAGACCAACGUAUCACCUAUUUGAUGCAGCACCCAAGGAGUUGCAGCCGAAGGACAUAAUCCGAAUCAUGAAAGGCAAAUAUCAUGAAUAGCCUUGACAGAAUCGGAUUAGAAGAUCUACAAGAGUUAGCAGAAUCUUUUGCUAACCUCAAUAUGGUUGAUCUAAAGAUGAACCAAGGAGAUGAGGUCCCAAAACCGAGCCUCAAGAAGGAGAACCGUCAAGAAGGGCGCUCAAGAUAAUGCAGGCCAGUUCCAACGAACCAGACGACGGAGGCCUCAGAUGCAGGAUACUCCUGUAGGAAAGGUCACACUAGAACCAAUCCAUCCAUAUGGAUUGAUUCUCAACCUCGACGAAGCCAGUUUCAAAGAAUGGGAGGGUCUCAUCGACGAAUGGGCUUCAUCAUUAAAAGUCGUAAUUGCCACAAUAGAUUACGACAAAAAAGAAUUUGCCAGAAUCUUCGAAGCAAGCUUGGCAGGCAUGGCAAAACAAUACUGGGAUAAAAUUGAAGUCUCAGCAAGGGAAGAGAUGUUUAGUAGCACGUCAAUUUAUGAAAUCAUUAAGGAGACUACUAAACAAAUUAAAAUCCAUUUCUUGGGAAUGGGUUUUUUCGAAGGAUCCGCAGAGGAGAAGCGCAAGAAAUAUCAACAGGCACUUUACAAUCUAAGAUUGAUGGUGCUAGAGCCAAAAGCUCUCGAUGAAUUUCUGCGCCUGUACACCCUAUAUGUCCAUAUGGGGGUGGUUGAAGAUCAGAAGGCCAUGGACCUCUUUUUCCCAAAGUUUCCAAGUCCAUGGAGGGAGAUGCUCAUCAAUGAGUAUGUAUCACCAGGAGGAUAUCCACUUGAUAGCGCUUCAAGAAGGAUGUCUUAUGUUCACAAGAAGCUGUCCGAAUGGUGCCAGAAGGCGGCGGACCUAAGGAAUCUCAAGAGAUUAAGGAGACUCAACAAGAAAUCCCCAUUGAUGUGCGACAACAUUGAUCUUCCAACAGAGAUUGGUGCUGAGUUGCUGUAUCAAAGGAGGAGCCGAAAGAAACAUAGGUAUCAACCCUAUGAAAGAAAGUCCAGAAGAAGUUCUUGGAAGCCAAGAACUAUGUGGACCAGACAGAAGGCGCGCUCCUACAAGUCAGGCCAACGGAGUGGACCAUCAAGAAACCGAUUCUCAAAUCAAAAGAGAAUCCCGACAAGAAAAACUUUCAGGCGUACUCAAGCCAAAACAAAUGAAAGUUUUAAAGAUUGCAACUGCUGGACAUGCGGUGCUAAGGGGCAUAUUUCAACCAAUUGCCCAGACAACAAGAUAAGGAAAUUCGAAUCCACACCGGAUAUCGAAGAUGCCAUCUACCACCAGGAAUUGAUACCCGUGUAUCAAUUCGAAGAUAUAUCCUCUGAUGAGAGUAUAUAUGAGCAAGAAGAAAUCUUUAGUUCUGAAGAUUCGGAGAUGACCGAUGGAUCAACCGGAGACGAGUCAGACUAAAGAAGAACACGAGGUCCACCACAUCCAGAAGGAGGAUCAGAAGGGAUUCACUAGCCAUUUUCUGAUUCCACAGGAAGAAGUGGUAAAGAAGCUCGUGAAAAAACUCAAGAAGGAAACCCUAGUUCCGGACAUGAAAGUCAAGAUUAAAUGUCCCGAAGGAUGGAGACAGGUUUCCUCAAAAUUUGAUACAACUAACAAGGAGAACAAAUUUCCUUGUAGUUCGUUAUAUUAUUUGGCAAAUCCAGGAGACAACCGAUACAUUGGGAUUCUGGAGGUUGGAGGUUUUGAAAUCCAAACCGAAGGCCAAGCCGGACAAGAAGCAGACGUCCUGAUCUUAGGGCGAGAUUUCCUUGACAAAUAUAACCAUGGUCAUGGAAUCAGGAGGAAUGGGAUCACAUGGGCAAAGAUGUGAUCCAUGACAGCCAUUCUCGAUAUACAUUCUAUUGGGAUGUUAUACGAGAAAUACAAAGCAGAAUAUUUUGCUGCUUAUGUAGAUUCAGGAGCAGGAAUCUGUACAGCAAAACGAGGAGUCUUUCCAGCAGAAGUGGAAGAAGAUCUACCUCGAAUUGCAGGAAGGGAUUUCUCCAAAAAGAUUUUUGCUCUAUCAAAGGGAGUAAAACAGACGGAAAUACUAUGGCGGGCAGGACAGACACCUUGGUACAAGUCAAACUCCACCAUUAUUUCCAUGAUACCGGAGCAGAUAUAUUAUUGGAAAUAAUUUUCUGCAAAGCUUCAAGGUAAUACAGACAAUGAAGCCAGGGGCUAGUGUUCACAACAAUUGUGACACAAAAUCAUUGUGCAAAGGCUCAAUGGAGCUUUCAUGUCAAUGCCAAUCAAAUUCCGCAGCAAGCGUGGUGAUGAUGGCAGACUCCGGCGACCCCAAAUGAAGGAUCAAAGGAGGUUCGGAGAAGUUCUGCUCAAAUGCAGAACUGAGGGAUUCCCAGAUCUCUCUGAGGAAGAAAUUCAAAUCCUCAAAGUUUCCCUGAUAUCGCACCAGGAUAUCAAGGAAGAAGAACAGGUGUCCAUAGCCGACGUCAAAAGGAGAAUCCAGAAGUGUUACCACGAGGAUCCUUUGGCAUGGUGGGACAAGAACCAGCUCAGAGCAACCUUGAAAGUUAAAACUGGAAAGGAGUAUGAGUUCGUAAGGUUCAAACCUAUCCUGAUGAAUCCUCAAGAUCAACAGGAUAUGAUGAGUAUAAUCAAGGAACACCUUGAUUUAAAGCUGAUCGAAGGAGGAAGAUCACCCUACAGCAGUCCGGGAUUUCUGGUGAGAAAUCAUGGGGAGAUCAAGCGAGGAAAACCAAGAUUGGUCAUUAAUUACAAAGGAAUUAAUGAUAUUCUUGAGUUUGACGGAUACUUCAUCCCAAGCAGAGAACACCUUAUCAACUGCAUCAGAGGAGCAAAGGUAUUCUCAAAGUUUGAUUGCAAAUCCGGAUUUUACCAGAUUCGCAUGGAGGAAGGGAGUAAGAAGUUUACAGCCUUCUCAACUCCACAAGGACAUUACGUCUGGAAUGUCAUGCCGAUGGGGUUAGCCAACGCGCCUCAGAUAUUCCAAAGAAAGAUGGAUAAUCUCUUCAAAGAUUAUUCUUCGUUUAUGUUUGUUUACAUUGAUGACAUUCUUAUUGCAUCAAAAAACAUUCAUGAACAUGUCAGGCAUCUGGAUAUCUUUGCGGAUGUUUGCCAACAAGAAGGACUAGUACUGUCAGAGAAGAAGGCAGUCAUAGCCACCCAGAAGAUGGAGUUCCUGGGAAUAGAGAUCGAUGAAUCUGGAAUUAUUCUACAAGAACAUAUUGUGGAAAAGGUUCAGAAUUUCUCAGAGGAUCUCAAAGAAAAGAAGCAGCUCCAAAGCUUUCUCGGAGUUGUUAACUUUGCAGGAAUGUUUAUCAAAAAUCUUGCAGAGUACCGGAAAGUCUUCAGUCCGUUACUGAAGAAAGAUGUUCCAUUCAUAUGGAAAGAGGAGCAUCGGGAGGGUAUGAAAAAGUUAAAAGAGAUUUGUAAAAAUCUCCCAAAACUUUCAAUACCACAAGACGAGGAUGACUUGGUCCUCUACACCGACGCGAGUGAUUUCUGGUGGGCAGCUGUGCUUACAAAGAUCACCCCCUAUGGAGAAGAACCUUGCAGAUACUGUAGCGGUCUUUUCUCCGACGACGAAGCUGUGCGAUGGCACAUCAACGAAAAGGAAUUCUUUGCAGUGCGAAAGGCGUUUAAAAAAUGGCCGCUUUUCUUACUUGCUAAGAAAUUUGUUUUGAAAGUAGAUAACACUAACGUUAAAGCUUUCUUAACAAAAAAGAUUGAAUCUAAGCCUGAAAAAUCUAGAUUGCUUAGAUGGCAAGCCGAAUGUCAAUAUUAUGAUUAUGAUAUUGUCGUUUUGAAAUCUGAUCAGAAUGUUCUUGCAGAUUUCCUUACAAGGGAUGGAGCUCCCUGAAGCGGAGGCCAUCGAGGCAAUACAGGGGCAGCUCUUUGAAAGCCUAGAGCUGCUACAACAAGAAUGGCAGAAGUGUGUACUACACACUAAACAAGCAGGAAAGAUACAAGCGGCUGACGAAGCCAAAGUAUCUAGCCAAAUUGAUGUCUGUUUCAUGAAGAUGUUCAAUCUUCAGGAAGCAACUGAAAAGCCGCUCUUGCGCGCUGUCCGUGAAAAUCGGGCUAAAGCAAUGCUUUCCGUACAGGGCGGAUUACCUGUAGCAGGGGAUUCAAGUACCCCUAGCCCAAGUCCUGAGAGAAUGGCUUCACAGCCGGACGCUCGAGGAAAAGAUGUUGUUAAGGGGUCACUCCCUGAAUCAACAUGUCAACCCUCCACCUCUGGGGUAAAAGAGGGAGAGAUCAGCCUUAGGCCCAUGACAGGCCAAGUUAAGGUUGAUACUAAUUUUAUUAUUUCUUCUCCUUCUUGGCAGAUUUAUCAAGACAGGUGGGAGAAACUUCUUACGAGAAAGGGCAUUAAUCCGGGAAAUUGCCGGGUUGAUGUUGCAGGAAAAUAUCCAAGGGUUUGGUUCACGCCAGGAGCCAAUCCAAACGAUGUUAAAGAAUGGUAUGAAUUUGGGGCAUUAGCUUCAGUUUAUACCACUUCUCCAGCAUUCACCGAAAUCAAGGGUCUACCCAAAUGGAUCCAGAAAACGGUGUUCGACGCAUGGGAGAACAACGAGUCCCUCAAAAGGGGAGACGUUCUGGAAUUGUACUUCUUCAGUGCAGCUCCAGAGCCAGUUGGCAAAGGAGUCUACGAAGCCUUCCAUUUCAUCAAGCUUCGGAGACCAGAUACAGGAGCCUUGAACCGGAUCAAAGUUCCUGAGUUUAAUGCCGCAAUCGUCUCAACAUUUACGGAGGAUCAAAUCUCCACGAGGCGAGCAUGGGGUCUAUGGGUCUGUCUUACAGAGAUGGACAAAAUGAAGUCCAGAUUUAAGUUCUUUCAAAGCUCAGAUCUGGGAACGUUCCUGGUUAACACAAUGACAGGAACAACAACUCAGUUUGCUGAAAAUUCUUUCGAGAAUAAGAGGGAAACUAUUUGGGGAAACAAGAUCGCGGGGAGCAAAGAGACUCGUCGCAAAUUAUGCAAUAUGGCUCAUGUGAGCCAUUGGAUCGAGAGAAUCUGCGACCAAUGUUCGUCGCAGAAGGAGCCAGAAUUCGGCAAAGGUUUCCUCCCGAAACCGGACAGAAGAAGGUUCCGGUCUGAUGAACAUGACGAGCGUCAGACACCAAAGGGAAGAACACCUCGGGCACCAAAAAAGUAAGGUGGCCGACAAAACUUGGUGAAUCAUGUGAUUCACAGCAAGGAUCGCACCCACAAAAGAAACGACAAAAGUGGGUGAAAGAACAGGAGGACCACUCACCAAAAGCUUCAGGACAAAAGUGAGUGGAAGGAAAAGUAGCCGGCCCCUACCAGCAUUAUCACAAGACGAUAAGGCGAGGGUCCAGCACCAUGUGAUGCCAUUAACAAGUGUCGGCAAUCAAGGCCGACAAAAGAAGGUGGAUGUCAUAUUCAAGCAAGCUGGCCACGAAGAAGGAAUCUGAGGCCAACAACCAAGCAAUAAUAGAGGGGUUCAGACCUCUAUAUAAACACAAGUGCUGGAGAGAAGAGAUCAUCGAAAAAUUCACAACAUUUUCACACACCACUUCCUCUCUCUAGAAUUAUCUUUGUAAUUUUAAUUUUGUUUUCAAAGUUUUUCGUAUUUAGUUUUAGUUCCUUUCUAUUUUUAUGUACACAAGUAUUGGCUACUAUGAGUAGCUAAAACAAGUUAGUCUCCUCCAUUGGGGAGUAUUUUAUGAAAUAAAAUUAAAUUUUAUAUAAUUCCUCUAUAAACACUUAGUUUUUGUCCAACUAUUCCGGUUUAGUAUAAAUAUUUUCUUUUCAUUUUUCAACAAAAAUAUUUGGAGUCGACACACAGCGAAGGAGGGAAACUGAUUCCUGAAGGUGACCAUUCGGCGGAAGCCGGAACACAGUGAAGGAAGAAGGUUGCAACCAUCACUUGCGAGUGUGUGGUUGGACGAAGGCCGAGGUGGCAAGAAGUCCGUAAAACGCGAUAAAAACUCCGGAAGGUGACCAGUCGACAAGAGGUAUGCUGUUGAUUUAUGAUUUGAAUUAUUUAGAAGUUGUACGGAAGCAUGUUGGGCCUGAUUAUAUCUUAAUUGAAUUUCGAUAAUUUGAACAUAAAAUGGUUUAAUGAUGGAUUUGUUGAGGAUUGGUUGAAGGGUAGUUUGGGUAUUAAUAAUGAGUUGGAUAUGGUUGAUAUGUGUUUUGUGAAAGUGGGUAUUUUUGAUAGAUAAGUUAUGAAGGUGGGUAUUUUAAAUUUUGACCCUAUAUAUAAAGGGGCUGUGAUGAUUGUUAUUGAUUCGUCUGAGCUCGUGGCUCGAGCAAUGAGGUAUAACGGCCUGUAUCUUGGCGGGGCGACCCGGAUGGCAUAAUCUGCAACCGGUGUUCUUCGCAGCCAUGGCGGGGUUCGUAUCUCCUUGCUUGACCCAGUGCCCUAGAUCUGAGCCUCCAUUCCGUUUCUAUUCCUUAUUAUUCCCAUUAUUAUUGAAUUCUUUUUGCCCCUUUAAUUUAGAAGAAAGUAACUCAGAUUUGCAGAAUUGCUAAACAAAUUUAUCUUUUCCAUCGAUAAUUUUUAUUAUUAUUUAUUAUUACGUAAUCUAUUAUAGAAAACCAAACGAGAUAGUUUUAUAAACCUUUAAUCCAAAUACAAAUGCUCAUUUUUAUUGUGUUACUAGAAAAAUGAUUAUGUUGAUUUCAGAUUUUAAAAGUAAAUUUAUCGGCUAAAAAUAAAUUAAAUGUGCAGAACUCGGAAAAAAAAAUUAUAACAUCCACCAGCAGAACUCGGUAAUAAAUCAAACGUGGUUUCUUAAGGAAAAUCCUAAAUUAAUUAACACACUUUCUCUAGAAAAUUGAGAGAAUAGAUGAAGUUUCUUGAAAUAACUAAAACCAACAUCAACAAAAAUACGAAAAGGAGCAAUCUCUAACAAUAGCAAGGGGCCAAGGGCACAGUUGAUAUUUUCUGGAAACUAUUUGAUCAAUGAUGAGUUUAAAUUUUGAAACUCAAAACUGGUCUCAAGUGCGAAGCAGGGGACCAGAUCCCAUGUUGUCUCCUCCAUGGAGGCCUCUCACUAUCAGCCUGGUCCUCAUCAUCGUCAAAGGCUCUCACUAUCAGCCUGGUCCUCAUCAUCGUCCAACAUGGUUGCUCCUGAACCUUCUCCUGGUGCUACACCUGCUGACAAUAUGCCCAAAACAUGAAUACAAAAGUUCUGAUCUGAUCCAUGACGGUGCACAAGGUAACAAUUACCAGCUAGAAUUCAGGAAUUUUAAUAAUAAUUAUAAGCAUCGACAUACCUUCAAAAGCUAACAAACAAACUAGAAUAGACCUAGAACCGCCAGUUGGGGAAAAGAUCUUGAAACUCUUUGUGAGGGUGGCAAAUUCAUCGUCACUACCCUCGAAAUUGGGAUGAAAUCUCACCACAUCCAACGUCCAGUAUGCAUUAAAUGCAAUAUCAAAUCCCACUUAUACAAUAAAUCCAUCUUCCUCUCCAUCUUCUUGGGUAACUAAUUCCAUGUAACAAUUAUUAAGCUCUGGGCAAGCCAAGUAAGAAGAUAGAGGGAAUUUGACAAGCUCACGAUUGUUUAUUGAAUAUCCAAUCGGACUCAAAAUCUUGUUCUCCUUAACAUAAGAGUUAAGAAGAGGGGGAUAAAAUCGCUGACCCUUGUAUUCUUCCCAAGAAGACUCUGCGUAAUUGGCGACGUUCAAAAGAAAACACAUUCCUCCAAUAUCAGAUUGAACAACAAAAGUCGUAUUUUCAUUAAUAAAAAAAAUGAUAAGAUAGUGAAAUAUGACAUGUUACAGCAACUAAUAAACUCGUUGCUGCUGUUCUCCCACUUGCAAGGGCAAGUAGACCGGAUCCACUCAGGAGAAAGAUGAAUGUAUGUGUCACCAUGUACCAAAUAGAAAGAACAUGCUUCUUGCGGUCGCCAGACACGUCGAAUACAUAGUGAAGGAAGUGAGAUGGAAGAAGAGGAUGAUGGCAUGUACAACUCAAAAUUAACAAUACUAGAAUGGAAUUUCCGCUCCAACAUUGGGUUGUUCACAUAUGGAAUUAUUUUAGAAAAACUAAAAUAUUUUCGUCAAGUCGAAUUGCCGAUGGCUCCACCUUAACACUAUUUAUCUUACCCACUGAAGUCAUUUUUUCUUUGUGAAGCAAUGAGUUUGAGUUGAUCAUUGAAGGCUCAAAACGAUAAACUCUUCGCAUAUGAGCAAUUUUAAACAUAUGCCUUGCCACUACCUCCACUUCCCCAACAUCGUGGCUGUCGUACAUCCCAUUAAAGCUCAAGUCGUCCAACUCCGUUCUCGUAAUAACUUCAAAUAUCAAAAUAUCUGUGUUAGUUUCAGCACAAAAACAAGGAAAAUUGAAUCCUUGCAUCAGUUCUCGUAAUACCUUCAAAUAUCAAAAUAUCUUUGUGAUGAGGACUGAAAUAUGCACCAGCGCUGUGCUAAACAUAACGGGAAUAUUUCUAAUUAUUAUUGUUAUUGUGGUUAUUUCUGAUAUUUGGUACAGGAUUGCCCUGACUCUCAGCUUGGCUCAGCUCGGCUCCGCUUUUCAGCUCUGAUGGCUCAAUUGCAAGAUGUAGAUUAGAAUAACGAGGCUUGGGCUUGAUUCAUUGGGCUAAUGGGCUUUAGGGGUCUAAUGGGCCCAAGGGCCUUAAGUUUAUGUUCAUGCUUAUAAAUAGAGGCUGGAUGCAUAGAUUAAGGGGAUAGUCAUUUUUUCUAGCCAUAACUUGUAAAGUGUAAAAUACUCUCUCGAUUAUAGUGGAAAACCCCAAAACCCCCGUGGACGUAGGUCUUCUCGACCGAACCACGUAAAUCCGGUGUCGUUUACUGCUUUCUAGUUUAGGUGUUGGUUUCUCGUUUCACCACUUUGUUAGUUCCAGCACAAAAACAAGGAAAAUUGAAUCCUUGCAUCAGUUUAUCGGGCAUUUUCACCACAAAUUUAUGGCUACUACUACGUGGAUUAUCUAAAUUGAUAAUCUCAUGCUUCAUAUCCCCACCAUCCUCACUUAAAAUCUAAAUCUAAGACAUAAAUAGCCUUCUCAUACUUAUCCCCAAAAUAAAAAACCACACACAAGUUCCUCAUAUUUCUUGCGAAAAAGAAAAGACGGUGAGAUAGAGGUGGGAGGAGAAGAACUCGACGGAAGCGGACAAGAGUGAGAUAGUUGCGAAAAGAAAAGAGGGAGAGAGAGAGAGAGAGAGAGAGGAGGGAUAGAGAGGGAGAGGUAUAAACUGAGUAGUUGCCAAGCAAUAAAAGAAAGAAACAGAGAGAAAUUGUGAAUGUUUCGAUGAGAGAAAAAGUUGUUCACAUUAACUACAAUCUACAGUAAAUCUGGCGUGAAUUGAAACAAAGGGUUGGCAAGUGUUAGCCCCUUGAGCGUUAGCGCCGAGACGUGUCGAGAAAUUGGCACGCCUCGGCAUGAUGGUGUCGGGUUGUCCCCGUCCUAGGAAACUCGGCUGGUUCGGAAUGUGGGCAAGGGUUGUCGGGCACGUAUGCCGCCGAGUGGGCGCGCCGGGUGAUGCCGGACGCCGCACAUCGGGCGUACGGGGCACUGAGACCAAGUGUCGGGCGAGCAUCAGACGAGCGCUAUGCCAAGGGCACGCACGCUGCCGAGCGAGUGCGCCGGGUGAUGCCAGGCAUUGCGCAUCGGGCGUGCGGGGCGCCGAGACACGGGCGCCCGCCGAGACGGUUAGCAAGCGNNNNNNNNNNNNNNNNNNNNNNNNNNNNNNNNNNNNNNNNNNNNNNNNNNNNNNNNNNNNNNNNNNNNNNNNNNNNNNNNNNNNNNNNNNNNNNNNNNNNNNNNNNNNNNNNNNNNNNNNNNNNNNNNNNNNNNNNNNNNNNNNNNNNNNNNNNNNNNNNNNNNNNNNNNNNNNNNNNNNNNNNNNNNNNNNNNNNNNNNNNNNNNNNNNNNNNNNNNNNNNNNNNNNNNNNNNNNNNNNNNNNNNNNNNNNNNNNNNNNNNNNNNNNNNNNNNNNNNNNNNNNNNNNNNNNNNNNNNNNNNNNNNNNNNNNNNNNNNNNNNNNNNNNNNNNNNNNNNNACAAAAAAGAAAGUUUAUGUUCACAAGAACACCAAGAGGAGAAGGGAACAUUGACAUCCACAAAUUGGUAAAUCUUGUUCCAACUCCAGAUUCUACCCUUAAACUCCAAAACAAGCUUCUUAGCAUCCCACACCCUACCCUCAAACCUGCUCUCGUUUAUAUAUUUCCAAAUCAGCCACACAAUCCCAACCCAAAGAGCAAGAAGCAGUUUUCUCCCUUUCUUCCUUCUAGCACCAAAGACAAAGGAUUUAAAGUGUUGAAUAAUACCUUUAGGCUUUGCUGUUUUAAUGUCCAGCCAUUGAAAAAUUUCAUCCCAGACCAUCUCAACUUUGGGACAAUGCAAAAAGAUAUGUUCCGCCGUUUCUUCUUGCAUCACACAUGAAUUACACCAUCUCUCUUCAAAACCAAUUGCAACAUUUCUCCUAAGCAAAUUAUCACAUGUAGGCAAUCUGUUAAGCAAGACUCUCCAUGCUGUCAUAGCUGCGUUGUUGUGGCCGAGAUGGUUCAAAAUCGUGAGUUCAUUGCUCUUGAGGAGCGGGUGAAUCGGUUGGAAAGCUUGUUGGGGACGCCUCCUGAAACUUCCGCACGGGUUGAUGUCUUUGAACGGAUGCGAGAAGCGGAGAUCGUGCUUGACACUAUUCAAACAUCGGUUGUGGAUGUACGGAAGUCUAUGGAGGAUCUGCCCGGAUUUGUGGAAAGCCGAGUUGUCUCUUGCGAGGAAGAUGUGAACAAUCAAGUGGAGGAGUUGUCCAUGAAAGUGGAACACCUCCUUGAUGAGAUGCACGUGAUGAAGCAAGCGAUGCGUUCUACAUCAAAGGUCCGGAUCCCUGACCCAAAAUCGUUCGAGGGAACUCGAAGUUCUAAGGAGUUGGAGAACUUCUUGUGGGAUAUGGAGUUGUAUUUCAAAGCCGCUCACGUUGCUGACGAAGCAAAAGUCUCAAUCACCACCAUGUACCUGUCGGCUGAUGCAAAAUUAUGGUGGCAGUCAAGGCAAUCCGGGGAGAACAAUGCCCGAAACUGGAUUGAGACGUGGGAAGAUCUUAAAAGGGAAUUGAAAGAGCAAUUCCUCCCUUGCAAUACAUCAUGGCUCGCAAGGGAUGCCUUGAGGAAACUCAAGCACAGUGGCACCGUUCGUGACUAUGUGAAGGAAUUCAGUUCCUUAAUGCUUGAUGUCCGUGAAAUGUCCGAGGAAGACAAGUUGUUCAACUUCCUUGUCGGGUUACAAACUUGGGCUCAAACUGAAUUGAGGCGCCAAGGUGUGAAGGACUUGCAAUCCGCCAUUGCUGCUGCCGAUAGUUUGGUGGACUAUAAGACCGUGGGAUCUACCGAGUUCGGAUCGAAAAAGAAGGAUGUCGGCAAAAGCAUAGGCAAGGAAAGGAAGGGCAAGUUCGAUUGGAAAAGUAAGAAGAAGUCCGGUGAGGCAAGUGGUGCUGCGAGAGACUCUAGCCAACAAGCGGGUGGCGAGAAGCGGUGUGGUUGCUUCAUUUGCAACGGAGACCACCGGAUGUGUGAUUGUCCAAAGAAGGGGAAGUUGAACGCCCUUGUUGCUCAGUCGGAAAAAGAGAAUGAGUCCGGAGGCCCUCGGAUGAACCCAUUGCAAUUGCUAUCCGCAAGUCAAGGGGAUGGUAAGUCGGAUUAUGGUUUGUUAUACAUCAAGUGUGUUGUGAAUGGCCGGAAGGUGAUGGCCAUGGUGAACUGCGGACCCACCCACAAUUUUAUUGCUGACAAGCUUGUGAGUAAGUUUGAUAUGCAGUUGGUGCCGUACGCUAGCCGAAUCAAAGCUGUUAAUUCGGAGGCGAAGCUGAUUCAAGGCGUGGGAAAGGUUGAUCUACAGAUCGACCAAUGGAAGGGCUCGUGCUCGUUGAUGGCGGUUCCUUUGGAUGAUUUCGAAAUUAUCCUUGGGAUGGAAUUCUUAAAGAUGGCUAAGGUUGCUGUGAUGCCCCACGUGGGCGGGAUUAUGAUCCUUGACGAACACUGUCCAACGUUCGUGAAAGGAGAGUUCUUGGCCGAGAGGAAGUCCGUUGGUUUGAUUUCAGCCCUUCAAUUAAAGAAAUGUUUGAAGCAGGGUGUGCCUACUUAUCUUGCUGCGUUGGUUGAGAUCAAACCCGGUGUAUCCCACGAAGUCCCUGACGCUGUGGCGAACUUGUUGGAAGAGUUCAAAGAUGUGAUGCCCCCCGAACUACGUAAGGAGUUGCUGCCGAGGCAAGCAACGGAUCACCGGAUCGAGUUGGAACCGGGUGCGAGACCACCUGCACAAGCCCCUUAUCGAAUGCCACCUUCGGAGUUGGCGGAGUUGAGGAAGCAGUUGGAUGAAUUGUUGCUUGCGGGUCUCGUGCAGCCUUCCAAGGCCCCCUACGGGUCGCCGGUGUUAUUUCAAAGGAAGCAAGAUGGUGAUAAACAUGCAUUUUUACCUCUUGGUGUGUCAUUUUUUAUGCUUAGUUGUGAGGAUUUUGUGUGUUUGAUGGUCUAUUUGAGCUUAUAUUCGUUUAUGGUCAAGAACUUGUUACUUGCUUGUGUUUGAACGAAUUUUCAGAAAUAAUGAAGCAGAACGGAUCAUGUUUGGACGAGAGAGAACGAACCAAAACAAAAUUGUUUGUAGUUCGUCUCGAGAGGAGUUCGUGAGCGCAAACGGAUCAUAAAUCGGAGUUCGGACGAGAGAGAACGAACCAAAACAAAAUUGCUGCGCAAAGCUGUCAGGAGUUCUGUUUCGUCACGCGGGCCAGCCAUGCGGCCGCGCGACGUGGCCGCGCGAGUCGCCGUAUUUCCGCCCAAAAUUCGUUUUUNUUUGCGAUUUUGGGUAUUUUUGAGAGCUACAAGACCUAGGGCAUAUAAAUACUCCCCAAGAACUUAUUCUCUAAAGACCUUUUAUCACCUUUCAUCAUAUUUUACUUUUCCUGAGAGCUGAGAGAGACGGAGAACAGAGCAAGAACAAGAUUGAAGAUUCUCGAUUUCAAUACGGUUUUUCAUUGUUAAAUGUUUAUUUGUUUUAUUGAGAAUUAUAUUCUAGUUCAUAUGUCUAUGUGUGGCUAGAAUCCCUUUUUCCCAGGGUUUAGGGAGUAGACAUGGUUUGAUUUCUUGACUGUUUGAUUCAAUUAAUUGAGAUUGUUAUUCCUUUUUAUGUUCUUGUUAUAAUUAUUUGCUUUAUUGAUUGGCCACCAAUUUAGCAUAAUCAUAGGUUUUAAUUUGAUAUUAGGAGAUGAUAAUUAUUACCUGAACUAAGAACAUAGAACACUUAUAUUUAAUUCUAAAGGGAAUUGAUAUUUGUGAGGGCGUUAAUCCUAUGAGCUUUUAGGAGUUGCAUGUUAGAAGUGCGAUCCGGGGACGGUAGCCUUGCAUGUAAUCAACGGUUUGUAUGCCACGGGAGUGGGUAUAGACUAGUUUUGAGAUUGCCUUAGGAAUCAUCUUAUUAAUUGAAUUGAACAUGUUAAUUAGGAGAAUCUGUUGAAACCUUUACCUUGGGAAUUCUUCUCUUAUCUGUUUCUUUGUUUCCCAGCUUGAUUUAUUUGUUUCCUGUUUAUUUAUUUAGUUUUAAAAUCAAAACUCUUAAUUUCGUUUGUCCAGAUAGAGUAGAAUAAUUUAGGAUAGGAAUUGGUUCUAAUCAGUCUCUGUGGAAUACGACCUUGCUUGCUACUGUACACAAUUGCACCCGUACACUUGCGGCGUGUUAAAUAAAAUAGCGAACAGAUGGGUCUUUGAGAUUCUGCAUCGACUAUAGGGCUUUGAAUAAGGUUACUAUAAAAAACAAGUAUCCUAUUCCGAAUGCCCUAGAUCUCUUUGACAAGCUGUCGAGGGCGAGUUUAUACACCAAGAUCGACCUACGGUCCGGAUAUUGGCAAGUCAGAAUUGCUCCAGGGGACGAGGCAAAGACCACAUGCGUGACAAGGUAUGGGUCAUUCGAGUUCUUAGUGAUGCCCUUCGGCUUAACUAAUGGCCCUGCGACGUUUUGCAAUUUGAUGAAUGAUGUGCUAUAUGAGUAUUUGGAUCGGUUUGUGGUGGUGUAUCUUGAUGACAUUGUUAUUUAUUCGGAAUCAUUGAAUGAGCAUGUUAUGCAUAUGCGGGCUGUAUUCUUGAAAUUGCGUGAGAAUAUUUGGGGGAAUUCGACUUUGAUUGGGUGCACCGUCCCGGGAAGCAUAAUGAUGUUGCGGAUGCUUUGAGCCGAAAAGUGGUGGGCGAGUUCGUGGCUGCACUGACUCUUGUGGAGUUCGAUUUUCUUGGCAAGAUUCGAGAAUCUUCCAAGGCUGACCCCCUCUAUCAAAAGCUUGUUUUGCAGGUUAAGGAAGGGGAAAUGCGAAAAUAUUGGCUGGAUGAUGAUAUCUUAUUUGCUCGUGGCAGUCGGGCGUAUGUGCCCGCGGGUGCGUUGAGACGGGAACUUUUGAGGGAGACACAUGAUCCUCAUUGGGCAGGCCAUCCCGGUGUUGAGCGCAUGUAUGCCUUGCUUUCCCGACAGUAUUAUUGGCCAAAGAUGGAGGACGACGUUGAGGCGUACGUCAAGACUUGUCUUGUGUGUCAGCAAGACAAGCUCGAAAGAAAGAAAGAGGCCGAAUUGUUACAGCCGUUGCCCAUUCCGGAGAGACCGUUCCAAUCAAUAUCGAUGGAUUUCAUUUCGGGCUUCCCGAAAGUCGAUGGAAUGGCCUCAAUCUUUGUGGUGGUGGAUAGGUUUUCAAAGUAUGGGAUCUUCAUUGCUUGUCCAAAUGCUUGCCCCGCCGAUGUUGCUGCUGACUUAUUUGUGAAGAAUGUGGUGAAAUAUUUUGGUAUCCCGGAGGAUAUUAUCAGUGACCGGGAUACUCGGUUCACAGGGCGGUUCUGGACCAAUCUAUUUAACAUGUUGGGGACUGAUCUGAAGUUCUCACGCUAAUCAUCCUCAGACCGACGGGCAAACGGAGAGGAUGAAUCAAUUGUUGGAGGAGUAUUUGAGGCACUACGUGUCAGCAAGUCAGAGGGAUUGGGUUGGUUUGUUGGACGUGGCUCAGUUCAGUUAUAACCUACACCGAUCGUCGGCCACGGGGAAAGUCCCUUUGAGAUAGUUAUGGGCAGCAGCCUUUAGCACCACACGAAUCGCGUCAGAGGAGUGGUGGAGAUUGUCCCGCCUACCGAUUUGCUCGGAGAACAGAGUUGUUGGAUGAGGCACGAGAUAGCCUCGCAAGGCACAGCGCCGAUGAAGAAUAUGCGAUAAGCACGCGUGAUGUGGAAUUUGAGUGGGGAUCAAGUAUUGCUGAAUUGACGCCCCAAAUUUGGAAGAAAAUCUCUUCCAAGUCCGUGCAUAGAGGGUUGAUACCGAAGUAUGACGGGCCAUUCAAAGUCAUGAAGAGGGUUGGGCGAGUGCGUAUCGGUUGGUGUUACCGGACAGGCUAAAGAUACACCCAACAUUUCAUGUAUCGUUCUUGAAGAAGUUCAGUGCGGAUUUGCUGGAUUCUUCAAGGAAGCAGGCGCGACGCGCGCCACCCGUGAUUAGGCAACAGUAUUCCAAGUCUGUGGAGAGAAUCCUUGAUCACCGUACCAUGGGGCAGAGCAAGAAAAAUCGACGGACAGAUUACUUGGUGCAAUGAGGCGGAGAAUCAGAGGCUGAUGCAACUUGGGAAAAGGCUGUUGGCUUGUGGCAAUUCGAGAAGCAAAUUGCCGAAUAUUAGGAGAAAGCAGAUGGAGGAACACCACCAACGACGAGGGCGUCGUCGAGCUCUGGUGGGGGUGGUUUGUUAGCCCCUUGAGCGUUGGCGCCGAGACGUGUCGAGAAAUUGGCACGCCUCGGCAUGAUGGUGUCGGGUUGCCCCCGUCCUAGGCAACUCGGCUGGUUCGGAAUGAGGGCAAGGGUCGUCGGGCACGUACGUCGCCGAGUGGGCGCGCCAGGUGAUGCCGGGCGCCGCACAUCGGGCGUGCGGGGCGCCGAGACCAAAUGUCGGGCGAGCAUGGGGUGAGCGCCGUGUCGAGGGCACGCACGCUGCCGAGCGAGUGCACCGGGUGAUGCCGGGCAUUGCGCGUCGGGCGAUGGGCGACGGGAGACGUGCGCACGUGCGCCGAGCGAUGGGCGUGCGGGCCGCGCGCGCGGACUCCCGCCACGACGAGGAAUUGGCGCCCAGUCCACCCGACAGCCACGCGGGCGACAGUUGGCUAUGCGGGCCAACAAGGCAAAGCACGUAAGUUGGCAUCCGGGCGGUUGGGCACAAGUUCGUUGGCAAGGCUAGAGUUAGUGGGCGGUUCUUGACGGCCAUAACCGCCCACGAUGUGGGAAGCCCCUGAUUGGCUAGACGGUUGACCCGACGGUUAUCCUAGUGAUGGGGGAUUGUCCAUCACAUAGAUAGGGCAUUUUUGGACGGAUCUGACUAGAGAGAGAGAUUCGUGUGUGCAAGCCUAUUGUUUCCUUUGUACGAAUUGUGAGUAAUGCAAAGGUUGGGAGUGAGUUGUCCCGUAUGUUGAUGCGUGCUUUACGUUUAUGUCCGUUGUGCAUGUUCUUGAUUGUUGCUUGCGCGAGUACACGAAUAUUCACCCAAAUCUAAACACGAGUGUUGGUGAGGGAGUGUUGGCUGGUCGAUUGUGAGUGAUCGGCGCCGCACAAGGCGAAAAAUUCUAGUCCGAAAGAAAACCUUGUGACACCAUGUCACUGACUCGUACAUGGCACUCUGCUUGCAUUGCUUCCAUUGAUUCUCGCAUCUUGUAACACCCCGUAUUUUUAUCCUAUGAUUGAUAGGAUCGAGACACUAUUAUCAGUACUGAGUUUUUAGCAGCUCUGGCAACCAAGCAGUCUCUGCGCUGACCCAGAGCUGAAGCUGCUCUGCCCUUUGAGCUGAAUCUGCUCUGGCAUUCGAGCUGUCUCUGCUCUGGUACCAGAGCUGAACCAGAACUGAAUCUGCUCUGGUUCCCGAGCUAAAUCUGCUCUGGCAUCCCAGCUGUCUCUGCUCUGGUAGCAGAGCUGAAGCCGAGCUGUCUCUGCUCUGGUAGUAGAGCUGAAGUCGAGUCGUCUCUGCUCUGAUAGCAGAGCUGAAGCCGAGCUGUCUCUGCUCUGAUAGCAGAGCUGAAGCCGAGCUGUCUCUACUCUGAUAGCAGAGCUAAAGUCGAGCGAUCUCUGCUCUGGUCCCAGAGCUGAAGUCGAGUUGUCCCUGUGUCACGACCGGCCCUAAUUAAGGAUAAUUAAGCCGGGAAAACCGUGACUAAUGGAGGGAGAUUAGAAGCGGGGUAGAAAGGGAAUAAUCAAACAAGGAAGGAUCACAUUUCAUCAUUUAACAAAAUGGAUAUUUAUAAAAUAACAUAGGUUUAGUCGUAUAGACUCAAAUAAUUAGUAAGUUCAUAUAACUCCGACUUAGCCAAAAUAACAUAAAACUUCUGAGUGCGCAGCGGAAUAAGGUUCUGAUUACAUAUAUGAAGACAUGUAUCCCCAGAGUUCAUUUAUACAUAAAGAUAAGACAAAAGACUCCGCUCGUCACUUCAUCACCAUCGGCAGCUGCUCAACCUGCACAUUUAGAAAUAUAUGCAGGGCUGAGUACAAAAGUACUCAGUGGGCACGUAUGCCUACGUAUAAAAAUACAUGCUUCAAAAACUGUAAAUUGUCAUGCCAUCAUAAACAGUACAGCAUGGGAGUUUUUCGCUAAAAAGGCCCAAACUUACUAAGUUCAUUUGUGAUCCUUAAAGUUCGUCUGCAGACUAAGUUCUCUUGUAAUCUAUCAUAUCUGAAGCUUGUGUGCCGGAGAGGUGGCCACCUCUCACGGUCACUUACCGGCAACCCGCUAGAUGACUCACGGUCACUGGUGUACACUAGUCCUGGCAGGAUAGCUAUCAACUGCUCAGGACCCGAAUUCGAUUACAUAACUGGCAAAGCCAUAUCAGAUAGAUAUCAUACCAAACAUUGAAACAUUUAUGGCAAGACAACAGUUGAAAUAAUUUUCAGUUCAAUGAUUUUGCAAUGAAAUAACUGUUCAAACAUAACAUUAAACUCAUUUGAUAUAUAUAUGAAAGUAACCCACCUGAUAGUAAAGCUUUGCUACAAAUUAGUGACUCCUUGACGAGCUCUUAUUCUUGCGCUCGACCUUUAUUGCGAUGAUAUAAAGUAAGAUAUUUGCUCGAUAAAAUCCUCAAUUAAUGAGAAUGCGUAUUUAACUAUGCAUGACUCGUAUUCCGAUAAUUAUUAUUCCUGAGAUAAUAAUUUGGAAGAUUCUAUUAUAAAUCAUACUUGUCGGAUUAAAUAAUAAAUUAACUAAUUGAGGAUCGUCUCAUGAGGAUGGAUAAUAAUUAAUCCGCUCAUCUUAGUAGUAUUUUAACUCACUUACUAAUUAAUAGCCUCAUUCUAAAUUAAUAAAUAUUAAAAUUAACUCAAUUUAAUUAAUAGAUUAAUCUAGACUACCCUUAAAUCGGGCUAAAUAGAUAAAAAUCUACCCAACAUAAAUGGAAAAUCUGGGCCCAGUCAGAUAAUUAUGGCAGCCCAAUCUACAUAAGAUAAAAGCCCAAAAGCUCAACCUCCUUAUAUAAAAUAAUUCAGCCCAACUGAAAUAGACAUCAAGCCCACAUAAGAAUAAAAUCGACCCAACUGCAAUAUGAAACCAACACCCAACUUAAAAAAACAAAAGACCCAACCUCUACUUCUCCUCCCCCUCGCUCGGUUAUCUCUCUCUCUCUCGCUGAAAAACUCACUCUCACGCUCAAUCGACGCCUCUCUCGACCUCGGCUCCGACGAGGUUGCCGGCGUCGCCGCCGCCCUAAGCCCCGGCAAGGUCGUGCCUCCCUUCCUCCUCGUACAUUUCUCCCUCUCGCUAAUCAUCUCUCCAACUUCUCCCAAAUCCGGAAAUCGUGCCAAGUCCCUAACUUUUUCUCCCAAAUCUGAAAUCGCCACUGCCGUGGUUCUCUGGCCGUCAAUCGGCGAGGCCGACGUCGCCUCGCUCUCUCUUCCGAGCCAUUCAAGUGUCCCAACUCAGACGUCAAGGUGGGCAGAGAGUCGAGCCCUGGUUCUCCUCUACUUUCGCCUCUGUUUUCGAUCCUCCGCCGCCGCCUGGGAGCGGCGUCGUUUAUCUCCUGAAAACUGGCGUCCCUCCUCUCACUUCACAGAUGCGAGGUAGAAAGGAGGUGAGCCCUAAUUUCCUGGAUCAGAAAUCGCCUCCACCGCCGUCACCGGAAAACCAGCGAGCGAGGUUGCUUCUGUCGCCAUUCUGAGGUCCGACGAGGUCGGCUCCCUCCGUAGCUGUCGGUGCUGGGUGAAGGCACCGCGAACCGCUGUCGUUGCUCUUCCGGGCGAUGGUGAGGCAGACGCAAUUUCAGGAUACACAACUCAAAAGAAUUGAGCCCUAGCUUCUCUUUCCACAAGGCGUCGCCGCUCUGUGAUUCGGCGAGAGCCUCACCGUCGUCGUCGCCGGGUUCUCCCCUGAUCUCGCCCGACAAGCAGCAUAGCUCUGCCUCCGCCGAUGCUCCUCGGUUCGGCGAAACAGGGCAGCCUCCCCUCUUAAUGAAAGCUAAGUUCAUUCUUAAUACUCUAUUGUGAACGAAACUCAAAGUUUGUUGUAAACCCAGUUCAUAUUUCUAUUGAGUUCUAGCAUUUCUAUAAUUCGAUUAUGCAGUGGGUAAAACUAGCCAUAGUAGUUUGUUUAUCUGCUUAAGUGUAGAGUAUGUAUGAUGGGAAAGUAGUAUAUGGAGCUCAAUGAAUACCUUGAAUGCUUUGCGAAUGUUUGGUGCAUGGUUGGCUGCUGCUGUUGUUGAAUCCAGAGGAUAGGAACUGAAAUAAACUGUGGAUUGCUUUCAUUCUGAAUGCAGGUUGAAAAUUCAAGAAGGAAGUUUGCAGCGAAUUGUUACAGGCUGAAUUUGGUAGUUAUACUUGAGUAUCUAGUCAUCUAUGCCAUGUGAAAGCCUUGAGAGAGAAUAGGUAGAGUUGCGGCUGAUUGACAGCUUCUCUCAUUUUUCUCUCCUUCGCAUGCUUGUAGGUAUGUAGCUGUAGUGUUUUGUGAUAGUGAUAGGUUUUGAUUGUAAGUAGGAAUAGUGGUGAUGUAAAUAAUUCCCUACAGUCAUUGUGUAAAGUUAUCUGAAAUCUAAUUUCUUUGUAUCAUGAUAUCUAUAAAAUGUUCUAGUUUGCUGAAUAACUAUGCUUCGAUAUAACAUCUCUACGAAUUAAAUAACUAAUUAACUCGUUCUCAUUAGUCUGAACCAAAUCACGACUUUCAAGUAACUAAUAGAAAUAAAAUCUCUAUCGCAUAUAAAAUAACAACUUUAAGUUGACUUUGCUAAGUCAGUUAUAGAUUUGAAAAUAUAAAUUAUUAACUGGCUCAAUAAUUCAUAUCCCGAUUCUCUCACGCGAAGCUAACAAGCAUAACUAAAAUAAUAAUAGGCAAAGAAUUCAUAUAAUUUAGAAUCCUAGUUGAAUUCUAAAUAUAAAUAAUUAUUAGACUUUUCAAUUACUGAAAGAUGCAAUAAUAAUUAUCGAUUUACUGGUCUUAAUCAUAAAUAAAAGAGCGGGCUACUACAUACUACCCCUCUUAACAAAAAUUUCGUCCCGAAAUUUGCAUAUCAUCGUAAAAGUUUUGGGUAAGUUCUCUCAUCUUGCUUUCGAGUUCUCACGUUGCUUUUUCUUAUCCAUGGUGUCUCCAUUGGACUUUUACUAAAGUGAUAGACUUGCUCCUGGGUUGUUUCACUUUUUGAUCCCAGAUGGCUUUUGGCCUUUCUUUAUAGCUCAAUCUGGGCUAAGAAUCAUCUUCUUUUGGUAGAUCACGUGCUUUGGAUCGAAAACAUACUUCCUAAGUUGGGAUGUGUGGAAACAUUGGGCAUUCCCAUAAAUUGGCGGUAACGCCAAUCCUAAGCCGCUAGGCCUAUUUUAUCUAGAAUCUCCUAAGGUUCCAGAAAUCGUGACAUAAGCUUACCUUUGACACCAAACCUAAUUAUUCAUUUGGAGGGAGAUGGCUUUUUAGGAAGACCUUGUCUCCUACUAAAGAUGUAACUCAGGUCGGCGCGUAUCAAAGUAAAAAAAAAAAAAAUUACUAUCGCCUCUUUUAUUCUUUCUCUGACAAUCGAACUAUCUCGAUCAUCUUGCUGAGCAUUUUUGGUCCUAAGAUUCUCCUUCACCUACUUUGCCCAGUAAAGUAACGAUCUGCAUUUUCUUUCAUAUAUUGCCUCAUAAGGCGUCAUAUCGAUGGUUGCCUGCUAAUUAUUAUCUUAUGCAAACUAAAUCAAUGACAGCACUGAUUCCUCACUUCAACCUCUGUCUAGUACUAUUACUCUUAACACUUCUUCGAGAGUUUGAAUCGUUCUCUCAAACUGUCCAUCCGUUUGUAAGUGGAAGACAACACUAAAAUUUGACCUCGUGCCUGAUUCCUUCUACAAGUUCAUCCAAAACCUGGAUGUAAACUUCGAAUCUCCGAUAGCCUGAAUUUUUCUCUUAAACAUCCAUAAGUGAUUGUCACGGGCACACCGUGUAACGCACAAUUUCUCGGGUAUACAACUAGGCUAGCUUGUUCGAUUAGUAUCUAAUUGGUAUUGUUAUACAAUGAGCGCAUUUCGUGAGUCACUACACUAUUACGCAAAUGGCGGUGUUCCCUCCUUUCGACUUUGUAAACUAGCCACGAAAUCCAUUGUAAUGUGCUCCCACUUCCAAUCUGGAAAUUCCAAUGGGUGUAACUUAUCAUAUGGUCUUUGGUGUUAAGCCUUCACUCGUUAACAUGUUAGGCAUCUCUCAACAAAUGAAGCUAUAUCUUUCUUUAUAUCUAUUCACUAAAAUUUUCCUUCCUAGUCCUAGUACUUUUUGUGCUUCCUUGGUGGGCAGUAUAUAACGUGGAAUGAGCCUCGCUCAUUACCUCAUUUUUGAGUUUCUCAUCAUGUGGGAUACACAAUCUUUUCUCAAACAUUAACGUUAUCCGAUGUCUCGUGAUAACGUCUCGGCUUGCUUGAUCGUAUUACUAAAUGUAUUUUCUCCAAGGUCUCAUCCUUCCCUCGUGCAUCUAACACUUUUCCUCUCAAAUUAGGUGUUACUAUCAUUGGGGCAAUAAUACCUUCCACUGAUUCCGUUAGUUGAACCACUUCUAAACUCAUUCUACAAAAUCUUUUAUGUGUCCCUGCUCGAGAGCGAGGAGAAUCCCCACUUAGAUUCAGUUUUGCGACUCAAUGCAUCGGCUACUAUGUUAGCCCUGUCUGGGUGGUAGUUAAUACCACAAUCAUAAUCCUUUACUAGUUCAAGUCAUCUUUUCUAUCUUAUACUAAGAUCCCUUAUAAUGAGACAAUGUCCCAACAAUGUGACUCCACAGAGUCAAAAUUUGCACUUGCUGAACUUGGCAUAAGGACACUCUAUUCUCAACGUUUUUAAGACUGUCCUCAGGUGUUCCUUGUGAUCUUUCUCGUUCUUCGAGUAGAUCAAGACAUAAUCUAUGGAAAUAAGACAUACUUGUCUAAGUAUGGAUGGAACACUCGGUUCAUGAGGUCCUUGAACACAGUUGGUGCGUUGGUCAAUCCGAUUGACACCUCCAUGAAAUCAUAAUGGAUAUAUCUAGUCGGGCUGCUCUUAUCUCAUAGCAUGACGAUGUCUUCCAUAUUGUUUAUCAUGUCGAUGAUGUUGACGUGGUUGUUGCUGAUGUGGUUGCUGCCCUUGGUGUGGUUGGGGCAGAGCUUGGAUUGCUCGCAGAUGCGGUGCUCGAGCAGACGGGUUCGAGUUUUGGACCCGUCCCUUCUGGCUUCUGUGUAACAGUAUCAUUGACAGUCUUGCAGAAUCUUCUAUGGUUCUUGUUACACUUUGGGCAGGCCAGGACCCUCUGUUGGUCAUCCCCUAUUUGUUUAGGAGUACCCUGGUUUUCUUAGCCCUGUUGUUGGGAUGAUUGCCACUGCCAUAGCUUCCUUUUCGCUUGGCAAUUUCUACUGUUGUCCCAUUUGUUUUCUUUACGAGCAUCUUAAGGUAGUCUAUACCUUGACUGUGCGUGGGUUUUCCUUUACCAAUGGAUAGUAGUGACUAAAUAUGUGAGUCUCACUCAUUUCUUACUCCUGCGUAAAAUCUGUUUGGCUUGUUAGGGAAAUUCAAUAUCUCAUGACACAAUUCAUUUCCAAAUUCUUUAGCGUUUCUAUUGGUGUCCACCAUCUGGACAUGCCUUGACAUUCGAUUAAAAAGUUCAUCAUACUUGGUAAUUGUUCCAGCUCUCCGCUCGAGAUUCCAGAAGUAGCUUUAUUACUACCGAUUUGAAGAUCAAGAGACAGUUUGAUGCUUAAUGCAUCCUUCUAAUUGUGAAAACACCACUUUCUAGUGGUUAAAAGCUAAUGACAAACUAAGUCAUUAUAAUCGUAACUAUGCUCAUCGUGAUAAGACAAGAUCUUAUGGUGCGAGUCUAUCUAUUGGGAUACCGCUCUUCUUCAAGAUUACAAAUCUCGAUUGGCAACCACUAGGAUCUUAGUCAUGUGGAGAUGUUGGCAUAAGCAUUGUUACUGGUCUUUCUCUCGGCCUUGUUGCCUCAAUGUCCAUCGCUCUGCUAUGCGAUUUCGUGUAAGAUAAUCCCCAAUGGCUUGCCAAAGCCAUCUGGAUCUCGUGCCUUUGAUCGGCACAAAAAAAAAUUUCAGCCAUCUUUUAUUCCGUGUCUACUUGUUCUGGCGCAUAUCUCGACAUAUCACAGAACAUCGUGUUGUAUUGAGUACUUGUCAUUCUUCCUGCUUCAGAUUAUAAAAUUCAAUUUCUUUCUUUUUGUGAUAACUCUUAGAUAUAUAUACUUGUCAUAUAUUUCGGUCUUAAGCUGAUCCCCCGUUAAAUUCCCUAACUGCUUAGUUGUCAUCGUCUUCCUCCUUGCUUCCAACCAGAACUCAGGUGACCCAGGCAACUGAGAGGAUACGCAAGUAAGACGUUCCUGAUAUGUGCAACGCAAGAAAUUUAAAUGCGCUCAAUAGCUCGUACCCAAGUCUCAACUUCCGAUGGAUUUCUUAUCCUACUGAAGACAAGUGGUUUUGUCGUAGAGAUAGUUCCUCUAUUCUACGUUCUGGUUGUAUGGGUGUUGGGGCUAUUUUUUUUUCUAGCCCUAGUACCUUCAUUACCUUAGGGAAUUCUUCUCCCUCUUCUUGGAUGCCAUUGUUUCGGUGGCAUACUAAUGAGUCGACAUACAAUCAUCAAAACAUACAGUUGUAUAUCAUCACUUCUGUAAACCAUUUUUUUGAUUCUCAAAUCUUGAUCAUACUCUUUCUCAUGAAAGUAUAUAAAUAACAUAGCGGAAGUGACUUGCCGCAAAAGACUGAUAGGGUCGCUACAUAGACAUGGGAAAAUUAGUAUCAAUGAGGAUUAUUUCAUCAACAUUUGAAUAUAGAUAUGGUGAUCUAUCCAAGCAUUAUACAUGAUGAACUGGCUAUCUUGCAAGGUCAUCAUGAAAGGGCUCAUUUCCGAAAUGCCCUAUGAACCAGCGUUUCCGUACUAAUACUAGUCAAAAUAACUAAGCCAACAUAGGGGCAUACAAAAGCAUCGAAAUGAUCGUCGUUUUCGAAAUACACAAAUAACGUCCCACUAAAUGCACAAGAGAUUGUCUGUAUGCAUUACGUGCUUGACCCUUGGGUUGAAGCAUACGUGUUUGACUGAUUUAAUCUGAUGAGUAUCUGUUUAUCCUUGGGUCACAGAAAAUCUACCAACAGCUAGUAGAUCGCAAUGAUUCAAAUCACAAAUGGCAAUUAGGCAAAGUGUUUCAAUAAUUUGCCAAACAAUUGAAAAUGAAUAACCAUAGGGUAGAAAUGAAUUGACUGAAAGGUCGAAACGAAAUGACCUAAUAAUCUGAACCCGUUUGGCUUUUCAGAUGAAGGUUUAAAAUAUAUAGGUUUAAAGACCCAUAUAUGACGACUACUGAGAUUUUGGCCAUGUGGACUGGCCAGGUCCGACACAACUACUUCUCAGUCACUCGGAAAUACUUUUCCGAACUUGGUAACUCUUGUUCAUUGGCUGCAAAAGGUAUAUUUGGUCUAAAAUCACCACUUUCUUCUUAACAUCUUGAACAUGUCUUGAGAAUAUUUAAGCUUCUCAAACUUGGAGUCUGCCUCUAAUUUAAUGAAUCCUUAAACAUCUUCUAUAGCGAAAUAAGGUAGGCUCGACCUUACUCAACAAUCUUCCUCUACAUGAUCUUUAUUAGUACUUCUAGUACUUAGUGUUCCUUCACAUAGCGCUUGAAAUGCAACCAUAUAAUUUGAAGCACUCUUCCGUGUUAUUGAAAAGACCUUCUGAAUCAUCACCAUUCAAUAAGGAAAUAGCUUUUGCUCAUCUGAGACCUUUAUAGGGUAUGUGUCACCAUAUGUAAUGCUAAGUCAUGAAUGACCUUAGUCAAUGUCUCAUCCGGCUACCAGACUAAAUGCCUAAUCCAAGACGUUCUAACUGAGCGAUGUCCUCGAUAGGUUAAGGUAUGUAUACUUAUCUUGAGUAUAUCCUUAGGGUCUCAUUAGAAUCUUAAUUCAUUUGUUUCAGCAUUGAUCCACUGUCGGCGCUUCUAGCUAUUAUUAAACUCUAACCAUCUUCGAGAACUUCUCUCGUCUUACACACUUGCGUAAACUUUUAUGAUCAAUCAUAAUGGUUGGUAACUGCUAGUACCCAUAUCACUCUCGUCUUUCCAAUUCGUAGUAGGUGAUCGUAAUCAAUAGGGAUUCUCAGUCAUGUCCUCAUCUAUUGAGAUAGUACUGUAAGUAGAAUGGUUCCGAAUAUCUGAAACUAUAAGCUGAUAGCUUUAAUGUAAUAUUAUAACAUUAUAUACAAAGCAUUUUGACCCCUCGUAGUCUAACUCUGAGUUCAUACAUGAAUCAUGAAGGUUAUCCUCAACCAUAGCUAGUGAUAAUCGAGGCUAGAAGCGGUCUCAGCUUAUUAGGGAUUAGCUAACUGAUUACAUAAGUCGCACUCAUCGCUAUAAGCAAUAUCAUACUUAAACUAUCAUCGAAUAAGAAAUAGUCGAUUAGGUGCUCCGUCUCCGUGACAACCUGAAUGAAACUAUCCUGCAUCAGUGAUUCGUGCGUGGCACUCGCUUGCACUGCUUUCAUUGGAUUCUCUUCCUCUUUCUUAGCUCUUACAUGGCUAUAGUGAAAUAUAACUGAGUUUCUAGCUUCUAUUGUUCUUCUCGUAACAGUGAUCAUGCAUUCUUAACGCAUCUAAGUUCAUUGAGAUAUCUAAUCAAUCAAUAAAGCAUAAAACUUGAAUGUAAGCAUCAGUACAUUCAUAUAGAACGUGAACUUCUCAAUAUUUUAAAAUCAUUACCACCUUCUUUCUUGCUGAGCAUGACGAUGUGAUGAAGUGAUGAGCUUUGGUUGACUGACUCAUAUAUACUAGUGAUCAUACUAGAAAAAUGGGCUAACUCUAGGGUUCAGAGCAAAUGAACUGCUCUGAUACCACUCUGUCACGACCGGUCCUAAUUAAGGAUAAUUAAGCCGGGAAACCGUGACUAAUGGAGGGAGAUUAGAAGCGGGGUAGAAAGGGGAUAAUCAAACAAGGAAGGAUCGCAUUUCAUCAUUUAACAAAAGGAAUAUUUAUAAUAUAACAGAAGUUUAGUCGUAUAGACUCAAAUAACUAGUAAGUUCAGAUAACUCUGACUUAGCCAAAUAAACAUAAAACUUCUGAGUACGCAGCGGAAUAAGGUUCUGAUUACAUGUAUGAAGACAUGUAACCCUAGAGUUCUUUAAUACAUAAUAAGACAAAAGAAUUCCGCUCGUCACUUCAUCACCAUCGGCUACUGCUCAACCUGCACAUUUAGAAAUACAUGCAGGGCUGAGUACAAAAGUACUCAGUGGGCACAUAUGCCUACUAUGAAAUAUAACAUGCUUCGUAAAGAUGUAAAUUGUCAUGCCAUCAUAAACAGUACAGCAAGGGAGUUUUUCGCUAAAAGGCCCAAGCUUACUAAAUUCAGUUGUGAUUCUUAAAGUUCGACUGCAGUCUAAGUUCUCUUGUAAUCUAUCAUAUCUGGAACUGUGUGCCGGAGAGGUGGCCACCUCUCACGGUCACUUGACCGGCCAACCCGCUAGAUGACUCACGGUCACUGGUGUACACUAAUCCUGGCAGGAUAGCUAUCAACUGCUCAAGACCCGAAUUCGAUUGCAUAACUGGCAAAGCCACAUCAGAUAGAUAUCAUACCAAACAUUGAAACAUUUAUGGCAAGACAACAGUUGAAAUAAUUUUCAGUUCAAGGAUUUUGCAGUGAAAUAACUGUUCAAACAUAACAUUAAACUCAUUUGAUACAUAUGAAAGUAAACCCACCUGAUAGCAAAGCUUUGCUACAGAUUAGUGACUCCUUGACGAGCUCUUAUUCUUGCGCUCGACCUUUAAUCCGAGAAAAUAACGUAAGACUUUAGAUCGAGAGAAAAUUCUCAAUUAAAUGAGAAUGCGUAAUUUAACUAUGCAUGAAUCUCGUAUGCAUGAACUAUUAUUCUGAGAUAAUAAUCAGGGAAUUUCUAUUGUUAAUCCAGAUCAUCGGAUUUAAAUAAAAACUAAGUCUCGUCUCAUGAAGCCGGAUAAUUAACAAAAAUUAAUCCGUUCUCUUCGGGGUGUUCUAAUCCGUCAAUUAAAUAAACCCCGCUCCUCGUAGUCAAAAGAAAAUAAAUAAAUACUUCAGCUUAUUCGAUUUAUAACCUCAUAAUUAAUCGGCUUAAUAAAUAGGAAUAAGUAAUGUUAUAAGAUUAAAUAAUUAAAAGGCUCAACAUAAGGCAGCCUAAUAAUUAAUUAAGCAGGGGUGGGCCUGAAUUAAAUAAAUCAUGGCAGCCCAAAUAAAAUAAUGAGGGGCUCCAAAUAACAAUAUUAAUAAUUUUGAGCUCAAAUGUGUGAAUUAAAUAAUUGGCUCAAAUGAAUAAAUAAAUCUGGACGGCCUAUAGAACAUAUAUGAGGCGGCCCAACGGAAUAAAAUACGAGGCCCGAACAGUGAAUGAAAUCGGCCCAAUUACUGAAUAAACGAUUGGACUCAAUUAAAUAAUGCAUGGCCCAAUGAAUAAAUCUCCAGCCCAUUCUAAUUAAUUUAACUUCAGCCCAAGAUAAAAUAAAACAAAAGCCCAAAGAAAUUAAAAUGAAAAAGCCCAAUCUUUAGCCCAACAACAAAAAUAACAAAAAUAAAAGCCCAACAUCCAUUUUUCUCCCCCCCCCAAGUCUCUCGGUUCUCUCUCUCAAUAUGUCUCUGCGCCCUCUCUCUCUCUCCACGCGAGUCCUGCCGCCGCCGUCUCCGGCUGUUUCAGCCGCCAUCGAUCCGGCGCCCUUCUUUCACGUCGGCCACCCUUCUCCUUCCACGUUCUCUCUUCUCACAGCGCCUUUCAAAUCUAUGAAGGAAACCCAAAAAGGGAAGCCCCAAAUUUUAUUUCCUCCUCUGCCUGAACCCGCCGCCGCCGCUGCUGAGGAACCGGCGAGUGGCCGUCGUUCUAAGCUUCAUGUUCGGUUGAGGGCGCCGCCCCUCUCAUCCGAUUCACCUUCCUCAGUCUCGACGAAGCAACCCAACCGAGCCCUAGGUUCCUUCGGCUCAAGCGACAUCGCCGCCACUGCCUGGGCUCGAUCGCGCUUCAGAAAUUCCGGCGGAGUCGACGCCGCUCUUCGGCUUUGCCUGAAAACUGGCGUCCCUCCUCCCACUUCACAGAUGCGAGGUAGAAAGGAGGUGAGCCCUAAUUUCCUGGAUCAGAAAUCGCCUCCACCGCCGUCACCGGAAAACCAGCGAGCGAGGUUGCUUCUGUCGCCAUUCUAAGGUCCGGCGAGGUCGGCUCCCUCCGUAGCUGUCGGUGCUGGGUGAAGGCACCGCGAACCGCUGUCGUUGCUCUUCCGGGCGAUGGUGAGGCAGACGCAAUUUCAGGAUACACAACUCAAAAGAAUUGAGCCCUAGCUUCUCUUCCACAAGGCGUCGCCGCUCUGUGAUUCGGCGAGAGCCUCACCGUCGUCGUCGCCGGGUUCUCCCCUGAUCUUGCCCGACAAGCAGCAUAGCUCUGCCUCCGCCGAUGCUCCUCGGUUCGGCGAAACAGGGCAACCUCCCCUCCUUAAUGAAAGCUAAGUUCAUUCUUAAUACUCUAUUGUGAACGAAACUCAAAGUUUGUUGUAAACCCAGUUCAUAUUUCUAUUUAGUUCUAGCAUUUCUAUAAUUCGAUUAUGCAGUGGGUAAAACUAGCCAUAGUAGUUUGUUUAUCAUGCUUAAGUGUAGAGUAUGUAUGAUGGGAAAGUAGUAUAUGGAGCUCAAUGAAUACCUUGAAUGCUUUGCGAAUGUUUGGUGCAUGGUUGGCUGCUGCUGUUGUUGAAUCCAGAGGAUAGGAACUGAAAUAAACUGUGGAUUGCUUUCAUUCNAACUAUGCAUGAAUCUCGUAUGCAUGAACUAUUAUUCUGAGAUAAUAAUCAGGGAAUUUCUAUUGUUAAUCCAGAUUAUCGGAUUUAAACAAAAGCUAAGUCUCGUCUCAUGAAGCCGGAUAAUUAACAAAAAUUAAUCCGUUCUCUUCGGGGUGUUCUAAUCCGUCAAUUAAAUAAACCCUGCUCCUCGUAGUCAAAAGAAAAUAAAUAAAUACUUCAGCUUAUUCGAUUUAUAACCUCAUAAUUAAUCAGCUUAAUAAAUAGGAAUAAGUAAUGUUAUAAGAUUAAAUAAUUAAAAGGCUCAACAUAAGGCAACCUAAUAAUUAAUUAAGCAGGGGUGGGCCUGAAUUAAAUAAAUCAUGGCAGCCCAAAUAAAAUAAUGAGGGGCUCCAAAUAACAAUACUAAUAAUUUUGAGCUCAAAUGUGUGAAUUAAAUAAUUGGCUCAAAUGAAUAAAUAAAUCUGGACGGCCUAUAGAACAUAUAUGAGGCGGCCCAACGGAAUAAAAUACGAGGCCCGAACAGUGAAUGAAAUCGGCCCAAUUACUGAAUAAACGAUUGGACUCAAUUAAAUAAUGCAUGGCCCAAUGAAUAAAUCUCCAGCCCAUUCUAAUUAAUUUAACUUCAGCCCAAGAUAAAAUAAAACAAAAGCCCAAAGAAAUUAAAAUGAAAAAGCCCAAUCUUUAGCCCAACAACAAAAUAACAAAAUAAAAGCCCAACAUCCAUUUUUCUCCCCCCCCCCAAGUCUCUCGGUUCUCUCUCUCAAUAUGUCUCUGCGCCCUCUCUCUCUCUCCACGCGAGUCCUGCCGCCGCCGUCUCCGGCUGUUUCAGCCGCCAUCGAUCCGGCGCCCUUCUUUCACGUCGGCCACCCUUCUCCUUCCACGUUCUCUCUUCUCACAGCGCCUUUCAAAUCUAUGAAGGAAACCCAAAAAGGGAAGCCCCAAAUUUUAUUUCCUCCUCUGCCUGAACCCGCCGCCGCCGCUGCUGAGGAACCGGCGAGUGGCCGUCGUUCUAAGCUUCAUGUUCGGUUGAGGGCGCCGCCCCUCUCAUCCGAUUCACCUUCCUCAGUCUCGACGAAGCAACCCAACCGAGCCCUAGGUUCCUUCGGCUCAAGCGACAUCGCCGCCACUGCCUGGGCUCGAUCGCGCUUCAGAAAUUCCGGCGGAGUCGACGCCGCUCUUCGGCUUUGCCUGAAACUGGCGUCCCUCCUCCCACUUCACAGAUGCGAGGUAGAAAGGAGGUGAGCCCUAAUUUCCUGAAUCAGAAAUCGUCACUUCUCUGUCAUUUCCGGCGAGUCGACGCUGCACCCUGACUACGGCGCCGUCCUCUCGGCGCUCCUCACUUUCAGGUACCUCCAAAGGAGCCCUAAUUUCUACCUCUUAGGCUCGUCGCGCCUGAAACUCACCACGCCGCCGGGCCUCAUUCUCCCUUGGCUGGCCGGAGCUUGUGGGUUCUCGCCGUCUUCUACGACGGUCAUCAUCGCUGGAGUUUGUUCGCCAUGGAUGCCGCUGACGCUGCACCUCUCUGGCGAGGCCGUGCCCUACUGUUGGCGCUGCUCUGCUCGGUUCCUUCGCCGCGUUGCCACGCCGUCUCGAGUCGUUGCCACUCUAUCCAUCGGGACAGAAAUUCCCUUUGGUUCUAGCUCUCCGAACCAUCAUUCUCGGCAGUUCACACUCCCCCUGUUUGAUCAGUCACCGGUCAUCAAUUCAACACUCAAGCCUAAGCCGAGCUCUCUCGGCUCGGUUUCAAACUAAAGUAAUAGGAUGCAGUUAAACAAGGUAAAGUUUUCUUGUUUUCUUUCUGGUUGUGGUUGAGCUAAUCAUCUAGUUCUCUAUCAUUCUAUAGUUGUAGUAUUUGUAUUUCUAUACAACUGAAAACAUAUGCUUGAGGGUAUGAAGCAUGGAAUUGAACUGAAAUGAGAUGGUGUAAAUACCUUGCGUAUUUUGUGCUUGGUUGGCUGAUGCAUUUUUCUUUAGUUCAGUGGGGAUUUGCUGAAAUAAGUUGUGAUGUGCUUUGUCACAAUUGCAGGAAAAAAAAAUAAUGGAAGAAGGUGAAAAAUCAAGCCAAGGCUUACCUUAAGUUUAAGCAGAAGCUUGAAUGAGCUCUCUCUCUCUCUCAUUCUCUUGUUGGCGUGUGAAGAAGUGAUGAGAAUUGCUUGGCUGAUGAUUUAAAAGAUGAAGUUGUUGGCUGAUACUACAAGGGUGUGAAUUGUGUCUGCCUUUAGAGUAGGUGUAGUCAUAGUUUGCGGCUGAGGUGAUGGGCUGUAGGUGGUUGAGUGACAUGGUCAAAAUUUGCAGCUGUUCUGCACUCCUCCGCACGUCCCCUUUUUCCUCCUUUUUAUGGAAUAGGGUAGUCUUAUUGUAGGAGUAGGAAAUAUGGUGAUUGUAAGUGUAAAAGCUUUGACGUGAUGAUACAAAAAUCCCUCUAAUUCGAUCAUUUUGUAACUAAUUAUUAGUAUCUGUAAUAUUGCGCAUUCAUAGUCGAAUACUAAUUACUCUAAUAAAUCUCGUACUUCAAUAUCUGAUUUCUUGCGUGCUAAAUAAUUCUAAAUUAAAUCUGUAGCUUUAAUUAGCUUAAUAAGUCAAAAUCAAUCCACGACUUCAAGAAGAUAAUAAAAUAAUAUUUCUAUCACUUGUAAAAUAAUAACACGACUUUACUGAUCUUAAUUGGGGAUUAAAAAGUUUACAAACCCUCUUUUCAUGUCUGGGUCCUAUCCGACUGUUACUGUUUUGUGAUUCAUCAUUUUUAUUGAAAUCUUCUACAGAUCACCUCGGGGUCAUCAUUCCAGGAGUCCAAGGAGGAGAUUCUGAUCAUGGUGGCAUGUGAGAGUUUUUGGCACUUUGAUUUAGAGUGAAGAUACAAAUGUGAAUCUUUGUUAACUUUUAACAAUGUGUACGAUUGUUGUUUCUGUUGUCAGUUUUCGUUCAUUGACUUCAUUUCAGCUGUAUUAACGUAUUUAUGAGGCUUCUUUGGAUUGCUCUUCCUGGCUUGCUAUUUAUAUAGGUUGGUACUUUAGUUGAAGGAUGUUCCAAUGUUGUGUUCUUAUUGAUUCCGAUCAGUGUAUUCAUUGCCUUUUUGAUUGGUAUUUGUGCUUGUCUUGUUGUAAGAUCAUCAUUUUGUUUUGGGAUAAUCAAAAUUUGUCAUUAACUUUUACGUUUUUUUAAAUCUAUAUAUAUAUAAAAGCUCAUCCAACUUCACAAUUUUUCCCGCCCAAAACUAGAGUGUAAUUUCUAUACCAAUCACUAUUAGUCCUAUCUUAAAUUUGGUAAUUAACAAUUAAUUAAAGCAUUAAAUAUGAUAAUUAGUUGAUAUUAUAAAUAUUGUUAUAAACUAGAGAGAAUAGAGAAGAGAAUAUGUAUUAAGCGUAUUCAAUAUGAGGGCCAAAGGCCUCUAUUUAUACAAGUAGGAAGCUAGGGUUUUAGGGAGAUUUCUUGGUCAACACACAUAAGAUAUAUCUAGAAGAUAUAUUUACAACACUUCCCCUUGAUUGACCAAUCCCUAAAACAAAAAUGUUGCCUCAUUAAAACCUUGCUAGGAAAACCCAAUGGGACAAAACCUAGUCGAAGGAAAAAGAGUACAACUGCUUCCCCUGAACUUGAGAUCAUUGAAUAUCUUUGAGUCGACGUAUGCCGAUCUCGUAUACCAACUUUCUGAAUGUCGAUGUUGGUAAUGCCUUGGUGAAUAAGUCCGCCAGAUUAUCACUUGAGCAAAUUUGUUGAACGUUGAUAUCGCAUCCUUUGAAGGUCGUGUGUGUAGAAGAGCUUGGGAGAAAUAUGCUUUGUUCUAUCGCCUUUGAUGUAUCCUUCCUUGAGUUGCGCGAUGCAAGCAACAUUGUCUUCAUAUAAAAUUGUUGGUUUGGCCUUUGAUGAAGCUAACUCGCACGACUCUUGGAUAUGACUCUUCACAUUUCUCAACCAUACACAUUCUCGACUUAUUUUGUGGAUUGCAAUGAUUUCAGAAUGAUUUGAGGACGUUACAGUCAAGGUUCACUUCACAUACUUCCAUGAUAUAGCAGUUCCACCACAUGUGAAAACAUAUCCAGUUUGUGAUUUAGCUUCAUGCAUGUGGAUCGGAUAAAAAUCCUGCAUCUGAAUACCCCACCAGAGUAUUAUCAGAAUUUUCUUGAUAAUAUAAUCCAAGUUCAGUGGUACCCUUUAGAUAACGUAGAAUGUGUUUAACACUAUUCCAAUGUCUCAAAGUGGGUGCAUCGCUAAAUCUUGCUAUAAGAUUGACAGAAAAAGCUAUAUCUGGUCUAAUAUUAUUAGCUAGACAAGUCAACGCUCCAAUUGCACUUAGAUAUGGUACUUCUGGACCAAGUAUUGUUUCACCCUCUUCAAUUGGUCGAAAUGGAUAUUCUUAGUAUCAAUAGAUCUAACGACCACUGGUGAUGCUAAUGAAUGUGCAUUAUCCAUGUAAAAGCGUUUUAACACUUUUUCUGUAUAUGUAGAUUGAUGGAUAAACGUUCCUCCACGGAUACGUUCCAUUUGCAAACCAAGACAAAACUUUGUCUUUCUCAAAUCUUUCAUCUCAAUUAUUUCUUCAAAUAUUCAGCAGUUUUAUUGAGCUCUUCAGGAGUCCCAAUUAAAUUUAAAUCAUCAACAUAAACUGCUAUGAUUGCAAAUCCACUUUCGGUUUUCUUAAUGAAAACACAAUGGCAGAUAUCUUUAUUCUUGUAUCCUUUUUUUUCAAAAGAUACUUGCUCAGUCUAUUGUACCACAUACGACUGGACUGUUUCAACCCAUACAACGAUUUUUGCAGCUUUAUUGAAUAUAUAUUUUUGGGUUUUGACUGCAAUUCUUCAGGCAUUUUAAAUCCUUCGGGAAUUUUCAUAUAUAUGCCAUUAUCUAAUGACCCAUAUAGAUAAGCAGUUACUACAUCCAUAAGGCGCAUAUCAAGCCUUUGUGACACAUCCAGACUAAUCAAAAAUCUGAAAGUAAUAGCGUCCAUUACUGGAGAGAGAGUAUGUUUUCUCAUAAUCAAUUCCUGGUUUUUGUGAGAAACCUUGUGCUACGAGUUUUUGCUCUAUAUCUCGUAACUUCAUUUUUCUCGGUUCUCUUUCUAACAAAGAUCCACCUGUAUUCAACAUGGAUUUUAGAUUGCGUAGUUAGGGCUAUAUAUCCAAAUACUUUCCGGUUAUCACAGGAAUUUAAUUCCCUUUCUAUAGCUUCUUUCCACUUUGGCCAAUCAAGUCUCUGUUUGCAUUGUGCAACAGAUUUAUGUUCAGGAUCCUGAUAUUUAAGAGUUGAAGAGCUAUAUGAAAGGCAAAUAUAUCAUCAACGAUGAUAUUUUCUCUCUCUAGUAUCUGAUUUGAAUGUAAAUAAUUUAUUGAGAUCUCAUGAAUUUCAGAUACUUGUAAUUCUUCAGGAAUUAAAUCGCUUUUAUUUGGUUGAUUAGUCAUUUUCGUCAUUGUUUGGUUUCCAUCUUGUCCCUUUCUUUUUCUAGGCAUAGAAUCUUUGGAACCAACUGGUCGACCAUGUUUUUGACGAAUUUUAGACUCAUUUGCUGCCAAAGUUAUUUGUCCUUCAAGGACAUCAAUUUUAGCUGGAGUAUUUGCAGCAUGUAUGUGAGAUUGUGUCAUUUUUCUUGUAUCUACAAAAGCAUCAGGGAUUUGAUUUGCAAUCUUUUGCAAAUGAAUAAUAUUUUCAAUUUCUUGUUCACAUUGAUUUGUUCUAGAAUCAAAAUGUGAUAAGUUUUUCUCAUUCCAAGAGAGUUCCUUGUGCUUUUCUGGAUGUAGAUUUGUUCAUCCUAAUGUUGGAAAUGUCAUUUUGUCAAAAUGACAAUAUGCAAAACGUGCAGUAAACAAAUCACCUGUUAAAGGUUCUAUAUACCUUAUAACCGAGGGUGAAUCAAAUCCAACAUAUAUCCCAAGUCUUUGUUGGGGACCCAUUUUUAUUCGUUGUGGGGGGUGCAAUUGGGACUUAAACCGUGCAACCAAAAGUUCCGUAAGUGAAGAAACAUCAGGUUCUCGGCCAAAGAUAAUUUCCAUUUUGAAGCAUGUAAAAUACGAUUAAAGUAAUCUGAAUUUUAACUUAAUCUAAUACAAAGAGGUACGAUAAUCUGAAUAGCAAAUAUUAACAGCAAAUUAAAGUGAUCCAACAGUUGAAUCCAAAAGUUGAACUAUCAAAAUAUUCAUUUGAAUAUUGUACCAAUCAAAUCCAAAAUCUCUAACAAUAUCAAAAAUCAACGAGCAUAAAUUUAUCAGAAUAAUAUAGAAUAGUACCUAGAAAUAGUCGAACUCAAUUAUGAAAACUAGUACUCCUAUCAUAUUAUGAAUUACGCAAUUUCUAAAAAUUAAUCAUUAUUCAACCAAGAUAUCAUCAAACGUAUUUUGAAUUAUCCAUUAUUUAGAGGCAUAAAAAAAACAAAGACACCUAAAACUAUAAAAAUUAGAAAAACCAUAAACCUUGACAUUUUAGUAGUGCACAGAACCCAUCGAUAUCAUAUUAUCAAAUGUCCAUAAUCAUGCGCCAUUGAGGUAUAAGAGUCUUUGAUUCGAGAUCCCUUCGAUCAAAAUUUCUAGAUGCCUUAUGUCAAUUAUUUUCUGCUAUUUGCAACUGUAAUUAUAUACUUCUAUUAAUACAAGAAUAUUACCUUGAUGGAAAGAUACGAUUCUUUCCUAGGGCAUACCUCCAAUUUUUUUUUUACGAUCAAAGAGACAUGAUGAGAAAAUUAGAACUAUCGUGCUGAUAACGUGUUAUAAACUAGAGAGAANNNNNNNNNNNNNNNNNNNNNNNNNNNNNNNNNNNNNNNNNNNNNNNNNNNNNNNNNNNNNNNNNNNNNNNNNNNNNNNNNNNNNNNNNNNNNNNNNNNNNNNNNNNNNNNNNNNNNNNNNNNNNNNNNNNNNNNNNNNNNNNNNNNNNNNNNNNNNNNNNNNNNNNNNNNNNNNNNNNNNNNNNNNNNNNNNNNNNNNNNNNNNNNNNNNNNNNNNNNNNNNNNNNGGUUAUAUGUAUACACAUGUAUAUAAUCUAAUACAGUACAUAACAUAUGUAUAUACAUAUCAAUGUACUUAUUUUUUGUGAUUUAUUUCAUAUAAUAUAGAUAGUUUAUAAUUAGUGCAUAACAUAUGUAUAUUUAUGAUGAUAUAUAUAUAUAUUUUGUUUAUGGUAAUUAGUUCACACCUACAAAUAUUAUAGUAUAGUAAUUAAUGAUUCCUUCAAAUAUAUUCAUUGUCCAUUAUAUAUAAUGUAAGAAUAAUGAAUUACAUUAUAACAUGAAAUAUGAUAAUUUCUCACAUAAUUUCAAAUUUUCAAUUAUUCCAUUAAAAUUCUAAUUUUUUUUUUGAAAUAUUUAUACCAAUUAUAUUUGAUCUAUAGAUUCUAAAAGAAUAGCUUUCUUUCUCAAGUAAUAAAUAACUUUUCUACUAAUCUCUUUAUCUUUAUGUCAACGCUAAUCUUCUUAUUUAUUCGUUAAUUUUCUACUAAUAUUCUUAUUGUAUGUAAAAGAAACUAUUCUCAUAAAUAAUAAGUUAAAUUUUUCUACUAAAAUUAACUUACUAAUUUUAGUAUUUUUUUUUAGUUUGUCUUUAUUUCGUACUACUCCAAAUCAUAUUGGUAUUUUUGUUAUAAAUUUUCUAUUAUUUAAUUAAAAUAUAGUUAAUUUUGUAUCUCUAAAAUAUAUUAGUUAUAUAGAUAUAAACUAUGAACCAAAGAUUGGCCAAAAUAAUUAAAAAGUCACUUUAAGAUAUAAACUGUGAACCAUUUUUUUGCAUUUAGAUCAUAAAGAUCUACAGUGAAUUCAUCAUUUUAUUGGAUGGUCCUGGGUUCCAAUCCUCUAUGAGCCCCCCUCCCCCCCCAAAUCAUCACUUUUACUGCAAAUGAACUAUCAUUGCACCCCGUGCAAUACACAUGAAAUAUUUUCGUAUUUUCAUAUAUAUAAGCACAACCAUUUUCAAAAAUAGUAAAUUAUUUUUUCCUGCCAAAAAUCACUUUACUAUUUUUAGAAAUAAUUAUAUUUUUUAAAUUUUAAAUGGCAUGUCAUAUUUAUGUAUUGAUAAUUUUGGAUCAACAAUUAAUAAUUAAUGUUACAAUGACAUAACUCAUGACAACACAUUAAUUUUAAUAUUUUAACUUGAAUGUUAUUUCUAUAGUGACAUGUAAUAAACUUAAAGAAGAUUACUUAUAUACAAUUAAUAAUAUAUUAUGUUAUAUAAAUGGUAUAUUCCAUACAAUAUGUGUGUGUGUGUGUGUGUAUAUAUAUAUAUAUAUAUAUAUAUAUUUAUCGACUUUAAUUUAUAAUAGAUAAGAUAUUAUAGUCUAUGAAUGUUCAUUAAUUUAAUCUAAUAUAUAUCUGGUGAAACGAGAAAUAAUACGGUAAAUAAAAGCAGUAAACGACACCGGAUUUACGUGGUUCGGUCGAGAAGACCUACGUCCACGGGGUUUUUGGGGGGUUUUCCACUAUAAUCGAGAGAGUGUUUUACAUUUUACAAGUUGUUGGCUAAGAAAGAAUGAUUGGAUUGAGAGCAUGAGAGCCAAGAGUAAAUUGCAGUGUUCAAGGUAAAAGAUAACGUGUCUCUCCAAAGUGUGCAUGUACGCGUAUUUAUAGACGAAUACAAGCUAAGGGUAGAAAAGUAAUUUCGCCUACCGAACACGCUCUUCGCGUGGUCAAGGGCAAAAUAGUAAAUUCGACUUUAGGCCGGAGCUUUCCCCGCCCUUUUGGUGAUUUCUCUGGCGGAGUUCGCUUCUCUGACAAGAGCCGCACCUCUGGCGAAGGUGACCCCUCAGGCUAAGGUGAUCCCUCUGGCGAAGAUGACCCCUCUGGCGAAGGUGACCCCUCUGGCGAAUAUGAUCCCUCUGGCGAGUAUGAUCCCUCUGGCGAAGAUGAUCCCUCUGGCGGGCAUGAUCCCUCUGGCGGGUAUGAUCCCUCUGGCGGGCAUGAUCCCUCUGGCGGGUAUGAUCCCUCUGGUGGGUACGAUCCCUCUGGCGGGCACGAUCCCUCUGGCGGUCGUGAUCCCUCUGGCGAGUAUGAUCCCUCUGGCGGGCGUGAUCCCUCUGGCGAAGGUGAUCCCUCUGGCUAAGGCGACUUCUCUGACGAUAAUGACUUCUCUGGGGAGAGUGAUUUCUCUGGCAAGAGUGAUUUCUCUGGCGAGAGUGACUUCUCUGACGAUAAUGACUUCUCUGGCGAGAGUGAUUUCUCGGGCGAGAGUGAUUUCUCUUGCGAGAGUGACUUCUUUGACGAUAAUGACUUCUCUGGCGAGAGUGAUUUCUCUGGCGAUGAACGACUUCUCUGAAAAGGUGGUCCCUCUGGCACAAUCCACUUCUCUAAUAAAGCCCGCUCCUCUGAUUUAUAUUAUUUCUCUGCUCUGCAUAUACUACUCCUCAUCAGCUACUCCCCCUGGUCUGGUUGAACCGGGUAUUCUUCGUGUUCAACCAGCGAAGUGUUGUUAAAAGUUAGCCUUGUGCUGUUUUCCUUAAUCCCUGCAAAUCAUGAAGACAUAAGAGUUUUAAUACUUGUAAGAAAGCAAAGAUAAACAUUUUCCCUUUGACUUCGGAAUUGUAAUUCCAAGUUAGAUUUCCUUCUUGUUUGUUGAAGGUUGAUAAAGAUAUAUGUCCGUCUUUCGAUCUGAUUUUGUGUUUGCUUGUCCCUGAUGCCCUCCUGUUGCUUUAUCUGUGGCGUGAACUUUUAUUCCAAAGACUUUAAGAUACGACGAUUGUUCCCUUUUUGUAGAGUUGAGUGUUUAUCUUUUUGAUCGAAGUGUUGGUGAUCCCUCUGCCUUUGCUAGGACUGGUAGCUUUAUUGAAACCUUCCUUUGGAAUUUUGCUAACUCCUCUCUUGAUGAUUUCGCUGACUCCUUUGGCGGGGACUUUGCUGAUUCCUCCGGCGAGGAUUCCGCUGACUAUUCUGGCGAGGAUUUCGCUGAUUCCUCUGGCGAGGAUUCCGCUGACUCCUCUGGCGAGAAUUUUGCUGACUCCUUUGGCGAGGAUUUCGCUAACUCCUCUGGCGAGGACUUCGCUGACUCCUCUGCUGCUGCUGUCUCCAAGCCUUUUGAUGUUGCUCCUCUGCCCUGACUGAUAUGAACCUCGCCGGUAACCCCUUGAACUUCACCGGAAUGAACAAAUAAAGAUGCGCGGAAGACUUGAGAUGACAAAUAAUAUAAAGAUAAAGGUGGAAGUUUGUCCCAAAACCCCUGAAUCUAUUCUACGUCGUUUCUAGAGAGCGGAUCCCUAACCCCAACGUAUGAAUGAUGCAGCAACUCGGAGACGCUGAAUGACACACGGCGAGGGAUGAUGAACUCGUCGAUUCGUCGAUAUGUUGAAUUCUUGUUUGGAUAAUCAAGAAGAAUUCGAAACUUGAGAGAGAAUAAACUCACAAUAUUAUUAUCAAAAUUCGUCCCCCUUCGUCCAACACAUAGCAACCCUAUUUAUAGGGAACAAGAAACCCUAACGUAAAUAAGGAAACAAACGUAACCAAAGAAAACAAAGAAACUUGUUCAGUAAGUCAAAAAAACCCUAGCGAGAAAAAAAAAACCAUCUGCUCUGGAAAAGUGCAGAGGAAUCAAGUCUGCUCUGGCGGAACGAUUCCUCUGCUCUGGCAAAGCUUCUCUGCUCUGGAGCGACUUCGCUGCUCUGGAGCGACUUCAAAUUUAUCUUAAAAGAAAUCAUAAAUCCACACGACAAAAGAGUAUAAAUUUUAGUGUGCUCAAAACAAUCAUUAAACUUCUUCUCAUCUUUAUUUUCCUUAUACGCGUUAGUUUAAUUCUUUAAUUCACUCUAGCAUUAAUGUAUUGUCAAAUAAUAAAUAUGGACAUGCUAUGAAUAUACUUGUAUAAUUUUCUUUUACAAUGAUUUUCUUAAUCAUUUUGCAGAAUUCAAUCAGCCCAUAUAACUGGGACGAAUGAAGUAUUUUGAAAAAAAUCAAAGUUGUAUAUUAUACAUCAAAUAAUAAAAAUUCUAGAAAAUCUUUUUUACUACUAUGCAUAAAUAAAGUUUUAGAAAAAUUUUAUUUCUUAAUAGAAACCUAAAAUAAAAACAGAUGAAUAUUUUGAUGGACAUUUUAACUAGCUANNNNNNNNNNNNNNNNNNNNNNNNNNNNNNNNNNNNNNNNNNNNNNNNNNNNNNNNNNNNNNNNNNNNNNNNNNNNNNNNNNNNNNNNNNNNNNNNNNNNNNNNNNNNNNNNNNNNNNNNNNNNNNNNNNNNNNNNNNNNNNNNNNNNNNNNNNNNNNNNNNNNNNNNNNNNNNNNNNNNNNNNNNNNNNNNNNNNNNNNNNNNNNNNNNNNNNNNNNNNNNNNNNNNNNNNNNNNNNNNNNNNNNNNNNNNNNNNNNNNNNNNNNNNNNNNNNNNNNNNNNNNNNNNNNNNNNNNNNNNNNNNNNNNNNNNNNNNNNNNNNNNNNNNNNNNNNNNNNNNNNNNNNNNNNNNNNNNNNNNNNNNNNNNNNNNNNNNNNNNNNNNNNNNNNNNNNNNNNNNNNNNNNNNNNNNNNNNNNNNNNNNNNNNNNNNNNNNNNNNNNNNNNNNNNNNNNNNNNNNNNNNNNNNNNNNNNNNNNNNNNNNNNNNNNNNNNNNNNNNNNNNNNNNNNNNNNNNNNNNNNNNNNNNNNNNNNNNNNNNNNNNNNNNNNNNNNNNNNNNNNNNNNNNNNNNNNNNNNNNNNNNNNNNNNNNNNNNNNNNNNNNNNNNNNNNNNNNNNNNNNNNNNNNNNNNNNNNNNNNNNNNNNNNNNNNNNNNNNNNNNNNNNNNNNNNNNNNNNNNNNNNNNNNNNNNNNNNNNNNNNNNNNNNNNNNNNNNNNNNNNNNNNNNNNNNNNNNNNNNNNNNNNNNNNNNNNNNNNNNNNNNNNNNNNNNNNNNNNNNNNNNNNNNNNNNNNNNNNNNNNNNNNNNNNNNNNNNNNNNNNNNNNNNNNNNNNNNNNNNNNNNNNNNNNNNNNNNNNNNNNNNNNNNNNNNNNNNNNUAAUUUUCUUUUACAAUGAUUUUCUUAAUCAUUUUGCAUAAUUCAAUCAGCCCAUAUAACUGGGACGAAUGAAGUAUUUUGAAAAAAAUCAAAGUUGUAUAUUAUACAUCAAAUAAUAAAAAUUCUAGAAAAUCUUUUUACUACUAUGCAUAAAUAAAGUUUUAGAAAAAAUUUAUUUCUUAAUAGAAACCUAAAAUAAAAACAGAUGAAUAUUUUGAUGGACAUUUUAACUAGCUAAUAAUGAUAGUUGAUAAAAAUAUGUUGUUAAUUGAUAUUGGUCAUUGAUUUAACUUACAUACAACUAUAAAAAAGUCACAUUUAUUUAAACAAUUAUAGUAUUAGUGAGAUCUCUCUUAUAUAAGUUUAAAAAAUUAUCAAUAUUAUCUUUUAAGUUAUAAAAAUAUUAAUAUAAUAUAAAAAGACAUUCAACAUUAAAAAGUAUAGAUUACUUAUACUUUUAAAUAAUUUAGUUAAAUAACUAUUACCGUGCAUCGCACGGGAGCAAAACUAGUAAGACUUAAAUAGCACAGCCAAAAAGCACAUAAUAACCCCUCGUUUUUCUACUUAUUUGUCUACUCAUUACUCAUUAGCACAACCCUCGUUUUUCUUCAAAAAUCCCUUUAGCCCUUCCCCUCCUAUCCCCAAAUCUAAACCUAGCUAAAUAUCUGCUUCAACUAGUGUUAUACCCGUGCUUCGCACGGUAUGAAUAUUCAUACAUAUUUGUCAUGUAUAGUAGAAUUACUAUAUAAUUGUAAAAAUAUAUUUAAUUGAUACAAAACAUAAUACAUGGAAUUUAAACAAAAUUGAAAAUUUACAUUAUAUAAUAUAAAAAAUAGGAAUUAAAAAACAAAAAGAGUUUCAUAUCAUACAGUUUAUAUUAUAAGACGGUACAACAUAAAUAUAAUGAUAUACAUAGAAUAUUAAAUUAGUGAUUGUGAAAAUUUAUACAUUGCUAUUGAAAUAUAAUUUAUCAGGUAAACAUACCAUGAAGAUAACAAAUUCUUUUUGAUAUAAGCAUGCCCUGAAGAUAACAAAUUCUUUUUUUAAAAUUUUGAAAGAAUCCAAUAGUUUAUGCCAAACGCAUUAAUGCAUUUGUUUUAUCAUUUUGCAAGUAAACUUAUACUAUUUUCUAUGAUUUCUUAUUUUUUUUUACAAAAGGUAGUGUUUGUAAAAAAAAUAAAAUAAGAGAUAAUAUCUUUCUCUAUCUUUUUUAUAUCUUUCUUCCGUAAUGUUAACUAAACAUUCGAUACCACAAUCUUCUUAAAUUUUUUUAAAAUUAUAUUUACUUGUUUACAUAAAUAUGCGGCACAGAAAAGGAUAUGUCGUAUGCGCGACAGAAAGGGAUAUACUAAUUUGAUGUACUAACAAUUAAUAAAAAUUAAUGAAAUAUUGGUAAAUUUAAUGAUGUAACUAAAAAUGGUCCAUAGUACUUAAGAUAAUGAAGAUAAUAAAUAUACUAAUUUGACAACUACAUAAGGAGAUGCAGAUUAAUCUAACAUAUACAUAAGUUGGAGUAAAAAAUAUAUAAAAAAUUAUACUACCAUUUUACUUUUGUAUUUAAGUGCAUAAUUAUGAAAAAAAAAUCAUCUUAAAUACUACAACAAACAUAAUAAUAAUAUAGUGGUCGUGUCUUCUAUUAAACAGAGAAGUAAAAUAUAAAUUACAAAUUUCGAAAAAAUUCUUUAUAAACCACAUUAUCAGUACUAUUACAUUCUUCAUCACCAUCACCACAUACCAAGAUUUUUAAACCUUGCCGACUGAUGACCCUUGAGAUAGCAAUAUAAAGUUGAUCAUGACUGAACACAAGUUUCUUCAAAUACAAGCUUACAUGUGCCAAUGAUUGUCCUUGACUUUUAUUAAUGGUCAUUGCAUAUGAAACAACCAAUGAAAACUGUCGUCUUUGGAAUUUGAAAGGCAAUCUUAUAUCAGAAGGUAUCAUAUUGAGCAUAUGGAUCAAAACUAAUUGACCAACAUUGUGACCACUUAGUAAUUUUUCCUCCAACACAUGAGAACCCAACUUUUGUAAUCACAAGUCGAAUGUCAUUACACAGUUCAUUAUGAUGAUCAAUAUUUCUCAAAAGCAUUAUUGGAGUCCCAACUUUCAAGAACAAUUCAUGAUUUGGCAAACCAAAACACUUCAAACUAUUCAAAAACUCAGGAGUGUGAAUAUCGUUGAUCUAUAUCAUCUACUUGAAUCAUAUCUGCAAGAACUAUUUGAACUAAAGUACAGUUUACCAUCUCCAACCCCCAAAUUAGUCAUGUAUUCAUUAAUGGAAUGAACUGCAUCUAAAGUAGGAGCAAGUAUUUCCCUAUUAUCCAAGUAAGACAAAUCAAAGUUAUCACUAUGAAACAAUGGAUAUGUGCUAGAUACGAUAGUUCUUAACGGAUCACCACCGCUCUUAAGCACAAUAUCAUCAGGUAAUCUAACCACAGGAACACCAUCACUAUAACUCCCAACUAAUCCAUCUCUAACAUCAGCAAUCCAACUGGAAAAUUCUUCCAAUUCAGUGGUCAUUAUUCCCAUACAUUUGUUUUAGACGCAUAUUCUUUGUCAACCUCAACACUUUGCAACGGCUCCAAAUGUAUGACGAAUUUAUCGUUGCAUUAACUAUAUCAUAUGUCUAUUACCUUCAGGGAUAACGGGUAAUAUUUGCCGAAAAUCACCACCAAAUACAACAGUUUUACCAUCAAACGACACAUCUAAUCUUUGAUUCAUCACGCACUCACAUUAUACCAUGAAUACUUCUAUCUAAAGCUUCAAAACAAUACUUGUGCACCAUAGGAGCUUCGUCCCAUAUAAUAAGCUUUGUCCUCAAAAUUAACUCUACCAAUGGACUUUCCUUAUUUUAUAAUACACAUAGAAUCCUCAUUGAUACUAGUGGGAAUCUUGAAACGUGAAUGCGUUGUUCUUCCACCAGGAAAUAACAAUGAAGCAAUUCCACUUGAUGCAACAUUCAAAAUAAUUUCCCCAUUUGAACGAAUAGCAGCAGACAAUUACUUCCAUAUGAAAGUUUUUCCUGUUCCUCAAUAUGAAAGUUAUUCCAGUCCCCACUUGAUGAAUAUUUCUUAACACUAAUAUUAAUAUCUAUUCAAUUAUAAAAAAUGAAUUUAUACCUCUAAAGAAUAUUUAUAUAUUAUACUCCAUCCGUCCCAUUAAAAGUGGCAUGUAUUUCAUUUUGGGUUGUCCCACUGUAAGUGGCAUAUUUCCACAAAUGGCAAAGUUUAACCCUUUUAAAUGUGGACCCCAUCACUUUUAACACAUUUACACAUUCUCCUUAAUUCUAGUGCCGAAAAGUUUUGAGCAACUUAUAGUGGACGGAGGAAGUAAUUAAAUUAUAAUGUACGUUUGGACAAACUAAAAUAUAACAGCAAUUGAUUAACAAUUAUAAAAAUUAAGAUAAAUUGAUUAUAAAAAUAAUUCCUACAUUUAUAUAAGAGCAUUUCCAAUGUAAAGUUGCAAAUGAGAUGCAUCCUCAUAAAAAUUCAUUGGGUGUUGUAUGUUGAGUAGGUAUGAUUAGGAGAGAGGGGAUGCAAUAUUGCAUCCCCUAUAAUUGGCAUAAUGUGGGGCCAUUCGAUAUUUUUUACUUUAAUUUAUUUUCUAUUUUUUGUUUUACACAAAAUCUUGCGUACACCCAGGUGUACCGUACAAUUGGGUUGAUCCGUACUCAAAAUAGUGUUAAUUACUCCCUCUGUCCCAUUAGUAGUGUCCCACUUUCUUUUUGGGCUAUCCCAUUAGUAGUGUCUCAUUCUCUUUAUUCUUUCUAUUAAUUUAUCAUAUUAAUGUCUUCUCCUUUUUUUUUCUCUCUCUCUCUAUGAACUACUAUAGUUUAUCUCUAUUUAAUUUAUAAUAAUUAUUUUUAAUUAUUAAUCUCGACAAUUGUGCAGUAGUUCUUUUGAUUUACAAUUUUGUUAUUAUUUCGAAAGGUGCUUAUAUAUUGCCAAAUAGUAGCACUUUUUUCUUAAAUUUACUUUUUUUGUGAGUUCCUAUUUUUUUUAUUUAGUAUGCAUUCCUAUUUUACUUUUUUCAUGUUAUACGGUUUCCAUUAAAUAAAAAUCUUUAUUCUUUCUAAUAUUUAUAAAAUAAUUAAUUUAAUAUUAAAUUAAUUUAAGUGGGUUGAAAAUAGGUCCACAAUGAUGUCAGCAAAAAAUUGAAUUUUAAAAAGGUAUUAUUGGAAGUGAAAUAAGAACGGGGAAUAUGAUGAUGUGUAUAUGAUGAUGCUACUAAAAACCUUAAAAUUAGGAUGUAGUGUUGGAGAUGGUCUAAAUGAAUAAGUUGUUUAGCUCAUUGAGAUAUCUCAUAAUACAAUCCAUGCAAUAAGUAGUUUUUUCCUAUAAUUUUUAAAGUGAGCAACAUGAAUUACUAUAGUUAUACAAAUAAAUUUACAAUCAAAAUAACAAAAGUUCGUCAAUAUGAAAUUCAUAUACAAAUUUAAUUUAUAAAAUAGAAUCGUGUUCUGUGUCAAGAAUAAAUAAAAUAAAAAUAAAAACAUUCACACUCCUCAUCAUUUUUAAAAACACGCCACCCAUAUUACAUAAUAGUAAUUGGGGUAUUAUUUUGUAAAUAAUAUAUUAUAUUAAUAGAUAUUUUGCUACAUAUCCAUAUUUUUUGUAAAAAAUAUUCACUUUUUCUUUUUAUGUAGAGUAAACCCAAUCAAAGAUGUUAUCCAAAUUCAAGUAUUUAAUAAUCAAUUUUUAUAAGAGUACUGAAAAGAUACGUGUGCACAAUUUUUGUAAAUAAUUUUAAGAAAGAUUUAUAAUCAAUUAAUUGGAUAGAGUUGAGAAAAUAUAAAUAAAAAAACAUAAAAUAUAUAUAUUAUUUUUAAUUUUAAUUAUAUUUUAUAAUUAAUUUAAAUACAAUGUUACUAAACUAACCUUACCUUUCAAUAUAAUUUAUAAUUCUAAAUCCUAACGCACACAAAAGUCAACACGACAACAACGCACACAACUUUCAACACUCCAACUCCGGUCGCCACCACAGCCGCACCGUUCGCUCUCUCCAAAUGUGUGCCGUCCGUCACCGCCGCACGCAGAGGCAACAACUCUUCAAGGUACAAACCGUCUCUGCCCAUGCGCACUGCACGCCGCUCUUCAGUCAUCGCAUCGGAGCCGCCGUACCACCGCCUCCAAUUGUGGCUGCUCUGCUGGCAGCCUCGCGCCAUUGCGCCGCACCAAGGUAGCUCCUCAAGCCAUCAUCGCCGCACCGCAACAAUCCUCAGACAUCGUUGUUCCAUAAGCUAACGCAAGCUUUUUGUUCCUCUUUUGUUCUAAGGAGUUAUGAUUCUUAAUUUGGUGAGGUUUUUUAAUUUGCAAGAUUUGUUUGUAAGAUAUAAACCAUUUAUUUGGUUAGAUUUUCAAUUUCUGAAAUUGGAUUGCUGAAUUUGAAUGCUCAAUUGUGGUUGAGCUUUGAAUUGAAAAACAUGCAGAUUUUUUUUUUCUUUUUUCUUUCGAAUGUUCAAUUUCUUUCUGAUUUUGAUUGUUUGAUUUAUUAUUAUUAUUAUUAUUAUUAUUAUUAUGAAUGUUCAAAAUUUCUUUGAAUGCAGAUUUUGGAAUGUUCAAUUUCUUUCAUUUUGAUGCAGAUUUUGAAUGUUCAAUUUCUUUCGAUUUUUCAAUGUACAAUUUUGGUUGAAACCUUUUGCUAUUAAUUUGUCAAAUUAGAACUAUGUUCUUAUAUGCUUUAAUUUUGCCUCUGAGAUUUUUUUAUUAGUUAUCGAUUUUGAGCUUAUUUGCGGUUUGAAUUAAAAAAAAACUUUGCUAUUUAAUUGCCGAAACCUUUGAGCCUGAAACCUUUGGGCCUGAAAAGAUCAAGCCCAUGGACUCUUAAACAUAGGAAAAUUCAUAUUCAUACUAUUAUAAAAGCCCAACUAUAAUAACAAUACAAUAAAUAGUCAUCUAUCAUUUGAUUUUAGGGUUUAGAAUAGGGGUGAGCAAAAUACCCGAAAUCCGAAUAUCCGAUCCGAUCCAAUCCGAAAUUUAAACUUUGGUUCGGAUUAAUCGGAUCUUUGGAUCGGAUCGGAUUGAAUUUUAAGAAAAUUCGUUAUUUCGAUCGGAUCUAUUCACAAUAACUUCGAAAUCGAAUUAUUAUUAUAUAUAUAUAUAUAUUGAAUAUGUUAAUUUAUAUAUAUAUAAAUUUUGAAUUAUUGAAUAUGUUAAAAAGUAAAACCUAAACCCUAAUUUCCUAACUAAAUCAGCGCCGCACACACAGCCACAACUCCACCCACCACCGCGUCUGACUCCCCAUCCUCUCCAGUCUCCACCACCGGGGCGUUCCGCGCCGACGCCGUCCCACCCCGCCGGCCCCACCCCACCUACUCUCGCCUGCAAUCCCCACCACGCCACCUCCGCGCUUGCAAUCCCCCAGAGCAGCUCGAAGCUCGAGCGCAGAGCGCCGCAGAUCUGCGCCUCUCUUCCCGACGGCCGACGCCCUCCACCUCUGACCUCAGAGUUUCAGACGCCCUCCCCAGAGCACCUCAUCGGCGCGUCAUUCCUUCUAGGCUGCAGGUAGGUUCGAUUUAGUUUUUAGUGAACCUCAAGAAUGUUGAAAAUUGAUGCUUAAUUAUGACUUAUGACUUAUGAGUUAUGAUUGUGUUCGAAUUUUGUUGAUGUGUUCGAAUUUUUCAGCCUUAUGAAUUGGUGCAGUUGUUUCAAUUUUGUUCGAAUGAAUUGGUGCAGCCUUAUGAAUUGUGUUCGAAUUUUUCAGCCUUAUGAAUUGGUGCAGUUGUUUCAAUUUUGUUAGAAUGAAUUGGUGUAGCCUUAUGAAUUGUGUUCGAAUUUUUCAGCAUAGAUUCUUCAGUUGGAUUUUCGGAUUGUUAGGCGUAUGUAUUUCGGAUUUCUUGUCAUUUUGGAUUUUCGGAUUUUCGGAUUUUGCUUAUAUUUCGGAUUUUUUCGGUUUGGAUCGGAUUUUAUCCGAAAACUUCGGAUUUUCGGAUUCGGAUCAACGGAUUAUAUGGUUCGGAUUGGAUUUUAUUUUCUUCAAACUUCGGAUUUUCGAUCCGGCAAAAAUCCGAUCCGUAAUCCGAUGUUCCUAGACUUUAGAAGCAAACACAUAGGCGCCGCUAGACGCCUUAGAAUCUUCUCAAGUCACCUAAUUCCCCUGCCUCCCUUGGUUCCCCUUCUCCCUCGUCUCAUCUUCAAUUCCAGGCGCCUGGAGAUACAACAACAGAUUGAAGAAAAAUUAUCUUCUCAUCGUCUACAUCUUCCCCCUUCUCCUUAAAUCUGUAGAUCUUCUCAAAUCACACUUAAUUCCCUUGCUCCCUUCUGCAUCUUCCCCUUCUCCCUCGUCUGUUCUGCAUCUUCGCCUUCUCCCUUGUCUGCAUCUUCAAUUCCAACGCUACCCUUUUCCCUCAUCUGCAUCUUCCCUUUCUCUCUCGUCUGCAUCCGUCGCUUUUGUUAUUGCAGGCUGAAGAAGCAAGGUAAGCUACGGCAAUAUACAAAAAUCACUUGGGGAUUUGAACGCUAAGUUGCUCCAAUGUGAACUGCUUGCUUUCCCUUUUUUUAAAAAAUCUCAUUUGCAAUCCUAGUUCACAGUUACAUUAAAUUUAUCUUGUUUUCUCAUAUGUUUCUGUUUUCUUCAUAUUUCUUUAGAAAAAAAUUAUUUUUGUGCUAGGUAGAUUAUAUUAAUGUCUUUUGAUAAAUUUAAAUAAAUAUGACUUUUAUGAAUUUCUUUAAUUUUUUUUAAAUAAAAAAUAGUAUAAUUUUCAGUUGUCAUGAUUUACUUUGUUCUAUAUAGUUGUAAUUUUUUUUUUACUUUGAGAGGCUAUAAUUUUGUGGCAAAGCUCAUCUAUUGUUUUUGUUUAAUUGUGUUAUUGUGUAGAUUUGCGAGGAACACCCUUGUGAGAAACUUCACAACAACACAUGUAAGUUUUUUAUGAUUUUUUUAAUAAAUAAAGAUGAUUUUGAUGUUUUUAGGGAGUUUUUUUAAAUAAAUAAAAUACGAUUAUUUCAUUUUGAUUUUAGUGCAGAUUUUGAUAUGUAUAGAUUAGUAUUAUCAAAGCUUUGAAAACCUUACAGCUAAGUAUUUUCAUAUGUGCGUCAAUUUAAGUAUUUUCAUAUGUGCGUCAAUCUUUGAAAAGCUUUGGGUUUCUGAUUGGUGUAGUUUGUUUUCUUGUAAAAUGAUUUCUUUUAUUUAGGAUGCUGAUGGGUAUUGUUUCUUGAGGUUUCAUGUUAAGCUAUAUACAUGGAUUUGAAUUAUUAUUGAAUUUACUAAGGUUAUUUGCAAGUCAAACAUCUCGAUUGAGCUUAAAUAUUUCUGUGAUUUGAAGCUCAUUUUGUUGUUUUUUGGAUUGUGUGCUAAGUAAAUAAAUUUGAUGUAUUCUAAAUCUGAAUACAGAUUUAGUUGGUCUGGUUUGUUGAAAUUUUCAGUGGAUGAUAUAGAUAAGAUUUAGAUAUGAAUUUGAAGUAAAAUCUGAAAAUUUUCCCGCUAACAGCAGCUAGUAUGCUCAGGUUUUGUUAAAAAACCACUGUUUUGGCAGCUAGUGUACUUAGAUUGAAUGUCUUUUGAUAAGAAAAAUAAAUACAGAAAAAAAAAAUUCAUUUCUUUUUUCAUCUCGUUUCAAUCGAAAAUAUUCAAUAUCAAUACUCCUUGCAUCAUAUAGAAGAAUCAUUAGGAGCCAUUAUAUAUUAUAUUUACAUUCAUUUGUAGCAAAAAAAAGGUAACAGAAAUGGUAGAUAACAUGAUAGUAUUAAAUUUCUCUUAUGAAAAUAACAUAUGAUUUUUUUUUCUCCUUGAUGAUAAUAUAUAUAAAUCAUGAAUAUAUACUAAAACCAUUUUUCUUGUGGGUGUUGCAAUAGGAGAGGUUCCAUUUUCAUGCUCCAGAUUAAAUUUCUCUUAUGAAAAUAACAUUAUAUGAUUUUUUUUCUCCUUGAUGAUAAUAAUCAUGAAUAUAUACUAAAACCAUUUUUCUUUUCGGUGUAGCAGAUUGUAGAGGUUCCAUUUUCAUGCUCCAGAUCUUCACCUGCAUACAAAAUUAAAAAAUUACUAUCAAUUGCAAAUAUCAUUGUUUUAGAAUUUAUUGUAAUAAUUGGGUUGUAAAUUUUCCAAAAAAAAAAAUAUAAAUAGAAGGACCACAUAAAAAUUAUAAAACACAAAAUGACAAAAAAUAAUUAGAGCAACCAAGAAUAGAGAGAGAAAGUUACCUUAGUGAAAUAUGGUCUGAAAUGAUUUGGUAUUUAUAGGCUGAGUAUUCAUCAAUUUGGCUCCAAUGUUGGUUAUUUAUGAAUUUCAAAUGUGUAUCUGGGCGCCAGUUUUUGGAGCUAAAUUCUAAAGAACCAGCUGUAUAAAGCAAAAGUAAAUAUUAAAAUAUUAAAUUUUUACAGUUUUGAUGCAGUUUGUACACGCAAUGACAGAUUAUAUAUCUGCGCAGCCUCUGCUUUCCACAUGCACAAACAGAAGCAACAUAUAUGCAAUAAGAAAUAUAAAAUUUUGGAAUUUUUAAUGCAGUCACAAACUUGAGCCCGAAGUCACAAAUUUUACCCAGCGGAUAGAAAAGCUCGAUAUUUACUGGAUAAAAGGCAGCUACUUUUGGCGAGAAACACGUUCCCCAAAAAUCUAUACUUUAAUAUUAGUAUAGAUGGCGAAUGCGGAGGCGGAGGCCGUCGAUUUCGAGCCUGAGGAGGACGAUCUUAUGGACGAGGAUGUCGGCGAUGGCUCCCCCAACCGAGCCACCGUUCCUCGCCUGAAGUCCGCCAUCACCGGCGGCGGCUCCUCCACCGCUCCAAAGAAGACCAAGGGCCGCGGGUUUCGCGACGAGGCCGCUGCUGAAGCGGACCGAAAUGCUCGCAUGUCCGCCCCCUUCGAUUCGCUCGAUUCAGAAGGCGGUCCUGGCCCCGAACGAUGUCAGUAUCCAAAACCCUAAUUAUUUUUGAAUUAUUCCGUUUUUUAUUUUUCCAUUUAGGUUAUUUGUGUGAAUUCACCUUGCUUCUAACCGUUCUGUUGAUAUCUUUGUUCGGACAUAGUUGCUGUAUUAGAAAUUUGAAAACAUGUUAUAUUUUAGAUCAGUUUCAGUAGAACCAUUUUGGUGUAUAGUAUAAUUGAGCUUGAUACUCUCGCUUGGGUUGCUUUUUGGGUAGUGUUUACAUUUUCCCUUGCACUCAUAGUGUGGGAGAAGUGAGCUCUAGAUGUACUACUGAUUGAAUUUGUUCGGGUGUUUGACACUGUUGUUUGUUGCAAAUUCGAAGUGGAGGCAUGUUUGAUUAGAUGGCACCAUUUGUUUUUCAUAAAAACUUCAAUUGGAUAUUGGGAUAGAAGUUGAGGUCUAGUUGUGAUUGCACUUUUGUAGCUAUUGAAGGAUGGAUUAUUCUGGUUACUGGAGUUCAUGAAGAGGCUCAAGAGGACGAUCUGCAAAACGCAUUUGGUGAUUUUGGAGAGAUAAAGAAUUUACACUUGAAUCUCGAUCGUCGUACGGGUUUUGUCAAGGUAUAUAAAUCUUGCGUUCUUUUACGAUUCGUUAUGAAAGUUACCUGCUAUAUACUAAUUAUGUAACAUGUUAAAGAGAAAUCUAAUGACAUUCUAUAUGAUGUUUAUCAGGAUUAACUUUAAAUGUUAUGUAAAUCUUCUUCUUCUUCUUCCACAUUUUUACAUUUUACACUUUGUUGAAUUUGAAGGCAUACCAUCCCUUUCUGCAACCGCUUUAGAUGAUAUUAUAACAUAGAUUCUCUGUAUCAGCAAUUGAGGAUCCUGUAAAAUAGUUUAAUGUUAUAGCCCGGAUGAACAUUUUGAGUCUUACAAACUACCCUUGUGUGUAGAUGGGCUCCAAGAAAAGAUUAUUAUUUACUCUGAGUUGCCUAAGCAGCAUAUUUGCAUCUCUGAAGCAGUCUUUACUCACAAAGGGAUUAGUCAGCAUGUUUCUUUUUCUGCUCGACACCCUCAUGUUUUUCUCGAUAAUAAUCUAUUUAUCUUUCCCUUGACUAUGUCGCUUGUAUAUCCAUUGUCCACUAAAUGUGUUAUGGUAUUUUCUAGGGCUAUGCUCUAAUUGAAUUUGAGAAGUUUGAGGAGGCACAGAGAGCCAUAAAUGAGAUGAAUGGAACUGAACUCCUAACCCAGACCAUGAAUGUUGACUGGGCGUUCAGCAAAGGUCCAUUCAGAAGAAGGAACAUUAGGAGGAGGUAUGUGAUCUCAAAUUCUCUGCAACAACAAUAUAAGUCCCUCUGUUCUUUCUAAAUGUCUAACUCAAAUUAUGGGUUCUUAUUACUGUUGCUCAUAGUAUAGGACUAGGAAAUAGCUGUACCAAACAUGAUAGUGCUCCCCAUGUACUUUUGGAGCCAGAGGUAAUGUGCAGAGCUUGGGAAAUACUGAUACUGGAAAUGUGCAUGUGUCACUUAUUACCUUAACAGACAAAUACAUCAUUUGGAAUGUUGUUGAGGGGGCAUGUUAAAUAUUUUAAUUAUCAGUUAGGGUUUGUAAUAAUUCAGACAUGGUGAAUCAAUGUUAGGAUACGUAACCUUGAAAAAUCUCUCCACUUUGAAAAUAUGUUAGAUGACACUCUUCAAAUCUAGUUUUGAGUGACCCAUAUUAGGUUGGUAAUAAUUUUGAAUUGUCUUGUAGUGGGAGUUGGAACAACCACAUUAUAAAAAGGGCAUGUAAUUGGGGAUUAAAAAGUUUACAAACCCUCUUUUCAUGUCUGGAUCCUAUCCGACUGUUACUGUUUUGUGAUUCAUCAUUUUUAUUGAAAUCUUCUACAGAUCACCUCGGGGUCAUCAUUCCAGGAGUCCAAGGACGAGAUUCUGAUCAUGGUGGCAUGUGAGAGUUUUUGGCACUUUGAUUUAGAGUGAAGAUACAAAUGUGAAUCUUUGUUAACUUUUAACAAUGUGUACGAUUGUUGUUUCUGUUGUCAGUUUUCGUUCAUUGACUUCAUUUCAGCUGUAAUAACGUAUUUAUGAGGCUUCUUUGGAUUGCUCUUCCUGGCUUGCUAUUUAUAUAGGUUGGUACUUUAGUUGAAGGAUGUUCCAAUGUUGUGUUCUUAUUGAUUCCGAUCAGUGUAUUCAUUGCCUUUUUGAUUGGUAUUUGUGCUUGUCUUGUUGUAAGAUCAUCAUUUUGUUUUGGGAUAAUCAUAAUUUGUCAUUAACUUUUACGUUUUUUUUAAAUUCUAUAUAUAUAUAAAAGCUCAUCCAACUUCACAAUUUUUUUCCCGCCCAAAACUAGAGUGUAAUUUCUAUACCAAUCACUAUUUAGUCCUAUCUUAAAUUUGGUAAUUAACAAUUAAUUAAAGCAUUAAAUAUGAUAAUUAGUUGAUAUUAUAAAUAUUGUUAUAAUAUAAAAAGACAUUCAACAUUAAAAAGUAUAGAUUACUUAUACUUUUAAAUAAUUUAGUUAAAUAACUAUUACCGUGCAUCGCACGGGAGCAAAACUAGUAAGACUUAAAUAGCACAGCCAAAAAGCACAUAAUAACCCCUCGUUUUUCUACUUAUUUGUCUACUCAUUAGCACAACCCUCGUUUUUCUUCAAAAUCCCUUUAGCCCUUCCCCUCCUAUCCCCAAAUCUAAACCUAGCUAAAUAUCUGCUUCAAUGGCGAAUGCGGAGGCGGAGGCCGUCGAUUUCGAGCCUGAGGAGGACGAUCUUAUGGACGAGGAUGUCGGCGAUGGCUCCCCCAACCGAGCCACCGUUCCUCGCCUGAAGUCCGCCAUCACCGGCGGCGGCUCCUCCACCGCUCCAAAGAAGACCAAGGGCCGCGGGUUUCGCGACGAGGCCGCUGCUGAAGCGGACCGAAAUGCUCGCAUGUCCGCCCCCUUCGAUUCGCUCGAUUCAGAAGGCGGUCCUGGCCCCGAACGAUGUCAGUAUCCAAAACCCUAAUUAUUUUUGAAUUAUUCCGUUUUUAUUUUUCCAUUUAGGUUAUUUGUGUGAAUUCACCUUGCUUCUAACCGUUCUGUUGAUAUCUUUGUUCGGACAUAGUUGCUGUAUUAGAAAUUUGAAAACAUGUUAUAUUUUAGAUCAGUUUCAGUAGAACCAUUUUGGUGUAUAGUAUAAUUGAGCUUGAUACUCUCGCUUGGGUUGCUUUUUGGGUAGUGUUUACAUUUUCCCUUGCACUCAUAGUGUGGGAGAAGUGAGCUCUAGAUGUACUACUGAUUGAAUUUGUUCGGGUGUUUGACACUGUUGUUUGGUGCAAAUUCGAAGUGGAGGCAUGUUUGAUUAGAUGGCACCAUUUGUUUUUCAUAAAAACUUCAAUUGGAUAUUGGGAUAGAAGUUGAGGUCUAGUUGUGAUUGCACUUUUGUAGCUAUUGAAGGAUGGAUUAUUCUGGUUACUGGAGUUCAUGAAGAGGCUCAAGAGGACGAUCUGCAAAACGCAUUUGGUGAUUUUGGAGAGAUAAAGAAUUUACACUUGAAUCUCGAUCGUCGUACGGGUUUUGUCAAGGUAUAUAAAUCUUGCGUUCUUUUACGAUUCGUUAUGAAAGUUACCUGCUAUAUACUAAUUAUGUAACAUGUUAAAGAGAAAUCUAAUGACAUUCUAUAUGAUGUUUAUCAGGAUUAACUUUAAAUGUUAUGUAAAUCUUCUUCUUCUUCUUCCACAUUUUUACAUUUUACACUUUGUUGAAUUUGAAGGCAUACCAUCCCUUUCUGCAACCGCUUUAGAUGAUAUUAUAACAUAGAUUCUCUGUAUCAGCAAUUGAGGAUCCUGUAAAAUAGUUUAAUGUUAUAGCCCGGAUGAACAUUUUGAGUCUUACAAACUACCCUUGUGUGUAGAUGGGCUCCAAGAAAAGAUUAUUAUUUACUCUGAGUUGCCUAAGCAGCAUAUUUGCAUCUCUGAAGCAGUCUUUACUCACAAAGGGAUUAGUCAGCAUGUUUCUUUUUCUGCUCGACACCCUCAUGUUUUUCUCGAUAAUAAUCUAUUUAUCUUUCCCUUGACUAUGUCGCUUGUAUAUCCAUUGUCCACUAAAUGUGUUAUGGUAUUUUCUAGGGCUAUGCUCUAAUUGAAUUUGAGAAGUUUGAGGAGGCACAGAGAGCCAUAAAUGAGAUGAAUGGAACUGAACUCCUAACCCAGACCAUGAAUGUUGACUGGGCGUUCAGCAAAGGUCCAUUCAGAAGAAGGAACAUUAGGAGGAGGUAUGUGAUCUCAAAUUCUCUGCAACAACAAUAUAAGUCCCUCUGUUCUUUCUAAAUGUCUAACUCAAAUUAUGGGUUCUUAUUACUGUUGCUCAUAGUAUAGGACUAGGAAAUAGCUGUACCAAACAUGAUAGUGCUCCCAUGACUUUUGGAGCCAGAGGUAAUGUGCAGAGCUUGGGAAAUACUGAUACUGGAAAUGUGCAUGUGUCACUUAUUACCUUAACAGACAAAUACAACAUUUGGAAUGUUGUUGAGGGGGCACGUUAAAUAUUUUAAUUAUCAGUUAGGGUUUGUAAUAAUUCAGACAUGGUGAAUCAAUGUUAGGAUACGUAACCUUGAAAAAUCUCUCCACUUUGAAUAUGUUAGAUGACACUCUUCAUAUCUAGUUUUGAGUGACCCAUAUUAGGUUGGUAAUAAUUUUGAAUUGUCUUGUAGUGGGAGUUGGAACAACCACAUUAUAAAAAGGGCAUGUAAUUGGGGAUUAAAAAGUUUACAAACCCUCUUUUCAUGUCUGGAUCCUAUCCGACUGUUACUGUUUUGUGAUUCAUCAUUUUUAUUGAAAUCUUCUACAGAUCACCUCGGGGUCAUCAUUCCAGGAGUCCAAGGAGGAGAUUCUGAUCAUGGUGGCAUGUGAGAGUUUUUGGCACUUUGAUUUAGAGUGAAGAUACAAAUGUGAAUCUUUGUUAACUUUUAACAAUGUGUACGAUUGUUGUUUCUGUUGUCAGUUUUCGUUCAUUGACUUCAUUUCAGCUGUAUUAACGUAUUUAUGAGGCUUCUUUGGAUUGCUCUUCCUGGCUUGCUAUUUAUAUAGGUUGGUACUUUAGUUGAAGGAUGUUCCAAUGUUGUGUUCUUAUUGAUUCCGAUCAGUGUAUUCAUUGCCUUUUUGAUUGGUAUUUGUGCUUGUCUUGUUGUAAGAUCAUCAUUUUGUUUUGGGAUAAUCAUAAUUUGUCAUUAACUUUUACGUUUUUUUUAAAUCUAUGUAUAUAUAUAAAAGCUCAUCCAACUUCACAAUUUUUUUCCCGCCCAAAACUAGAGUGUAAUUUCUAUACCAAUCACUAUUUAGUCCUAUCUUAAAUUUGGUAAUUAACAAUUAAUUAAAGCAUUAAAUAUGAUAAUUAGUUGAUAUUAUAAAUAUUGUUAUAAUAUAAAAAGACAUUCAACAUUAAAAAGUAUAGAUUACUUAUACUUUUAAAUAAUUUAGUUAAAUAACUAUUACCGUGCAUCGCACGGGAGCAAAACUAGUAAGACUUAAAUAGCACAGCCAAAAAGCACAUAAUAACCCCUCGUUUUUCUACUUAUUUGUCUACUCAUUAGCACAACCCUCGUUUUUCUUCAAAAUCCCUUUAGCCCUUCCCCUCCUAUCCCCAAAUCUAAACCUAGCUAAAUAUCUGCUUCAAUGGCGAAUGCGGAGGCGGAGGCCGUCGAUUUCGAGCCUGAGGAGGACGAUCUUAUGGACGAGGAUGUCGGCGAUGGCUCCCCCAACCGAGCCACCGUUCCUCGCCUGAAGUCCGCCAUCACCGGCGGCGGCUCCUCCACCGCUCCAAAGAAGACCAAGGGCCGCGGGUUUCGCGACGAGGCCGCUGCUGAAGCGGACCGAAAUGCUCGCAUGUCCGCCCCCUUCGAUUCGCUCGAUUCAGAAGGCGGUCCUGGCCCCGAACGAUGUCAGUAUCCAAAACCCUAAUUAUUUUUGAAUUAUUCCGUUUUUUAUUUUUCCAUUUAGGUUAUUUGUGUGAAUUCACCUUGCUUCUAACCGUUCUGUUGAUAUCUUUGUUCGGACAUAGUUGCUGUAUUAGAAAUUUGAAAACAUGUUAUAUUUUAGAUCAGUUUCAGUAGAACCAUUUUGGUGUAUAUUAUAAUCGAGCUUGAUACUCUCGCUUGGGUUGCUUUUUGGGUAGUGUUUACAUUUUCCCUUGCACUCAUAGUGUGGGAGAAGUGAGCUCUAGAUGUACUACUGAUUGAAUUUGUUCGGGUGUUUGACACUGUUGUUUGUUGCAAAUUCGAAGUGGAGGCAUGUUUGAUUAGAUGACACCAUUUGUUUUUCAUAAAAACUUCAAUUGGAUAUUGGGAUAGAAGUUGAGGUCUAGUUGUGAUUGCACUUUUGUAGCUAUUGAAGGAUGGAUUAUUCUGGUUACUGGAGUUCAUGAAGAGGCUCAAGAGGACGAUCUGCAAAACGCAUUUGGUGAUUUUGGAGAGUUAAAGAAUUUACACUUGAAUCUCGAUCGUCGUACGAGUUUUGUCAAGGUAUACAAAUCUUGCGUUCUUUUACGAUUCGUUAUGAAAGUUACCUGCUAUAUACUAAUUAUGUAACAUGUUAAAGAGAAAUCUAAUGACAUUCUAUAUGAUGUUUAUCAGGAUUAACUUUAAAUGUUAUGUAAAUCUUCUUCUUCUUCUUCCACAUUUUUACAUUUUACACUUUGUUGAAUUUGAAGGCAUACCAUCCCUUUCUGCAACCGCUUUAGAUGAUAUUAUAACAUAGAUUACUCUGUAUCAGCAAUUGAGGAUCCUGUAAAAUAGUUUAAUGUUAUAGCCCGGAUGAACAUUUUGAGUCUUACAAACUACCCUUGUGUGUAGAUGGGCUCCAAGAAAAGAUUAUUAUUUACUCUGAGUUGCCUAACCAGCAUAUUUGCAUCUCUGAAGCAGUCUUUACUCACAAAGGGAUUAGUCAGCAUGUUUCUUUUUCUGCUCGACACCCUCAUGUUUUUCUCGAUAAUAAUCUAUUUAUCUUUCCCUUGACUAUGUCGCUUGUAUAUCCAUUGUCCACUAAAUGUGUUAUGGUAUUUUCUAGGGCUAUGCUCUAAUUGAAUUUGAGAAGUUUGAGGAGGCACAGAGAGCCAUAAAUGAGAUGAAUGGAACUGAACUCCUAACCCAGACCAUGAAUGUUGACUGGGCGUUCAGCAAAGGUCCAUUCAGAAGAAGGAACAUUAGGAGGAGGUAUGUGAUCUCAAAUUCUCUGCAACAACAAUAUAAGUCCCUCUGUUCUUUCUAAAUGUCUAACUCAAAUUAUGGGUUCUUAUUACUGUUGCUCAUAGUAUAGGACUAGGAAAUAGUUGUACCAAACAUGAUAGUGCUCCCCAUGUACUUUUGGAGCCAGAGGUAAUGUGCAGAGCUUGGGAAAUACUGAUACUGGAAAUGUGCAUGUGUCACUUAUUACCUUAACAGACAAAUACAUCAUUUGGAAUGUUGUUGAGGGGGCAUGUUAAAUAUUUUAAUUAUCAGUUAGGGUUUGUAAUAAUUCAGACAUGGUGAAUCAAUGUUAGGAUACGUAACCUUGAAAAAUCUCUCCACUUUGAAUAUGUUAGAUGACACUCUUCAAAUCUAGUUUUGAGUGACCCAUAUUAGGUUGGUAAUAAUUUUGAAUUGUCUUGUAGUGGGAGUUGGAACAACCACAUUAUAAAAAGGGCAUGUAAUUGGGGAUUAAAAAGUUUACAAACCCUCUUUUCAUGUCUGGAUCCUAUCCGACUGUUACUGUUUUGUGAUUCAUCAUUUUUAUUGAAAUCUUCUACAGAUCACCUCGGGGUCAUCAUUCCAGGAGUCCAAGGAGGAGAUUCUGAUCAUGGUGGCAUGUGAGAGUUUUUGGCACUUUGAUUUAGAGUGAAGAUACAAAUGUGAAUCUUUGUUAACUUUUAACAAUGUGUACGAUUGUUGUUUCUGUUGUCAGUUUUCGUUCAUUGACUUCAUUUCAGCUGUAUUAACGUAUUUAUGAGGCUUCUUUGGAUUGCUCUUCCUGGCUUGCUAUUUAUAUAGGUUGGUACUUUAGUUGAAGGAUGUUCCAAUGUUGUGUUCUUAUUGAUUCCGAUCAGUGUAUUCAUUGCCUUUUUGAUUGGUAUUUGUGCUUGUCUUGUUGUAAGAUCAUCAUUUUGUUUUGGGAUAAUCAAAAUUUGUCAUUAACUUUUACGUUUUUUUUUAAAUCUAUAUAUAUAAAAGCUCAUCCAACUUCACAAUUUUUUCCCGCCCAAAACUAGAGUGUAAUUUCUAUACCAAUCACUAUUUAGUCCUAUCUUAAAUUUGGUAAUUAACAAUUAAUUAAAGCAUUAAAUAUGAUAAUGUCACGACCGGCCCUAAUUAAGGAUAAUUAAGCCAGGGAAACCGUGACUAAUGGAGGGAGAUUAGAAGCGGGGUAGAAAGGGGAUAAUCAAACAAGGAAGGAUCGCAUUUCAUCAUUUAACAAAAGGGAUAUUUAUAAUAUAACAGAGGUUUAGUCGUAUAGACUCAAAUAACUAAUAAGUUCAGAUAACUCUGACUUAGCCAAAAUAACAUAAAACUUCUGAGUACGCAGCGGAAUAAGGUUCUGAUUACAUGUAUGAAGACAUGUAACCCUAGAGUUUUUCAUAGCAUAUAAUAUUGCGACAAAAGAGGAUUCCACUCGUCACUUCAUCACCAUCGUCUACUGCUCAACCUGCACAUUUAGAAACACAUGCAGGGCUGAGUACAAAGGUACUCAGUGGGCACAUAUGCCUACUAUGAAAUAUAACAUGCUUCGUAAAGAUUUAAAUUGUCAUGCCAUCAUAAACAGUACAACAAGGGGUUUUUCGCUAAAAAGGCCCAAGCUUACUAAAUUCAGUUGUGAUUCUUAAAGUUCGACUGCAGUCUAAGUUCUCUUGUAAUCUAUCAUAUCUGGAACUGUGUGCCGGAGAGGUGGCCACCUCUCACGGUCACUUGACCGGCCAACCCGCUAGAUGACUCACGGUCACUGGUGUACACUAGCCCUGGCAGGAUAGCUAUCAACUGCUCAGGACCCGAAUUCGAUUGCAUAAUAACUGGCAAAGCCACAUCAGAUAGAUAUCAUACCAAACAUUGAAACAUUUAUGGCAAGACAACAUUUGAAAUAAUUUUCAGUUCAAUGAUUUUGCAAUGAAAUAACUGUUCAAACAUAACAUUAAACUCAUUUGAUAUAUAUGAAAGUAACCCACCUGAUAGCAAAGCUUUGCUACAGAUUAGUGACUCCUUGACGAGCUCUUAUUCUUUGCGCUCGACCUUUAAUCCGAGAAAAUAACGUAAGACUUUAAAUCGAGAGAAAAUUCUCAAUUAAAUGAGAAUGCGUAAUUUAACUAUGCAUGAAUCUCGUAUGCAUGAUCUAUUAUUCUGAGAUAAUAAUCAGGGAAUUUCUAUUGUUAAUCCAGAUUAUCGGAUUUAAACAAAAGCUAAGUCUCGUCUCAUGAAGCCGGAUAAUUAACAAAAAUUAAUCCGUUCUCUUCGGGGUGUUCUAAUCCGUCAAUUAAAUAAACCCCGCUCCUCGUAGUCAAAAGAAAAUAAAUAAAUACUUCAGCUUAUUCGAUUUAUAACCUCAUAAUUAAUCAGCUUAAUAAAUAGGAAUAAGUAAUGUUAUAAGAUUAAAUAAUUAAAAGGCUCAACAUAAGGCAACCUAAUAAUUAAUUAAGCAGGGGUGGGCCUGAAUUAAAUAAAUCAUGGCAGCCCAAAUAAAAUAAUGAGGGGCUCCAAAUAACAAUACUAAUAAUUUUGAGCUCAAAUGUGUGAAUUAAAUAAUUGGCUCAAAUGAAUAAAUAAAUCUGGACGGCCUAUAGAACAUAUAUGAGGCGGCCCAACGGAAUAAAAUACGAGGCCCGAAUAGUGAAUGAAAUCGGCCCAAUUACUGAAUAAACGAUUGGACUCAAUUAAAUAAUGCAUGGCCCAAUGAAUAAAUCUCCAGCCCAUUCUAAUUAAUUUAACUUCAGCCCAAGAUAAAAUAAAACAAAAGCCCAAAGAAAUUAAAAUGAAAAAGCCCAAUCUUUAGCCCAACAACAAAAAUAACAAAAAUAAAAGCCCAACAUCCAUUUUUCUCCCCCCCAAGUCUCUCGGUUCUCUCUCUCAAUAUGUCUCUGCGCCCUCUCUCUCUCUCCACGCGAGUCCUGCCGCCGCCGUCUCCGGCUGUUUCAGCCGCCAUCGAUCCGGCGCCCUUCUUUCACGUCGGCCACCCUUCUCCUUCCACGUUCUCUCUUCUCACAGCGCCUUUCAAAUCUAUGAAGGAAACCCAAAAAGGGAAGCCCCAAAUUUUAUUUCCUCCUCUGCCUGAACCCGCCGCCGCCGCUGCUGAGGAACCGGCGAGUGGCCGUCGUUCUAAGCUUCAUGUUCGGUUGAGGGCGCCGCCCCUCUCAUCCGAUUCACCUUCCUCAGUCUCGACGAAGCAACCCAACCGAGCCCUAGGUUCCUUCGGCUCAAGCGACAUCGCCGCCACUGCCUGGGCUCGAUCGCGCUUCAGAAAUUCCGGCGGAGUCGACGCCGCUCUUCGGCUUUGCCUGAAAACUGGCGUCCCUCCUCCCACUUCACAGAUGCGAGGUAGAAAGGAGGUGAGCCCUAAUUUCCUGAAUCAGAAAUCGUCACUUCUCUGUCAUUUCCGGCGAGUCGACGCUGCACCCUGACUACGGCGCCGUCCUCUCGGCGCUCCUCACUUUCAGGUACCUCCAAAGGAGCCCUAAUUUCUACCUCUUAGGCUCGUCGCGCCUGAAACUCACCACGCCGCCGGGCCUCAUUCUCCCUUGGCUGGCCGGAGCUUGUGGGUUCUCGCCGUCUUCUACGACGGUCAUCAUCGCUGGAGUUUGUUCGCCAUGGAUGCCGCUGACGCUGCACCUCUCUGGCGAGGCCGUGCCCUACUGUUGGCGCUGCUCUGCUCGGUUCCUUCGCCGCGUUGCCACGCCGUCUCGAGUCGUUGCCACUCUAUCCAUCGGGACAGAAAUUCCCUUUGGUUCUAGCUCUCCGAACCAUCAUUCUCGGCAGUUCACACCUCCCCCUUGUUGAUCAGUCACUGGUCCUCAAUUCAACACUCAAGCCUAAGCCGAGCUCUCUCGGCUCGGUUUCAAACUAAAGUAAUAGGAUGCAGUUAAACAAGGUAAAGUUUUCUUGUUUUCUUUCUGGUUGUGGUUGAGCUAAUCAUCUAGUUCUCUAUCAUUCUAUAGUUGUAGUAUUUGUAUUUCUAUACAACUGAAAACAUAUGCUUGAGGGUAUGAAGCAUGGAAUUGAACUGAAAUGAGAUGGUGUAAAUACCUUGCGUAUUUUGUGCUUGGUUGGCUGAUGCAUUUUUCUUUAGUUCAGUGGGGAUUUGCUGAAAUAAGUUGUGAUGUGCUUUGUCACAAUUGCAGGAAAAAAAAAUAUGGAAGAAGGUGAAAAAUCAAGCCAAGGCUUACCUUAAGUUUAAGCAGAAGCUUGAAUGAGCUCUCUCUCUCUCUCAUUCUCUUGUUGGCGUGUGAAGAAGUGAUGAGAAUUGCUUGGCUGAUGAUUUAAAAGAUGAAGUUGUUGGCUGAUACUACAAGGGUGUGAAUUGUGUCUGCCUUUAGAGUAGGUGUAGUCAUAGUUUGCGGCUGAGGUGAUGGGCUGUAGGUGGUUGAGUGACAUGGUCAAAAUUUGCAGCUGUUCUGCACUCCUCCGCACGCCCCUUUUUCCUCCUUUUUAUGGAAUAGGGUAGUCUUAUUGUAGGAGUAGGAAAUAUGGUGAUUGUAAGUGUAAAAGCUUUGACGUGAUGAUACAAAAAUCCCUCUAAUUCGAUCAUUUUGUAACUAAUUAUUAGUAUCUGUAAUAUUGCGCAUUCAUAGUCGAAUACUAAUUACUCUAAUAAAUCUCGUACUUCAAUAUCUGAUUUCUUGCGUGCUAAAUAAUUCUAAAUUAAAUCUGUAGCUUUAAUUAGCUUAAUAAGUCAAAAUCAAUCCACGACUUCAAGAAGAUAAUAAAAUAAUAUUUCUAUCACUUGUAAAUAAUAACACGACUUUACUGAUCUUAAUUGUGGAUUAAAAAGUUUACAAACCCUCUUUUCAUGUCUUUCGUUCCGACUUUUGCUGUUUUGUGAUUCAUUAUUUUUCUUUCAGUCUUCUUCAGCUCCCUCGUGGUUUUCCCUUAUUUAUGGUGUCUCCAUGAGAUUUUCACUGAGUGAUGGACUAGUUCCUAAUCAGUUGCACUUAUCAAUCCAAGUAUUGGUUUUUUUUUUUUUUUUUACUAAAUCUUGGACUAAACACGUGUUUUGGAUUUAAAAGAGACUUCCUGAGUUGGGAUAUGGAGAAAACAUUGGGCAUUCCCAUAACUUGGCAGUGACGCCUAUCCAUAAUAGGCUUUUAGGCAUAUUUCCUAGAAUCGUGUAUGGUCUCACAAGUNCGCUGAUCACCACGCUGAGCCUCCGUUUGUCCCGCCCCCAUUUCUCUCAACUAUUCAUUCCUCUCAAACUCUCUGGAGAAGAUGAAGAUGAAAGCCCUAAUUCCUCUCCAAUUCAGAAAUCGUCACCACCGCGGUUCUCCGCCCGUCCUAGGCGCCGACGACCGGUUUUUUCCGGAUUCUGGCGCUGAUCUGCUUCCGCGGACCCUCUUCUCACUCUCGCGCACACAAUUGAAGCAGAGGUUGAGACAUAGUUCUCUCGGCUCAGGCAAAAUCACCGCCGCCGCCGCGCACAGAACCGCCGGCCAUCAUCUUCUUGCGGCAUCCACCGCGAAUGACCCCGAUGAGACCAUGUCCGGUUGAGGGCGCCGCCCCUCUCAUCCGAUUCACCUUCCUCAGUCUCGACGAAGCAACCCAACCGAGCCCUAGGUUCCUUCGGCUCAAGCGACAUCGCCGCCACUGCCUGGGCUCGAUCGCGCUUCAGAAUUCCGGCGGAGUCGACGCCGCUCUUCGGCUUGCCGUCUCCUGAAAACUGGCGUCCCUCCUCUCACUUCACAGAUGCGAGGUAGAAAGGAGGUGAGCCCUAAUUUCCUGAAUCAGAAAUCGACAUGGUAACCUCCGCUGCCGCUCUGUGAACUGGCGAGAGCCUUCACUGUCGUCGUCGCCGGGUCUUCCCCUGAUCUCGCCCGACGAGCAGCAGAGCUCUGCCUCCGCCGAUGCUCCUCGGUUCGGCGAAACAGGGCAACCUCCCCUUCUUAAUGAAAGCUAAGUUCAUUCUUAAUACUCUAUUGUGAACGAAACUCAAAGUUUGUUGUAAACCCAGUUCAUAAUUCUAUUGAGCUCUAGCAUUUCUAUAAUUCGAUUAUGCAGUGGGUAAAACUAGCCAUAGUAGUUUGUUUAUCAUGCUUAAGUGUAGAGCAUGUAUGAUGGGAAAGUAGUAUAUGGAGCUCAAUGAAUACCUUGAAUGCUUUGCGAAUGUUUGCCUGUUUGGUGCAUGGUUGGUUGCUGCUGUUGUUGAAUCCAGAGGAUAGGAACUGAAAUGAACUGUGGAUUGCUUUCAUAGUGGAUGCAGGCUGAAAUUCAAGAAAGAAGUUUGCUGCUGAAUUGUUAAAGGCGUGAAUUUGGUAGUUAUACUUGAGUAUCUAGUCCUCUAUGCCAUGUGAAAGCCUUGAGAGAGAAUAGGUAGAGUUGCGGCUGAUUGGUCUCAUUUUUCUCUCCCGCAUGCUUGUAUGAUUGACAGCUUCUCUCUUUUUUUCUCUCCCGCAUGCUUGUAGGUAUGUAGCUGUAGUGUUUUGUGAUAGUGAUAGGUUUUGAUUGUAAGUAGGGAAUAGUGGUGAUGUAAAUAAUUCCCUACAGUCAUUGUGUAAAGUUGUAUCUGAAAAUCUAAUUUCUUUGUAUCAUCGCAUAUCUAUAAAAUCGAUUCUAGGUUUUGCUGAAUAACUAUGCUUCGAUAUAACAUCUCUACGAAUUAAAUAACUAAUUUAACUCGUUCUCAUUAGUCGGAACUAAAUCACGACUUUCAAGUAACUAAUAGAAAUAAAAUCUCUAUCGCAUAUAAAAUAACAACUUUAACUUGACUUUGCUAAGUCAAUUAUAAAUCUGAAAAUAUAAAUUAUUGACUGGCUCAAUAAUUUAUAUUGCGGUUUUUCUCACUCGAGCUAACAAGCACAACUAAAAUAAUAAUAGGCAUAGUAUACUUACAAUUUAGAAUCAUAGCUGAAAUUUUAAACAUAAAUAAUUACUGGGCUUUNUUUUUAUUAUUAUUAUUAUUUAGUGAAUGAUGCAACAAUAAUUAUCGCAUUACUGGUCUUAAUCAUAAAUAAAAGAGCGGGCUACUACAGAUGGCAGCGUCGAGCUUAUGCGGAAGCUGCAUGAAGCGUCGGAGACGGUCGACGCCGGCCACGUGGCUAGGAUGAAGAAUAGUGAGGUAUAUUUAAAAGGGGUUAUAAGUGCUGAGGCUCGAGCGAAUGAAAUGGUGGUUAGAUUUACUUUCUCGAGUAUGUGUGUGCAGGUUUCCUUUUUACGAAACGGAUUUCGGGUGGGGCAGACCCGUUUGGGUCGGGUUUCCCUACAAGAAUGGGGUAAUUUUUAUGGAUACCAAGAGUGAGGAUGGAAUAUAGAAGUAGUAAUUUAAUUAACCAAGCAAAAAUAUGGAAAAAUUCGCAGCUGAUUUAAUGUUAUUUGUUAAGUGUUGAAGAGUAAUUUGUAAUAAAAAGAAUUGAAUUAAUUAAUAUAUAAAUAAGGCAUUAAUGUAUUGCUCUGGUGUCUAUAAUUUUCAUUUAUAUAUAUGAAUGGAUUAUAUUGGAAAUUAAUAUUAUCAUUCGUCAAAAAUGAAAAUGAUUGCAUAAGUCAAUAUAUAAUAUUGUAUAAGUUGCAAUAUAUAAUAAAAAUCGCCGACAACUCUUUCUUCUUUCCUACACUCGGUUCCUUCCCUAAACCUCGUCGCUUUCAUCGUACUUCAUUUGUAUACUAUAAUAUACAUAUUUGUUCUCUCAUACAUAUUUGUUCUCUCAUUAGGACCUUUUUCUCUCACAAUGCUUUCUCAAUAUUCUUACAGGUUCAUUUGUCGAAUGACUUUAAUAACUUACAAAACUCUUAGAUAUUAAGCACUCUAUUUAAUUUAUAAUUAAUUUCUUACCAUUAUUUUAUAAUGUGCUAGAGCUUAUAAAAUAUCUAAAAAUACAUUUAGUAAAUUUUAAUUAAUUAACGUAGAUAUCUACGUGCUUGGUGGAGAAAAUUUAAUCAUAUAUAUCUCAACUUUAUUAAGAUUUUUCUGAAAUUUCCGUAUAAUUUUUACACUGUAUAUCUGAGACCUAAUAUCAAUUUUCUGAAAGUUUGGUACAAUUAAUUAUGAAAUUAAACAAUAGUUCAACCACCAAGUCUGUCUUCAUUUAUUAUACUACAUCCCAUAUAUUCCCAAGCCUCAAACCAGAAGCAUAAAGAUAUAUUAUUAAUUUAGUGAGAUGGCCAUACAUGGGUUUGUGUUGAUGGUGGUAGCUCCAAUAGUUCUUGUGUGGUACUUGGCAAUUAGAAGAGGCAAGAAACCCUCGGAGCCGACGACGUGGCCGGUGCUGGGGAUGCUGCCGGCGGUUCUCCUUAACCUCCGCCGCAUUCACGACUUCGCAAUAUAUUUUCACCAUAUAUUUUCAAGUUCCUGCUUAAGCUCCGUGAGAAGCCUUGGUUUCUCACCCUUACGAACCAUUAGUCUUCCAAUCAAAGCGUGCACAAAUUGAUUCACCUUGGUGACAAGAUGUUCUUUAGGGACCCGCAAAGUAGGUAUAGAGCCCGAUAAGUCCGGUUGAAGGGCGGUGUAUCUAUGAACCAAAACGUCUGGCUUACGUUCAAGUUUCCGUGGUUUCGUAAUUUCUGCAAAGGACGGAGGUAUCGGCCGGUUAGACGCCGUCGCCGAAGUAACCUCCGCAGCCUUUUCAGAAUCGUUUGAAACCCUAACUCCAAGAUUCGCAUGCAUGCUCUCGUUAACUGUCUCCAAAACCUUGUUGGGUUGCUGAUGGUCCGUGCUCAUCAUUCCAUCAGUCUCCAUGAUGAUCAGAUCCUGCCGGUGAGGUAACGUUUCAGAGUCAACAGAAACUUGCCGAGUAGGAGAGCGCUCCUUUGACAUAGCCCCCCGAUUAACCGGAGAGAAGUUGUUAGAAACUUGUGGUAGACGAAGACCUGCUCUGUCCGAUGACGGGGAGACCCGCGCGUGAUUCUCCGACGUCGGAAAAUCGACCAUAAUGAAGGCGGCGCGACUAGGGUUUAGUUGCCGAAAGUUUCAUGCUCUCAAAAACAAAGGGAAAUUUUGAGUUUUUUUUUUUUUUUGUGGAGAGCUCUCCAAUAUAUAACUAUAUAUAUAAUUAAUAGAUUAUAUCAAAUAUGAAGAACAACUUUAAAAACACUUCAACCAAAAAAAAAAUACAAAAAAAAAUACGCUUACAUAUACUUAUACAAUUAUUCUCAUUUCUCACGAAAGAUAUAACAUUUUCAUUAUAACAGAGGUUUUUAUUAGAACCUCUUCAGGGCUAGAAUAAAAACACUUUUAAGUGUAUAAAAUAUGGAUGAAUCUCAGCCCUUAGAUUAUCAAGAUCUACGGUUGAUUUGUAACCCUCCUGGACGAAUUCGUGAUCCUGGGUUCGAAUCCCAAAGGUAGCAAAUAUUUAUUUUUCACAAUUCGUAAUCAUGUUGGAUGAAUUCGUAACACUGUUGGAUAAAAUUCGUAAUUUGAAAAAACAUUUAUAUUUAUACAUUUAAGAGUGUUUUCAUCCUAGACUAUAUAUAUAUAUAUAUAUAUAUAUAAAUAAGUGUUGAGGCUCAUCGUUUCAUAUAUAAAGAGAAAGAAACAAUGGAGAUAGAAACUAAGGUAAUCUCAAUAGAGACCAUCAAACCAUCUUCUCCAACUCCAAAAUCUCUGCAAAAACACCAACUUUCCUUUCUUGAUCAAUAUACGCUUACAUCAUUCAGUCCAUUGGUCUUCUUCUACGCAUCAAACCCCCAAAUUCCCAACACCCAAAAAUCAAACCACCUCAAGAAAUCCUUGUCGGAAACCCUCUCGAUAUUCUACCCCCUCGCCGGCCGCCUCGUAGGCAACCUCUACGUCGAUGCGUCGAUGCCGGCGCACCCUUCUCCGAAGCCGAAGCCGACUGCGACCUCUCACAAGCCAUCACCAAUCCAAAUCCUAAAAUUUUGAAGAACUUUCUACCUUAUCAAGAGACAAAGGAUAUCCAAGAUGUUUGCGUGGCUGUUCGCGCCACCUAUUUCCGCUGGGGCGGCGUCGCCGUUGGGGUCCUCCUCUCGCACAAGAUCGCCGAUGCAGUAUCGUUCCUCUUUUUCGUUAACACCUGGUCCGCCGUCGCCAGAAACGGCGGUGCCGGCGACAUGCCGCUCCCAAAGUUCGACUCCGCCGCAUACUCUCCGCAGCUGGACAUCCCCGGGGUCGGGUUGCAACCCGCUACCGGAAUAAUGGUGGAGGAAGAGGUCGUCUCCAGAAUCUUCACGUUCCCGGAGUCAGAGAUCGCCGCCCUCCGGGAAAUAUACACCGUAGGGGGGCGCUGUCCGAGCCGGGUCGAGGCGCUGUCGACUUUUUUAUGGACCCGGUUCGUGUCCGCCGCGGGCAUUAGAUCCGACCCGAGUAGGAUCUGCAUGGUGCAUAAUGCGGUAAACCUACGAACCCGGGCCGACCCGCCGUUGCCUGGGUACCACUUCGGUAACUUCGUUUUAUCUUCGAGGGCGGAGGUGGCAGCCAAAGACGGCGGCGUCGAGGUUCUGCGGAAGGUGCGUGAAGCGUCGAAGGCGUUCGACGCCGGCUACGUGGCUAAGUUGAAGAACAGUGAGAUGUAUUUGAAAGAGGUUACGAGGGCUCAAGCUCAGGCUCGAGCCAAUAAAGGCAUGGUGAUUAGAUUCGUCUUCACGAGUUUGUGCAGGUUUCCUUUGUACGAAGCGGAUUUUGGGUGGGGCAGACCCGACCGGGUCCGGCACGGCGGAUUACCCUAUAAGAAUUUAGCACUUUUUAUGAAUACAAAGAGUGGGGAUGGAAUAGAGGCAUUGAUUCAAUUGACCAAACAAGAUAUGAAGAAAUUCGAAGCUCUGAAGAGCAGUUUGUAGUAAUGAAAAUUUUCAACCAUGUAAUAUAUAUUUUGACAAUUUUCGUCAAUGAUUGCACAUGUUCGAUCGAGGUUGUUUGAAAUGAACAGCAAGUUUCUAGAAUACUCCAUGCUGCUAAUAAUUAAACUAUAUGGAGUAUAUAUGUCCACCCACGUACGGCUCAAUAUUUACGGAGUAUAUUUUAAUGUGAAGAUUGAAUUGAACAAUGAGUUAAUUAAUAAUUGGUCAUAAUCCAUAUAAUUGAUACCCCUGUCCACAAAAAAACAAUCGUAAAAGUGGACGGCACGAAUUUUAAUAAAAUUAGUUAAGUUUAUUGUGGGUGAAGAAAGGGUUGCACAUGAAAGAUAGUAUUAAUAAUGAUAAUUAAUUGUAUUGUGAGUGGAGUUUAGGUCCCAUCAUGUGAUAGAAACUUUUCAAAAGUAAAAACAGAUUAAUUUUUGUGGAUGUCCCAAAAUAAUAAAAAAUUACUACUUUAAUUUUGUGGACGGAUGGAGUAUUUGAAUCGAGAUUAAUUGAUCAAUAUAGCUGGUUACUUCAUGAUUUGGAUUUAUAAGUUUUUUAUUUUAUUAAUUCUUUUGUUGGUAAAUGGUAGGAUCGAUUAUAUUAUACUCCCUUUGUCCUAUAAAAAUAUAUUACUUGGAGAAAUGACAUGGGUUUUAAAAAAUAUAGAUAGAUAAUAUGUUGAGUGGAGAAAAGAACCUACUACUUUUUAGAUAUAUUGUUUUUAAGAGAUAAAAAUAUAAGGAGUUGUGUGGGAUUAUGUCCUAAAAUAUACGUAUUAUAUUUUCAUAGGACGAACGAAAAUGAAAAAAGUAAUACAUUUUUAUGGGACGGAUAGAAUAUUAUAUUAUAUUGAAAAUAAUAAAUUUGAUAGUAAAAUAAUGAUAUCUCAUCCAAAAGGAGUGCAUGUGUGCUUAAAUAGUACUCCCUCCGCACUACAAAAAAACACGCGUUUAACGACCGAAAUUUUCGAUCGUUAAUUUUGCGGCCUUAACGACCGAUAUACGACCGUUUCACGACCGAUUUUAUUUUUUAACGACCGAAAAAUCGGUCGCUAAUUAUUUUUUUAAUAAUUUAAUAUUUUAUUUUUAUUAACGACCGAAAAUUCGGUCGUAAAAAUUAUUUUUUUAUAUUUUAAUUUUUUUUAAUGUUAACGACCGAAAAUUCGGUCGUUAAUAUAUAUUUUUUAUUUUUUUAACAAAAUAUUUUUUUAACGAUCGAAUUAUUCGGUCGUUAAUAUUAUUUUUUUAAUUUUUUAAUAUUUUUAAAUUAAAAAAAUAUUUUUUAAUUAAUUUUUUAAAGACCGAAUUUUUCGGUUGUUAAACUUAUUUUUAUUUUUUUUAUUUUUUAUUUAUUUAAAUUUUUUUUAUUAUUUAUUUUAUUUAUUAACGACCGAAUAAUCGGUCGUUAAUAUUAUUUUUUCAUUAAUUUUUAAAAUUUUUAAAUUUCGUUUUAUUUUUAUUUUACUUUUGAUUAUAUAUAUAUAUAAAAUUUCGUUUUUAUUUAAAUAUUAUUAAUAUAAAUAUUUAAUUAUUUUUUAUUAAUUUUCUAUUUAAUUAUUAUUUUCAAAUUAUAGAGAAUAUUUUAAAAAUGAUUGUUAUUUUCAUAAUAUUAUUCUAAAAAAAAUAGAUAAUAUUUAUUAUUAAUAAAAAUGUGAUUAUUAUUUACAAAUAAUAAUAAAUUAUUAGAUUUAUUGGAUUUAUUAUAAUAAAUUAUUAGACUUAUUGAUUUUUUAAAUUAUUAGAUUCAUUAUUUUCAAAAAUAUUAAUAAUUUUAUUAUUUUUAAAAUAAUAAAAUUAUUUUUGAAAUAUUAAUUUUAUUAAUAUUGAUUAUUUGAUUUAAUAAUUGAUUUUUGUUAGUAUAUUUGAUUGUUAUUUUUCAUACUCAUAUUUUCUUUCUUUUUUUAAUACGAUAAUAUUAAUUUUUUAUUAUUUUAAAUUCGAUCGUAUAUUUAUCGUCAAUGUUUCGUCGACACCACAAAUCUUAGUUAUUAUCUCGACAUAUUAUAAGGUUAUGAAUGAUUAAUGAUAUUUUAUAUUGAAUUAGAGUUUAAAUGAAUUAAUAGGUACUAUAUAUAUCAAUAAUACGAGUGUUCCCUAUUGGUGACUACUCGAAAAUAACUUCAAGGUUAAGCGUGCUUGACUUAGGUCACAAGUAAGAUGGGUGACCUACUGGGAAGUUCGUCAAAUGGUAUGCAAUUAAGGUCAAAAUACAUUAGAAAUACACUAAAAAUACUUGUGGGAUACAAAGAGAUUUAAAAAAAAAAAAAAAAUUCGAAAAAAAAAAUAUAUUUUUUUAUUAUUUUUAACGACCGAAAAUUCGGUCGUUAAAAAUAAAAUUUCGGUCGUUAAUUAAAAAAAAUUUAAAAAAAANCACUACAAGAAAACACGCGUUUAACGACCGUAAAAUUUCGGUCGUUAAUUUUUCGGCCUUAACGACCGAUUUACGACCGUUUAACGACCGAUUUUAUUUUUAUUUAUUUUAUUUUUAACGACCGAAAAUUCGGUCGCUAAUUAUUUUUUUAAUAUUUUAAUAUUUAAUUUUUCUUAACGACCGAAUUUUCGGUCGUAAAAAUUAAUAUAUAUAUUUUUAUUUUUUUAUUAAAAAAUUAUUUUUUUAAAAAAUAAUUUUUAAAAAAAAUAAAUUUUUAACGUACCGAAUUAUUCGGUCGUUAAUAUUAUUUUUAUUUUUAUAUUUUUUUAAUAUUUUUAAAAAUAAAAAAAUAUUUUUUUUAAUUAUUUUUUUUAAAGACCGUAAUUUUUCGGUCGUUAAAAUUAUUUUUAUUUAUUUUUAUUUAUUUUUAUUUAUUUAAUUUAUUUAUUUAUUUAUUUUAUUUAUUAACGACCGAAAUAAUCGGUCGUUAAUAUUAUUUUUCAAAUUUUAAAAAAUUUUUCAAGUUCAUUUAUAUUUUUAUUAAUUUUUAUUUUUCGAUUAUAUAUAAAUAUUUAAUUAUUUUUUAUUAAUUUUCUAUUUAAUUAGUUAUUUUCAAAAUUAUGGAGAUUAUUUUUAAUUAUUUAAUUAUUAUUUUUCGAUUAUUAUUUAAUUAUUAUUUUCUAUAGAAAUAAUUAAUUAUUUAAUUAUUAUUUUUUCGAUUAUUAUUUUAUUUUUAUUUUUCUAUUUCUAUUUAUUUAUUUUUAUUUAAUUUUCUAUUUAAUAUUAUUUUAAUUAUUUUACAAAUUUAAUUAUUUUUUAUUAAUUUUCUAUUUAAUUAUUUUCGAUUAUAUAUAAAUAUUUAAUUAUUUUUUAUUAUUUUCAAAUUAUUUUAUUUUUAUUAUUUAAUUAUUAUUUUCAAAUAAUAAUAAAUUAUUAGAUUUAUUAUAAUAAAUUAUUAGACUUAUUAGAUUUUCUGAAUUAUUGUUGUAUACGAUUAUUAUUUUUCAUACUCAUAUUUCUUUCUUUAUUUAAUUACGAUAAUAUUAAUUUUUUAUUAUUUUUAAUUCGAUCGUAUAUUUAUCGUAAAUGUUUAAUGAUAUUUUAUAUUAUCUCGACAUAUUAUAAGGUUAUGAAUGAUUAAUGAUAUUUUAUAUUGAAUUAGAGUUUAAAUGAAUUAAUAGGUACUAUAUAUAUCAAUAAUACGAGUGUUCUGUACUGGUGACUACUCGAAAGGAACUCCAAGGUUAAGCGUGCUUGACUUAGAGCACAAGUAAGAUGGGUGACCUACUGGGAAGUUCGUCAAAUACAUUAGAAAUACACUAAAAUACUUGUGGAUACAAGAUAUAUAUAUAUAUAUAUAUAUAUAUUUUCGAAAAAAAAUUAUUUUUUUUAUUAAUUUUUAACGACCGAAUUUUCGGUCGUUAACAAUAAAAUUUCGGUCGUUAUUUAAAAAAAUAAAAAAAGUUAUUAUUAUUAAUGACCGAAAAAAACGGUUGUUAAAUCGGUCGUUAAAAAUAUUAACGACCGAUUUUUGGGUUUUAACGACCGAAAUUUUGGUCGUUAGAGCCGCAUUUUCUUGUAGUGCCGUCCCACUAAAAGUGGUCUGUAUUCCAUUUUGAAUCGUCCUACUAUAAGUGGUCUAUUUCCACAAAUGAUAAAAAUAAAUCAUUUAAAAAAGUGUGGACCCUACCACUUUAACACAUUUACAUCUUCUCCUUAAUUUUUGUGCCGAAAAGUUUUGAGCCACUUAUAUUAAAAUGGAGGGAGUAAGUGGGAAUGGACAUAAUUAAAUUUUAAAUCUUAAUUUGUUUAUUAGAAGUUAUAUUUUACACACACACACACAUAUAUAUAUAUAUAUUCUUGUUUUCAUAAGUUAAAUAUGAUUAUCGAUUCUUGUUCUUGAUCCAUUCACAAUACAAUAUAUAGUAAGUGAGAAUAUAUGGACAUAACUUUAAAAUUUUAAUUUGUUUUAUUAGAAGUUAAAUUUAAUUAGUACUGCAUGGUGCAUUUUAUUUAGGUUCGCAAAUAUUGAACUUAAAUUACAAUUUUUUUUAGACUGAAUUAUGAAAGUUUAAAUUUGUUGGGUAUUGAUUUGUCAAACCUCUAACACAAAACUCUCCAUUUGAUUCCAUAGUUGAUUACGCAAUAUAUAUAUCUUAAUAUAUCAUAUACUAUAAUCACUUAGUAGGACAGUUCUAAACUUCUAAGUGGUCUUGAAUUGUUGAUUCCUUCAGCAAAAUAUCUUUUACUUAUAGUAUUAAGUAAGGACUCGUAUUUUAGGAUUAGAAUAUCUUCACGUAUAUAAUAAGGUUUCAAAAGAAUAUUUACUUAUAUACUGCUCCAUAUAUUAAAAUAUUAAUUCAUACCUUUUGUAUACAUAGGCAAGAUAUAUCUCCUAUAGAUAAAAGUUUAUAUGUUUGAGCAGGAGUAGGACUCAAUUUCUAGGCAAACCUCUUGGCUCACCUGGGAUACGUACACAUAUAAAGUAAAAUUAACGUAACCUUACUUAUUAUAUAUAUGUUGAUUUCUAGAGAACAUAUAAAAUAAAACUAACGUAACCUUACUUAUUAUAUAUAUGUUUGAGUUCAAGUAUUGUCUCGAUCUCUUCUUCAUUACUUAAGUAUGGAGCAUAGUCAUGAUGAUAUUGAUAAGCCGUCCGUAAGUAAAAAAAAGUUCUUUUUGAAGAGUUAGGGGUUUAAUUAAUUAAUCUCUUGAAAUUCAAUUAAUUUUGUGAUGCAGGUGGAUGCUUGCUGUGUUGCUUUGGGGUUGAUUGUGUUAGUUGAGAUAUUCUUGAGUCUUGUUGUUAUUGAAGGCCUUUUGGUGGUGGCUGUGCUGUUGACGUCGUUGAUUUGCCACAUUGUUUGGUUUGCUUCUUUCCGCUUCAUAAUACUAAUACGGCAAAAGGAUCGUUGGUUCAUAGUUAGAGUUGUGUUGUGGCAAAUAGUUAGUCUUGCGCUCAACACGUCGGCCACCAUCGCCGGUGUCGCUACGACAUUCCACGGGUGGCGCUUCCGUCGAUUUCUGCUCCAGUGGGCUGCGCUCCUUUACGUAUUCUGCUUCCUAAUAUUCCUCAUUGUAGGCAUGUUUUGUGCCGAUGGCUGCUGCACGCAGCCGCCGUCCAACGCCACGGAUCAACCGGCCUCCCUGGUAUAGUUCAGUUUCAGUUUAUAAUUUGAUGAUUUUUUUUUUCCAUCGGUUUUUCAGUUUCCAUUGAGAUCUAUGACUCAAUCAUAAACAUAUCGUAUUUUUCUUGCUUGCACGAGCGAGUUUAAUGAGUUGUAAGUCAAACAAAAUCAUAAUUCUACUUAAAUCUAUUUUCGUUCGAUUUUAAUGAGUUGUAAGUCCAAGAAAAAAUCGAUUUUUCGCUUCCAUCGAUUUUUUUUUCAUAGAGAUUUAAAUCGAAUUUUCGAUUGCACUUAAUUCAACAUAGAAACUAAAAAUUAAGAUCGAAAUAAAAUUGUGGCAAACAUAUGAAUUAUGACAUGCAGACUUAAAGAAAAUUAUUUUCACUUAUAACGAAUUAUGGCCGAAAUUACGAAAGAGGAUGAAAUCCGAAAAACUUAAAAGUUCCUAGUAUUAGUAUUUGUACCCGACUACCCGUGCAAUGCACGAAUUUUGUUUUUAAAUUUUUAUAUUUAUAUAAAUAUAAUAUUAAUUCAAUAAUCAUACUUACAAAUAUAAUAAAAAAAUUAAUUUUAACUAAAUAAAUUGGAAUUGAAUACUGAAAAAUGAAAAAAGUAAAGAAUAAUUCACAAUUAUAAAAUUUGAUAUUAUGACAAUUGAAAAAAAAAAUUAAAAAUAGAUUUAUUCAAACAAAAUAUAAUAGAGAAUUUUUUUUAAAAUAUAAUAUUUAAACAAAUAUAACUUUUAUAUUUUAUAUCAACUAUUUACAUAAAAUAUAAGCUCUUAUCGUGAUCUUUAAUUUGAUAUGCAUAUUAAAUAUUUUAUAAUUAAUCGAAUUUCUAAAUUUUGGAAAUAAAUAAAAUAAGAAGUUAACUAAAAAGAAAAUAAAAAGAAUAUAUAUUUUACAUAGUGAAAUGUAAAAUGUGGUUAUGUGGCUAUGUGGCUAGCCUGAAGAAUAGUGAAAUGUGUUUGAAAAAAGCUACAAGGGCUCAAGCUCAACUCGAUAAAAAUGUGGUGGUUAGAUUCGUCUUCACAAGUUUGUGCGGGUUUCCUUUGUACGAAGCGGAUUUUGGGUGGGGUAGACCGGACCGGGUCGAGCACGGCGGGUUUUCCUACAAGAAUUUAGCAUUUUUUAUGGAUACAAAGAGUGGGGAUGGAAUAGAGGUAUUGAUUCAAUUGAACAAACAAGAUAUAUAUGGAGAAAUUCGAAGCCCAUCUAAUGUUGAAGAGCAAUUCGUAAUGAAAUAUUUCUAUCACGUAAUAUUUCUCUCCGGAAAAGGUACACCGGCGCAGGGGGUGCCGUCCGAGCCGGGUGGAUGCGUUGUUGGCUUUUAUAUGGACCCGGGUCGGGUCCGCGGCGGGCAUUUGAUCCGACCCGGAUAAGAUCUGCAUGGUGCAUAAUGCGGUCAACCUACAGAGCCGGGCCGACCCGCCGCUAUCCGGAUACCACUUCGGUAACUUGGUUAGUUGGUUAUAUCUUCGAAGGUGGAGGUGGCGGCCAGGGAUGGUGUCACGACCGGCCCUAAUUAAGGAUAAUUAAGCCGGGGAAACCGUGACUAAUGGAGGGAGAUUAGGAGCGGGGUAGAAAGGGAAAUAAUCAAACAAGAAAGGAUCGCAGUAUCAUUGUUAACAACAGGGAUAUUUAUAAUAUAACGGAGUUUUAGUCGUAUAGACUCAAAUAACUAGUAAGUUCGGAUAACUCCGACUUAGCCAAAAUAACAUAAAACUUCUGAGUACGCAGCGGAAUAAGGUUCUGAUUACAUGUAUGAAGACAUGUAUCCCUAGAGUUCAUUAAUACAUAAUAAGACAAAAGAGUCCCGCUCGUCACUUCAUCACCAUCGGCAGCUGCUCAACCUGCACAUUUAGAAAUAUAUGCAGGGCUGAGUACAAAAGUACUCAGUGGGCACAUAUGCCUACUAUGAAAUAUAACAUGCUUCGUAAAGUUGUAAAUUGUCAUGCCAUCAUAAACAGUACAGCAAGGGAGUUUUUCGCUAAAAAGGCCCAAGCUUACUAAAUUCAUUUGUGAUUCUUAAAGUUCGACUGCAGUCUAAGUUCUCUUGUAAUCUAUCAUAUCUGGAACUGUGUGCCGGAGAGGUGGCCACCUCUCACGGUCACUUGACCGGCCAACCCGCUAGAUGACUCACGGUCACUGGUGUACACUAGUCCUAGCAGGAUAGCUAUCAACUGCUCAGGACCCGAAUUCGAUUGCAUCAUUGGCAAAGCCAAAGCAGAUAGAUAUCAUACUAAAAUUUAAACAUUUUAUGGCAAGACAAUACUUGAAAUAACUUUAACUCAAAGAUUUUGUCAUGAAAUAACUUGCUUGAAUGUAACAUUUAAACUCAUUUGAUAUAUAUGAAAGUAAUGCCCACCUGAUAGCAAAGCUUUGCUACAGAUUAGUGACUCCUUGACGAGCUCUUAUUCUUGCGCUCGACCUUUAAUCCGAGAAAAUAACGUAAGACUUUAGAUCGAGAGAAAAUUCUCAAUUAAAUGAGAAUGCGUAAUUUAACUAUGCAUGAAUCUCGUAUGCAUGAACUAUUAUUCUGAGAUAAUAAUCAGGGAAUUUCUAUUGUUAAUCCAGAUCAUCGGAUUUAAAUAAAAACUAAGUCUCGUCUCAUGAAGCCGGAUAAUUAACAAAAAUUAAUCCGUUCUCUUCGGGGUGUUCUAAUCCGUCAAUUAAAUAAACCCCGCUCCUCGUAGUCAAAAGAAAAUAAAUAAAUACUUCAGCUUAUUCGAUUUAUAACCUCAUAAUUAAUCAGCUUAAUAAAUAGGAAUAAGUAAUGUUAUAAGAUUAAAUAAUUAAAAGGCUCAACAUAAGGCAACCUAAUAAUUAAUUAAGCAGGGGUGGGCCUGAAUUAAAUAAAUCAUGGCAGCCCAAAUAAAAUAAUGAGGGGCUCCAAAUAACAAUAUUAAUAAUUUUGAGCUCAAAUGUGUGAAUUAAAUAAUUGGCUCAAAUGAAUAAAUAAAUCUGGACGGCCUAUAGAACAUAUAUGAGGCGGCCCAACGGAAUAAAAUACGAGGCCCGAAUAGUGAAUGAAAUCGGCCCAAUUACUGAAUAAACGAUUGGACUCAAUUAAAUAAUGCCUGGCCCAAUGAAUAAAUCUCCAGCCCAUUCUAAUUAAUUUAACUUCAGCCCAAGAUAAAAAUAAACAAAAGCCCAAAGAAAUUAAAAUGAAAAAGCCCAAUCUUUAGCCCAACAACAAAAAUAACAAAAAUAAAAGCCCAACAUCCAUUUUUCUCCCCCCCCCAAAUCUCUCGGUUCUCUCUCUCUCAAUGAAAAUCAGACGCCUCUUUUUUUUUUCUCCCUCAACCGAUCUCUCCCUCUCUCUCGACCGCUCUACGCGAGCUCCGCCGCGAACGGCUCCGGCGAGGGGUCCAGCGCCGCCGCCGCUGAUCACCACGCUGAGCCUCCGUUUGUCCCGCCCCCAUUUCUCUCAACUAUUCCUUCCUCUCAAACUCUCUGGAGAAGAUGAAGAUGAAAGCCCUAAUUCCUCUCCAAUUCAGAAAUCGUCACCACCGCGGUUCUCCGCCCGUCCUAGGCGCCGACGACCGGUUUUUCCGGAUUCUGGCGCUGAUCUGCUUCCGCGGACCCUCUUCUCACUCUCGCGCACACAAUUGAAGCAGAGGUUGAGACAUAGUUCUCUCGGCUCAGGCAAAAUCACCGCCGCCGCCGCGCACAGAACCGCCGGCCAUCAUCUUCUUGCGGCAUCCGCCGCGAAUGACCCCGAUGAGACCAUGUCCGGUUGAGGGCGCCGCCCCUCUCAUCCGAUUCACCUUCCUCAGUCUCGACGAAGCAACCCAACCGAGCCCUAGGUUCCUUCGGCUCAAGCGACAUCGCCGCCACUGCCUGGGCUCGAUCGCGCUUCAGAAAUUCCGGCGGAGUCGACGCCGCUCUUCGGCUUUGCCGUCUCCUGAAAACUGGCGUCCCUCCUCUCACUUCACAGAUGCGAGGUAGAAAGGAGGUGAGCCCUAAUUUCCUGAAUCAGAAAUCGACAUGGUAACCUCCGCUGCCGCUCUGUGAACUGGCGAGAGCCUUCACUGUCGUCGUCGCCGGGUCCUCCCCUGAUCUCGCCCGACGAGCAGCAGAGCUCUGCCUCCGCCGAUGCUCCUCGGUUCGGCGAAACAGGGCAACCUCCCCUUCUUAAUGAAAGCUAAGUUCAUUCUUAAUACUCUAUUGUGAACGAAACUCAAAGUUUGUUGUAAACCCAGUUCAUAAUUCUAUUGAGCUCUAGCAUUUCUAUAAUUCGAUUAUGCAGUGGGUAAAACUAGCCAUAGUAGUUUGUUUAUCAUGCUUAAGUGUAGAGCAUGUAUGAUGGGAAAGUAGUAUAUGGAGCUCAAUGAAUACCUUGAAUGCUUUGCGAAUGUUUGCCUGUUUGGUGCAUGGUUGGUUGCUGCUGUUGUUGAAUCCAGAGGAUAGGAACUGAAAUGAACUGUGGAUUGCUUUCAUAGUGAAUGCAGGCUGAAAUUCAAGAAGGAAGUUUGCUGCUGAAUUGUUAAAGGCGUGAAUUUGGUAGUUAUACUUGAGUAUCUAAUCCUCUAUGCCAUGUGAAAGCCUUGAGAGAGAAUAGGUAGAGUUGCGGCUGAUUGACAGUCUUCUCUCAUUUUUCUCUCCCGCAUGCUUGUAUGAUUGACAGCUUCUCUCGUUAUCUUCCGCAUGCUUGUAGGUAUGUAGCUGUAGUGUUUUGUGAUAGUGAUAGGUUUUGAUUGUAAGUAGAGAAUAGUGGUGAUGUAAAUAAUUCCCUACAGUCAUUGUGUAAAGUUGUAUCUGAAAAUCUAAUUUCUUUGUAUCAUCGUAUAUCUAUAAAAUUGGUUCUAGAUUUUGCUGAAUAACUAUGCUUCGAUAUAACAUCUCUACGAAUUAAAUAACUAAUUGAACUCGUUCUCAUUAGUCGGAACUAAAUCAUGACUUUCAAGUAACUAAUAGAAAUAAAAUCUCUAUCGCAUAUAAAAUAACAACUUUAAGUUGACUUUGCUAAGUCAGUUAUAGAUUUGAAAAUAUAAAUUAUUAACUGGCUCAAUAAUUCAUAUCCCGAUUCUCUCACGCGAAGCUAACAAGCAUAACUAAAAUAAUAAUAGGCAAAGAAUACAUAUAAUUUAGAAUCAUAGUUGAAUUCUAAAUAUAAAUAAUUACUGGGCUUUUUAAUUACUGAAAGAUGCAAUAAUAAUUAUCGCAUUACUGGUCUUAAUCAUAAAUAAAAGAGCGGGCUACUACAUAUACCCCUCUUAACAUAAAUUUCGUCCAAAAUAUAUAUUAAAAUGUUAUAACAACUUGCCAUGUUAUUUGUUUAACAUCUUUUUAUUAUAUAUAGUCAAUUCAAUACUAUAACAUCAAUACUUUUAUUUUGAAAAUAUUAAUCAGGUUGUAUUUAAACUAUCUACAGAGUUACCUAGGUUGAAAUAAGGAAAUUUACCAAAAUAAACAAUGACACAAAAGUAAACCUACUAUUGGUAAUCGAAUUCUAAGCUCUAUCAACAAGAAAAUUACAAACGGGUUUCGCCCGUUAACGCAUAGCAUUUCCUCGAACACCUGUUGUGCACUCGCAGCCCUGCGCUCUCUGAAUUAUCUCAAAACACCUUCCCCUCGAUCAGAUCCGUUUGAGAAUUAAAGAAAUUCAAACACAUGAAAAUGAUUUACAAACUUUUUUUGUUUGUCCAGUUAUAGUUUUCUUAUAUAGCAUUAAACUUAAGGACAAUUGUAAAAUAUGAUAAAUUAUUAUUAUUAUUAUUAUUAUUAUUAUUAUUAUUAUUAUUAUUAAAGUGUGCAUUGUCUAUUAAAGUUUGAUUACAAUAAGAAUCAUUUAGUAUCUAAAAUUGUUCAAAAUUGUGAUUAUAUAUUAAUUAAUGGCAUAUUUGGUAUACUUUUAUUUAAAACUAUAUUAGUGACUGCAAUGUUCUUUUUGACAUGUUAAAAUUAUUGGUAAAAGAUUGUGCUAUAAUUCACCAUUGGUCCUUGCAGAAAACACAAUCAUUCUUAGUACAAUCAUUUUUUUUAUUAAUGAAAUAAUAAAAUGUAAAGGUGGAAAUCGUAGAAGAUGGAAAAUCUCAAUAUAUCUUUGAAACAAUUGUGCCAAAUCGCAGAAGCCGUGGCAUAAAUCAUACUAGUUGAGUCUUCUUGGCAAGGGCUAUGAGUUCUCAAGUCUUCAACAAUUGUAUAGUAGCAAUCUUCACUAUCUUUUUAUAAGUAUCACAUCGCAACAGACGCCCUUUAGAGAAGGCACAGGUCUUGUGCAUAUGUCAUCCAAAAGUCGAGACUUGCAUUCCGGCCGCCAAUUUUUGUAGCAUCUUUUCAGGUCUUUAAUCGGCCAACUUUCAAACGCCUCAAUUUCCUUUGAUACAAUUAGCAUUACCACCAAAGCUAUAUCCACAUCACCGUAUUUGAUUUUGUGUAGCAUGCUAUAUGAUUUUUCUUUUUCUUUUCAAUCCUGUCUUUUUAUGAAAUAUUACUUCGUUUUGCUUCUAUAAAUACAACCCAACUUAUUAAGACUUUGUUAAAUUGUAGGACUCGAAACCUACAUAAAUUAAAUAAGUAUUUAUCAUCAUCUUAAAUUCAUAUUAUGUUCAUUACAAGUUAAUAAAUAGGUUAACUUAUAACAUAUGAUAUAAUUACUUGAUCUAGAAAUUAAUGAUAUUUUGGUUGAUUAAUUGCUCUAGAGAAAAUAUUAAUUAAGAAGCCAUGCAUUAAUCGAAAACUUGUUCUCUUUUUCAUUAGUUGACUCGAUAUACUACGUACAAGAUACAAGGAAAUUAAUAAGAAAGAAACUAUAGUGUGCCUAAUGGCGGUCUAGUGAUAGGAUGCUUAAUGCCUAACAUCAAAUAUUUUUGGGUUUGAGUUCACUGUGAUGCUUAAAGUCUUAAUAUGUUGCGUUGUAAGCAAAACGAAAUAAUAUUUCAUCAAAGAAACAAAAAUUGAAAAAAAGAAUAAAAAAAUCUUAUAAGCAUGGCUACAGCAAAAACAAAUUCCAUGAUUCCGAUCAUAGCUUUGCUGGUAAGAGCAUACACAAUGGGCUUACUUGAUAGCCUACUUGAUAGUGGGGGACCACAUUGAGUAAGUAGUGCUGCAUUGGGGUUACUUGAUAGCCUACUUUAUUUUUUUAGUUUUGAUUUUUAUGCUUUUCAUUUAAAUUUAAUUGCUCAAAUUUAAAUAACACAAUUUAUUUCAAAUUUAAAUUGCAUUAAUUAUAAAAUCCUAAAUAUUACAUAAAACUUUAAUAAAAUAAAAACAAUUCCUAAAAAUUAACUCUCUGGCCCUAGAGGUCCGAAACGUGCCCAAAGGUGCUCCACCAAAUCAUUUCGAAGCUGAGCAUGUAGAUGUCUAUCUCGAAGAAUUGAAUCUCUUCGCACGUAGUCCUCGAAGGACACCAGUGUUUGUUGAGCACUCUCCGUCGAAGUGCUGCUAGACGCCCCGUCGUCAUCUCUCCAAUUGAGAGUCACUUCACCUUCGUGCUCCACAAUCAUAUUGUGGAGAAUGAUGCAACACAACAUGAUGUCCUUGAGGUGCUGUACGUACCAGUUGCGCGUCGGACUACGAAUGAUUCCCCACCGGGCCUGAAGGACUCCGAAGGCGCGUUCGACAUCCUUCUGUGCCGAUUCUUGCAUCUUCUUGAACCUCGCCUCCUUCGGAUUGGUCGCCAUUGGUGGACUCUUGACGAAGUAACGCCACUCCGGAUAUAUGCCGUCACACAAGUAGUAGCCCAUCCGGUAUUCGUGCUGGUUGGCAUGGAAGACCACCGGCGCCGCCGUUCCUCCUAACACGUCGGAGAAGAGAGGUGACUGAUUCAGCAUAUUGAUAUCGUUGUUCGAACCAGCGACGCCGAAGAAGGCGUGCCAAAUCCACAAAUCGUGGGAUGCAACGGCCUCGAAUAUCAAGGUGGGCUCUCCCUGAUCACCGCGUGUGUAGGCACCGUGCCACGCCUUUGGGCAAUUCUUCCACGCCCAAUGCAUACAGUCUAAGCUCCCGAGCAUCCCGAAAAAACUGUGUCGCGCCUCGUGCAUAUGAAGGAGACGUUGGACGUCCGUGGGCGUUGGCCGGCGCAGGUAAUAGGCUCCGAAAGCCCGGAUGACUGCCCUGUAGAACUUCUUGAGGCAUACACGCCCGGUGGAGUCGGCGACUUUGAGAUACUCGUCGAAUACAUCCGCACUAACCCCGGUGGCUAAUUGACGGAUAGCCGAUGUGCAUUUCUACAAAGGAGAGAGAGAGUCUCGACCGAGUGCAUCAGUGCUCAUAUGGAAUAAAGUAUCUUCACCUUGAACAACAUCGACGAUGCGCAAGAACAGCUCAAUCUGCAUUCGAAAACGACGUCGGAAAAAAGUAGGACCAUACGUCGAAUUGUCGUUGAAGUAGUCUUGUAGUAGCCCGCUCUUUUAAUUAUGAUUAAAACUAGUAAAUGCAAUUUUUUUUAUAAAUGAAUCCAGUUUAUGGUCCUGAUUUUUUUUAUAUAUCAGAAACGGAGUUAUUAUUUUAGCUUUAUAUUUUUUUUAAGUAUGAGAAAAACGCGACGAGGAUUAUUGAGUCAUUCAAUAAUUUAUUAUCCAGUUUAAUAACUGACUUAGCAAAGUCAAGUUAUUAAUUUAUAUGCGAUAGAAAUAUUAUUUCUAUUAUUUACUUGAAGUCGUGAUUAAUUUUCGAUUUAUAAAACGAGUUAAAUUAGAUAUUUAAUUCAUAGAUUGAUAUAACGAAGCGUCGUUAUUUAGUAGAACCCAAUAUUAGUUUUACAAAUACUUGUAACUUCAAUACUUUACAAAUCAUUAUUUUUCCACUCCCUAAUGUUUCCUACACUAUAUACGCAUCCACUCCACCAAAUUCCAUUAUACCUACCUCCCCACCACUACUUUACUUUUCCCCCACCACAUUAGUGCACCACCAACUCCACUACCCUAUGCUCCCCACCAACUCCAACACUUCACCCAUUCCUUCCAUUUCGCACCAGCAAUCAUAAAGAGAAGGAAGACUUGGCUACUUUGCCAAGAUUUCAAGCUGCUCCAGUCCAGUGGUACCCCAACACUCGAAGCUAGAGUUUAUUGGGUGAAAAACCGUGCAUGAGGUAAGGCAGCGAAUCUGCCAUAAGCACACUGCUCCGGCAGUGUUUUGCAAGGCGAUUCCAGCCAUCCAAACGGUUCCCAAAAAUUCCCAAAUUAAUUGUGUAUUAUCUUUCAUAUGUUUUCUAUACUUUGGUAAAAUCUCAGAAGGUUUGAAGCUCUUAUGAUUUAUUUAUGAAUUUGUAAACAUCACUGCCCAUCUAGAAUAUAUUUUUGGUAAACAAUCUUUGGGAGGCCAUAAGUAAAGUUUCAAUCGGUGAAAACCUUUGAAACUUGAAUAUGUCACUCUAGACUCCCGUAUCUUUCUUUUGACAUCGGCCUCACUAUUUUUGAAUAAGGGAAACAACCGGUAUAAAUUCUUGAAAUCUAGUUCUUAUUCCAUGUACCAUCCAGUAGAUUUUACAAACCUACGACUUUGAGGUGGCAAAGCCCGACUUAAAUCUUUGAUUCUCAAGCCUAUCUUUCUACUGAAUAUUCACUGACAUGUUGGGAACUUACUUGCUUAGUUUUAGAAUUUUUGGUGAAGCCUAAAAGUUGGUUUUCUGAUUUAUGUUAUGAAUCUGCCAAAACUUGAACGCUUUUUGUGCACUGAACUUUAGACAGUCAUAUCUUCUAAACCAUGAAUGUUCUUAGAGUAAAUCCAACUGGAGAGUGUUAUGAUCUCUCCCUAGUUUCCAGAUUGACCCUUGGGGUUCCCAGUGGAGUUUUGUAAAGGGAGAUAUGAAUUUUUAAAGAAAGCCCACUGACUUGGUUGUAAUCUGGAAAUCUGAAAUUUUCAGAUUUUUGCUUGUUAAAUACCCAUCUUUGAGAGGGCAUAUCUUGCUCGUUUGAAUUGUUUUUCAUUCGAUUCAAAUUGGAGAAUGAUCCUUGAAAUGUCUAGUUUCCAGAAUGUCUUUUGGAGCAUCAUUUGGAGAUCCGAGGCAGAUUUGGUGUCUGUUGCAAAAACUACCCCUUAAGAGCUCAAGUUGUUAGAAUUUAUUUUCUAUGUAUCAAAGUUUAUUUUAAAGGAUGUUUCAUGAAAGAUUUCGUAUAUGUGCGUAACAAGUUUGGGACUAUUUAUUUUAAAUGAGGUCCGUUCUUUAUUUAAAUUAUGAUGGACUUUUAAUGAAUAUUUUUGGGAUUAAACUCUUAUUUCUUGAUUUAUAUAAAUUAUUUUUUUUAAGGACUUAUAAAUAUGAAUUUCGUAGGCCUACUGACCUACUGUGAUCGACGGUUUGUCGAUGUCUAAUAGCUUUGAAAAUUUUAUAGCAAGUCCUGACAUGAGUCUUGAGUACCCUGGUAAAAUUUCAAGCCAUUCCAACUUCGUUUGAUACUUCUUUAAAAUGCAAAACCUAAACUGCACAUAACUACCGAGAAUUUCAGAGAACAGAUGAAAGAGUCAUUUAUUUCAGUAGCUUCCUGUGUGAUCUAGCUUUCCAAAUUUUUAUGGUAUUAACCUUAUUGUGUUACUAGAUAUCCACCAAAGUUGAGCCCAGUUUGACAACGUUUACUAUUUGUCAAAAAUCCAAGUUUUCGAUUGUUCAAAACUGCCGAACAUGGUAGAUCGUGGUAAAAACGUCAUAUCUCUCAAACCACUUGGAGUUUUCGACUCUACUUUUUUUUUAUAUGAAACUAGAUUCGAAGAUCUUUCUUUCGUAUGAGUCUCGAGUCCAGGAGAUGUCGGAGUCAGAACAGAUUAAAUUUUGAAGUUGAGUCAGUGUAAAAACAGAGCAUGUUUUGAUGAUGUUUGAUUGUCGAUUCCUUAUGUGCCUUAUGUGUUUGUGUUGCCUAUGUGUUUGAAUGAGAUUAGACGAGGUAUGAUUGAUUUUUGACUGUCUUUAAUGUAACGAAUUAUGGAUGCUAGAACCCUAAAACAUAAAAGAUACCCUAGGCACGUAGAAUUAGACUUUGUCUUAUGACAAUUCUUCACGAACUUAUCGACUCUUCAUCAAUGAAGGUCCGGGCGACAGAAAGUGAAGCCGAAGAAGAAAGACUCCACGCCAGCUUUAAGAACAAUUGAGGUGGGCAAUUCUUACGCGUAAAUAAAAUGCUAUGCAUGUUAUGCUUUAAAUGCAAAUUGGAUCUUCAAGUAUGGUAUGCUUUAUUAGCUUAAAUGAGUUAGCUUUAUAUGAUACGUAAAUGAUUACGCUUAUUUACGCUUGAAUGCUUUACGCUGAUAAGUUUAUGCUUGUUGAUGCUUGCGUCUGUUGGGGGAGGCCUCCCUCAAAGUACGAUGCCGUGUCCGCUGAGGAGGGCCUUCCUCACGGCGCGAUCGCCCGUGUCCGCUGAGAGAGGCCUCCUGCGGCGCGAUGCCAUAUGCCAGUGUUACAGCGUCUAUUGGGGGAGGCCUCCCUCAAUAGUACGAUGCCGUGACCGCUGAGGAGGCUCCCCUCACGGCGAUGCCCGUGUUCGUUGGGGAAGGCCUUCUCCAGACACGAUGUGUUAUGAUUAUGAUGAAGAAUGCCUAUGCUUUUAUGAAUUGGAAAUGUUUAAUGAGCAAAGAUUGAAAGAAACUAUGCCUCUUAUGCGAUUGUGAUUGUUUGAUUUAUGUUAUAUGCUUGGCAACUGCCCACUAGUACUCUUGUACUAGCCCUUCGUAUGUUUAUGUUUGUGCAGGUUGAGCUGUGAUGGGCGAUGAAGUGUUGUUGCUGAGUGGAGUUUUUGUCGAACCUAAAGUAGGCUCAGAAAGGAUACAUGUCUUCAUACAUGUAUCUCAGUUAUGCUUUCCGCUGUAAACACUGAUUAUUUCAGUUACGCCUUCCGUUGCAAACUCUGAUAAAGUUUUACUCAAGCCUCUAACGAUGCCUUUUUCCUUUUAAGGAAUAUAACGCGUAUACAAGUUCUUUGAGUACCCUUUUUAUGCGAACUAUGCCUUUUUCCUUUUUAAGGAAUAUUUCACGCGUAUUCAAGCUCUUUGAGUAUUCUUUUAUGCACCCCUUUCUAAACCCGCUUCUUAAUUUCCCUUCCCCAGUCAUGGUUUUCCCGGAUUAAUUAUCCUUAAUUAAGGCCGGUCGUGACAAGUCUUGCAUAAGACGUACAUGGGCCUCCUCACGAUCACGAUGUACGUAUGAUCGGGGACGUUUGUCACGCGCCGGAUCUGGCGCCGGUUGGGAGGAGUAUGGAGCAAGCACUUGCUUCAGCAACUCUACCCACUCCAUGAACCUUUCAGCUACAUCGUCGGAAUCAGGCGAAGAAUCAUGUUGGGGUUCCGCCAUUUUUAGAAGAACAAAGAUGGGAUCUUUUAACAAAAAAUGAAGGAGGAAGAAGGAGGUAGAAGGAGUGGAUUGUAAUGUGUGAUGAAUGAGGGAAGGAGGUAGUAUUUAUAGAGAGAAAAGAGAGAGAGAAAAAAAAGGAAAAAGGCCAAACAACUAUUUUAGCCGUUGGUUAAAAAAAAAGGAAAAUAGCCGUUGCACUACUUCAAAUUUAAAGUUUAUAUAUAUAUUUAAUUAAGGCGCGUGCAAUGCAAGCGCCAUAUCUCUCUCUCUCACUCGUGCAUACUCGAAGGCUCGAGCACGCCUCGAGUAAGGCCCCUCCGCAACGCCCUACUUGAGUAAGACAUCGAGUAGGCGCGUUGCGGGUGCUCUAAUACUAUAUGUGAAGAGAUUGGAAAAAUUGAGGCGUUUGAAAGUGUAAUGCCCCGUUCUUUUAAAUACAUAUUAGAUUAAAUAUGUGCAUUAGUUAUAAAAUUCUUUUAAUUAUUUAUUGUGACUAUUUUGUUAAAAUAAUAUUAUUUCAGCAAAAGUCGGUAUAAGAGAUACAGAGCUGCGACUUAAUAUUCAGUCAUGAAUCAAACCAAUAAUUAAAUUAUUGGAUUAGCUACACGUUUGAGACUUUGCAUUACCAGUUGAUUGAUUCAAUCAAUAGUAUUAGAAAUUUUAGAUUUAUAACCGAUUUCAUAAAUUGUGUUAUUUAAAUCAAAUUGAUAGAAUUAUAACUUGAGCUUAUGUGAAUAAUAAUUUUAUUAUUUCACGUUAUGUGUGUUUAGUAUUAAGUCGUGAAUUAAUUUCGACUUUCACGUAUUAAAUCCCAAGUUUGAGGAUUUAAUUUAUAUAAAUACGACAAAUAUUUAAUUAGCAAGAAUUGGAGAAUUAUUACAGAAACGAAUAAGAACUAGGAGCUGAGAAACUAGAUCACGGCAAAUCAAAAUCCUACUACACGUAUGUCUCGAUUUUUCCUCCAACACAUCAUUACUGCAGCAUUUCUUUUCACAGCUGCAAUAUCUUCCAUGCAAUCCAUCACACCCAAAAAGCCCCAUUUUCAGGAGAAAAUGAUCACGCUGAGAGCAAAGUUUUCAAAGGCGGCUGAAGAAAAUCUUCAGCAAUCUACAAAUUUUCAAAGCUGCAUUUAAAUUCUCCAACUCCCUACACCAAAAAUUCCAUUAUCAUUACUCCCAUUGUCGCAUAAAUUCAUCUAUAAAUUCACCCGAUUGAUUCAGCUUCAAAUCAAUAAACUUCAAUUAUCAGCUCAUCACUACACCUAUAUCACUCCCGCAAAAGCAAUACUCCACUGUAGUGAAAAUUUUAAAUUUCUUACUUGCAAGAGCUCAAGUGAGCUCCCUGUUUCUUCGCCGACCGGCCACUAGGCUGUGAACCGGGAACGUGUACUCAUUCCUCCAUCUUUAGGCUACCAAAUCCAACAAUCGAAAGGCCGAAGCCUUCUCUGUAUUUUCCUGACCAAAGGCCGCAAUAUCCUUCGGCGGCCAACGUCGAAUUCCCGACUUAGCCACCGGCCAACUUACGGCCUUCGUUUCUCACUAUCCUUACGACGAAAAAGGAUCAAGAAACCACCGUUGUGUAGCCUGAUCUACCUCGCACGAGGAAAACUAAGUCGUAGACCUUCGCAGCUAAACACCAUCGGGGAACGACGACCAGAAAACCCCCGACGAACAACUUCCAUUAGUGCUCACUUGGACAGGGGUAAGUUGACGCCCUUGUUUCGAUGUGUUCCCGUUUCUAUUGUAUUAUGGGAAAUUUCUGGGGUAUAUAUGGGAGUGUGGUGAAUAUUUGUGCAAAGUUUCAUGUCAUUUGAACUUUGUUUACUACCCUUUUAAAAUUCAACAAGUCUACUGCUAGUAUCUGCUGAAACUGUCGUGAGGCAGAUGAUUAGGUUAAUUAUUUCAGUAACCAUAUGAUGAUAUUUAGCUCUCACAAUUUUUAUUUUAUGAAUAUAUAUGUGUUAGCUAUCUGCAUAUAAAAUUUGAGGUCAUUCCGGUAACGUUUGCUAUUUUUCAAAAAUCUGGACUUUCAGUUGGCAGAAAAUGCCGAAUCUGGUAGGCGAUGGGCAAAUCGCUAUAUCUCUUAAACUACUUGGAGUUUUGCAGCAUACUUUUUUUUCAAUUAAACUAGACUCAAAGAGGUUUCUAUUGAUAUAAAAUUCGACUCCAUACGAGUUCGGAGUAAAAGCAUUUUAUUAGUUGAAGUUGAGUCUAUACAGCUUUGUUGAGAUUGAAAUGAUUCAAAAUAAUUCAUAUUAAGGAUUUUAAAGUUUUAUUGUUGAUAAAAUAUCACUUUUAAUUUAUAAAUGAGCUAUUGACAUAUAUAAAUAUUUUGAGAAGGAUUUCAUGAGAAUUUGUUGGUAGAAUUAUAGUAGAUGGAAAAGUUGAUAAAUGAAUUAUUGAAGAUUUAUUAAUUGUUAAAUGGUUAAAAUAUUGAAAUUAUUAGAUCUUCUCGAAAAUUUCUUUUUAUAGUUAACUUCUUUUAUUAUUUUUCCUAAAAUCUCACAGUGAAAUUUUCAUUAGGACUUAAGAUUUAGAAUUUAUUAAUGACUUAGUAGUUCUUUUAAUAGUAGCAAUAUACAUUGGUGAUUGGCAUUAUAAAAUGGGAUUUCCUACAUCCUCAAAGGUACAUGAAGUAUUUCGAUAAAGGAAGAACGAUUGUAUAUGAGUUAGAUACAGUCGUUUAAGGAAAUAUGGGUAGUUAGAGAAAUGAGUGAAUAGUGAUUCACUGCAUUUGUUGUUAUCUUUUCUAUUAUUCACUCGAACACAUGUUUUCGUGUUAUCAAAGGUUCAAAUAAACAAAAGCGCCUGAGUAACCUAUCGCGCUAAGGAAAGAGAAUCAUUUUCUUAAGUAGCAAAACACUGCAACCAGGUAGGCAUUACUUUCAUAUAUAUCAAAUGAAUUUAACUGUUACGUUCAAGCAAGUUAUUUCAUGACAAAAUCUUUGAAUUUGAAGUUAAUUCAAGUAUUGUCUUGCCAUAAAAUGUUUUAAUUUCAGUAUGAUAUCUAUCUGAUAUGGCUUUGCCAGUUAUCAUGUAAUCGAAUUCGGGUCUUGAGCAGUUGAUAGCUAUCCUGCCUUGGCUAGUGUACACCAGUGACUGUGAGUCAUCGAGCGGGUUGGCCGGUCAAGUGUCCAUGAGAGGUGGCCACCUCUCCGGCACACAGAUUCAGAUAUGAUAGAUUACAAAAGAACUUAGUCUGAUCAGACGUAACUUUAGAAUCACAAGAAUUUAGUAUGCUUAGGGCCUUUUUAAGUAAAAACCCUUGGUUAUACUAUUGAAAUGGCAUGACAAUUUACAUUAUUAUGUAUGUAUAUGAUUUUCGGCAUAUGUCUACUGAGUACUUUGUACUCAGCCCUGCAUGUAUUUCUAAAUGUGCAGGUUGAGCAGUGAUGAGUGAUGAUGGGGUGUCGUCGGAGCUUUUGCAUAUUUACUAAAUAAACUCUUGGCGAUACAUGUCUUCAUACAUGUAUCACGUUCUCAUUUCCGCUGCGAACACUCAGUUAUGAUGCAGUUUAUCCUAUUAUGUUGGAUUGUCAAAUCAAGUUAUUGUAUAAACACUUAAAUCGGAUACUCAUGACCGAUUACUCGUUAUUAUCUAUAUAUAUGUGUGACUUAUUCUCAUAUGAUGUCUAAAUCUUAAUUUAAUUCAUUUAUAAUUAUUUAUCACCCCUUUCUGUCCCCUCUCCUAAUUUCCCUUCCCUAGUCACGGUUUCCCGGCUUACCUAUCCUUAGUUAAGUCCGGUCGUGACAUUAUAGUUGUAAGAAGAGUCGGGCUUUGGGCUAUAGUGCACAUGAUUAUGGGCUUACUGACGUGGCAUGAUUUAUUUUCUCUUGGAGUAGUAAAUUUUUUUAUUGGUUUUGGCUUGGGGUGGCUGGGGUCGGUGGUUUUGGGGGGUAGACAGGGCAGGGGGUAGUAAAAAAAAAAUUUCGUUGGCACUUAUGGCACUAAUAGUGCCACAAGUGCCUGACCCGACCUGCGUGCCUGAUCCUACCCGGCACGCGACCCGCGCUCCUGACCCUACCCAGUCCGCCCAAUUAAGGGCAAAAACGUCCCAACGCUAUAACUGCUGAAUUGAAAUUUUAUUGAGAAAAAGAAGAAAAGAAAAGACGAAAAACAAAAGUCGCAAAACAAAAACAAGAAAAACCCAUUGAAGGCACAUCAGACGCAAACUAACGAGGUUUGAAAAAACAUAACGGCGGGGACCAAAGGGGACAACACCGUGAGAGCAAAAAAGUCAUGAAAGGUGCAGGAGCUCCGGGGCUGGAGCCCCAUGACAAUCAAAAGUCAAGAGCAUCAUCCUCAGUAUGAAUAUCAGAAUCCAUGAUGUCCCCCCAACGUUGAGUAGAGACCGCCGUCAUCACAAGACCGGUUGCAUCCCUGGGAGCAGAAACAGUAAAAGCGGAGAGAGUAAGGCCUUUGGCCGUGGCUUCUUGGAUCUUACUCUGGAAAACCGAUAUAUCCGAAGGCACAUUGCAGCUCUGAAUAGCAGGAUGUCGUAGCCGGUGCUUUAUAGAGGUAUCAGAGACCCCCUGUUCCCAGAUUGCUUUGUAGUGCCCUUAGGGCGCCCGCGGCCACGCUUGACGUCUGUCGUAGGAGCUUCGGUGAGCUCGGCCAUAACAGGUGUAUCAAGUACAGUAGAGGUUUGUUGAACCGACGAGUCUGAAGCUGGGCGAGCCUGAUGAGGAGAUUGUUGAUCGCCAGUUGCUUGAGCUGAGUUGGAAGGAGUCGGGGCUGUGUCGAAGAUAGAUCCCGGGGUAAUAUCCUUAGCAUCAUCAACAAUAUGUUCGAAAACAUCGUCAUUGAGCUCCAAAUGUUCCAAAACGGAGAAAGAAUUGGAAUGAGAUUCUGUCAUACCAUGCGGAGGGAUGUUCGUAACAGAUUUCCCAUCAGCCUCACUUCUCUGAGCUUGUGGUUCAGCGAUUUGAUCUAAGCUUUUAUCCGGUAUUAUAUCCGUAUCAGUAACGGCCUCUUUUCCCGAAACCACAAGAGCAUCAAAGGAAUUACCAUUCCUAUUCGGAUCAGUGUGAGAAGUUUGCUCGGCAACCUUGUUAACAUUCCUAUUCGGAUCAGUAGAUGGGGUAUGCUCGACUCUAUGCCAUCUCGGAGUCUUGCGAGCUUUAACCUUCUUGAACUCUUCGCCCAGAUUAGUGUCCGGAAUCGGAGGAGAAUUAUUCUCAACAGAAGAGUUUUUCCUACAAUCAUUGGUAGUAUGGACUAUGGCCAAUGAUAUGACAAGAGUGACAAUAGUAAGGUAAAUUUUCAUACCCGAACUCAACCUCAAAUGAGCGAUCGCCGCAUUUAACAUCAAUAUAGUCGGGAACCUCUGCCGUAAUAUCCAUCUCAACGAGCACACGGGUAAAAUGACCUACGAAGGCAUUCGCAGAUUGGCCAUCAAUCUUAAUAGGCGCUCCCACAUGAAGAGCGAUGCCAGAAAUCACUUCAGGAUGCCAAAAUUCGUGAGGCAAAUGAAAAAUACGGAUCCAAACUUGAGCUAAAGUGGCAGUUGCUUUGUAAGGAUCGAAGAAAGGUACCCAAGCCUGAAGGCGAAGCAUCCCCGAGCGAAGACGCCAGGAGGGUUUGGCAUUAGCAGCCGCAAAUUUAUGUUUUAUGAUCCAUUUUUUCAAUGAGUGGCCAAAGCUAUAAAAAUGGCCAAAAUUUAUGUUUUUUCAAUGAGUGGCCAUAAUUUGUGUUUUAUGAUCCAUUUUGGCUAUUCCAAAAUUUUACUCUAUACUUUAUGUCAAAUCUUAGAAAAAAAUAUUAUAAUGAUAUUUUUCUAUUUUUCUAAUAUUAUAAAUAUCUGAAGAAAGAAAGAGAGUAAAAUAAAAUGGUUCAAAUAAGUUCAAAGAAAGGAGAAUAUAAAAUAGAACCUAAACCUUGUAUAUUAAAGAUUAUACAUAACACAAACUUAACAAAUUUUGGUAUUUUUUUUAAACUUUAAAAUUUAUAUAGUUCAAAAUAUUAUCUACUCUAUCUCAAAUUUGAGAUAGUUCUUUGAUAUUUGAUUAUUAUUUUCUAUAAAUUAAAAUUAAUAAAUAUUUUUAUAAUUCGUCUCAACGUUUGUUGUAAAGUGCAUCAUAUUUUUUAAUUAUAAGUUUUUAUUUACAUAUUUUUAUGUUAUGUUUGAUAAAGUAAUCCUAACGAAUAAAUUGAUGUUUUAUUUGUUCUUUUUAUCAAAAGAGAAGAGAACAUGAUAAAUUUUGUGGAGAGAGAUUAAUAUAUAGAUAAUAUAAUAACGUGGAGUGAAUAAGGAGAGAGGGGGGAAAAAUGAAAGAAUAUAGAAAAAGAAAGAGGAGAGAGAAAUAUAAUCACUUUAAAAUUUUAAAUUAUAAUAACUUAUUUAUUUCAAAUUCACAUUUAAUGAUUUUUAUAUCAAAUUAAAAAUCUUGUCAUGAUCUUUAAUUUAAAAUACGUGUCGAAUAUAUUUUCAUAAAUUAAAUUUAAAGAUUUUAGAAAAUCAUCUAAAUAUGAAAAAUAGGUUAGAAGAGAGAAAAAUUUGGAAUUGAGAAAAAAUGGGUGAAUGUAUAAGAAAAUGAGGAGAGAGACUGACUGAAUUAGAAAUUUUAUUAGAGAAAAAGAAAAACGAAAGUAACAAAGAAAACC
rnacentral:lncRNA from 1 species